rnacentral:lncRNA from 1 species
CAGCUAAAAUGUAGUAUAUGAGAGAAAUUUACACAUUUCAUAACCGAAAAUAAGUUUAGAUAUCUAAAACAUUCAUUUAAAGUGAAAUUAUAGCUAAUGGAAUAAAAUAAAAAUAAUGAAUAAAAUAUUCCAAUUUUUCAUAAAAUAAUUUUUAUAGAACGCUACGUAAAUAAUUUUUACAGCGUAAAAGCAAAAUAAAUUCCUACAUACAGUAGCACACAUAGCUAGGUAUUCAAAACAUUUAACAAUGACAUGUGGGCCCCUGAAUGACUAAAAGUGAUGAAGGCUAUGAACCUACAGUUUUUGAGGAUGCAAGUCCAAUUGUAGCCCUCAAUGAAAUGAGCUAUCUACCGACUAUCCUGAGCCUGAAAUGGAUGGAAAGAAAGGUGGUGAGAUUAUAUAAUCCCAAUGAGUAAACAAAUAUCAUCUAAAAUAUCUAAAGCUAAGUAAAUGGAGACAGAUAAAAUAGAUUAGCAUAAAAAUGAUUCACAACAUUUCGAACUCAUUUUAAUAAGAUAAAAUAGAUUCAUUUCACCCAAAUAAACAACGAGGCUUAUGAUUUCCUGAAAAGCUUAGCUUGUGCCAAAAUCAUUCUUAUACUCGAUUGUCAGGGAUACCUUGGCCUGGGGCUAUCCCAACCGAAUCCGCCAAGGCUGUUAAAAAGUCAUGUACACAUAAAUCAUGUUUUUAUUUUGAAAACUUAGCCGUUCCUUGGCGUUGGCUGAGUUUCACCCUCACGUGGUGGUUUAGCAUGAAGUGAACUCUAAAGUUUUACCUCGGGAGUUACCUUACACGCCUCUUUGACCGAGGUAAGAUAUAACGGGGUUUACUGUGCCCCUCUAAUAGGCUGGUCCACAGAAACCCGCCCAUUGCAAUAAGCUAAUCGAUAUCCCACCAAAUCAAUAAAAUUUCAACAGCAUAACAUGGCUAAUAUAAAAUUACUAGUCUGUUCAGGCAAAGCAAAACGGUUCAUAUAAUUUCAACACAAUUUCCAAUUCAGUCAUUCAUACCAAUAUCAUAAGCCAUUCAAUUCAAACCAUGAUUUAUAACACAACAAAUAGUCUCCAAUUACUCUAUUUUUUAAGCCAUCAUUCAAUUUUAAGACUAUUUUAUAAAAUCAUUUCGUUUAAUCACAUUUUGUUUAUAAAACAUAAAGAUUUACCAUUUAAACUCAUUUUCUUAUAACAUCACAAAAACGAAUUAAAAUUCGCUUCCGAUAAUCAAGAUGACGAUAAGGUUACUCACAAUAUCGGGAGUCGAAUUUUUAGAGUACUCCGACUAUCGAUCCUCAAGUACAAUUUCUUUACCCUUAUCGGAGAAUUCACCAUCUAGACAUAAUGCACAAUCAAGCAAUUUACCACAUUGGUGCUAAACCGUUAUAAAACUAUAUGGAUGUAUGAUAUGGAAUGCAAAUUAUUUGGAUUAUCGUCUAAACACGGUGUUCUACACAAAUUCAAUUGUGUACUUAAAUAAAACGAUAUUGGCCUAAUUCGAUCUAUCACUCGAUUAAUUGGCCAAUAUGUCCAUUUCAACUCCAAUUAACUCUAUUUUUCUUCCAAUUCUCCAAACCAUCAAACACAGGUCAAAUAGCAUAAAAUUUAACAAAAUCAUCUUCACAUUUGCUCUUGGGAAUUUCGGCCAUGGUGGGUGCAUCAACACUGAGAUUUUUUCUACUUGAUUUUCUUAUCAUAAUUCAUCAUUUCCUAACCAAUUCAAUUGAAAUAAAAUCAAAUCCACCAUCCACACUCUACAUGGAAGAUUCGGCCAACGAUGGGUGAUGGGAGAAAGUGAAUUUUUCUUGUUGGCUUUUCAUGGUACACAUCACUAAAUAACUAAAAACACUAAAAUACAUUGAAAUCUAACCAAAUCAAGCAUCCAAACCUCCCUCUAAGUGUUCUGCCAACAAGGAAUUCAUCAUGAUUUCAUGUGAUUCAACCAUGGAAAAUAAGAAAAAAUGCUUAAGAAAAAGAGAUCUCAAGCUUAAAUUGAAAAAAUCUUACCUUUUUUUCACUUAUUUUCUUGAAUUUUCACACGUUUCCCUCGAAUUUUUCCACCUAGGGUUUUGUUCUUCCUUUUUCUUGCUUCUCCUUGGUGAGGCCGACUAUAAUGAAGAGAAAUGGGCUGGUUUUGUGCUAAUAUAUAAGGAGAAUAAUAAAAAAAUAAAAGCUUGACACUUGUCACCUUACCAUUAGUCUAUUUUUAAAUUCUUAACUAUUAAGCUUUCUUUCUCCACCACAUAAAAUAUUUCAGUUAUCCACAAUAUAAAAUGUUAAUGGAUGAAAUCCAUGGGCAUGACAAGUGUUGGGUGGUAUAAAAUUACAAUUUUGCCCCUAGGGUGGCAAAAUGACUAUUUUGCCUUUAUCCUCGAAAAAAUGUCAAAAUUAAAAUUCUUCACUUCUCAAACUCAAAUUAUACUCCAAAUGAUCAAUCUUAGUCAAAAAUUUGAUCCAACACUCACAUCUUAACCUCGGGUGACAAAAUGACCAUUUUGCCCCUAGGUCAUGAAAAUUCCAAUUUGACUCCAAAUUGGUCCUCAAACUCUGAAUCACCAUUUUAAGUCAUUCUGGGGUUUUUAAAUUCUCAAUUUCAUCUUAAAAUCUCUAUUUGCACUAGUUCGAGGCUUAAUUCAACUUAAUUGUACUAUUUGGUACAUUGCCGUCCUUUAACGAUUUUCGAGGUACCCAAGUAAGCAAACAUGCAUUCUUAUGUAAGAAUGGCAUAAUAAACAUAUUGUAGAGCCGAGCUUAAUAGCUAUGCAUUGAACAAUGGAAAAGAAAACCUUGGUAAAUUUGAUGCUAAAAGUGAUGAAAGAAUCUUUCUAGAAUACUCUUUGAGUUCUAAUGCUUAUAGAACAUUCAAUAAGAGGACAUUAAUUGUUGAAGAAUUUAUUCAUGUUUGAUUUGAUGAUACAAACCCUAUUGGAAAGGAAAAUUAUGAUGAUAAUAUAGGUAUCCUUCAAGAACAAUUUGAGGGGCUUGGUCUCAACAUUGAAGGAUCCAAAGUGAAUGAAUAAGCAACAUAAAAAGAAAAGCAACAAAUUAAACAAAUUCUUGAAGAAUGUGAGCCUAGCUAUCCAACAGUAAGAAAAGAGGUUGAUGAAAGUAAAAUCAUUGGUGAUCCUAAUAAAGGGGUAAGAACUAGAGCUAAAGUUCAAAAUGUUUUGUGAGUAUGUAGAACUAGAGCUAAAGUUCAAAAUGUUUUGUGAGUAUGUAAUCUUUAUCUCUUAUAUUGAACAAAAGAACAUUGAUGAAGCCUUAGAUGAUGAUUAUUGGAUACUAGUGCUGCAAAAAGAAUUAAAACAAUUUGAAAGGUGUCAAAUAUGGGAAUUAGUUCCUACGUCAAAUGAUUAUCCAAUUGCAGGUACUAGAUAGGUCUUCAGGAACAAAAGGGAUAAAAAUGGAGCCAUAACUAGAAACAAAGCUAGAUUAGUUGCCAUAGGAUAUAGUCAAAAGGAAGGAAUAGAUUAUAAUGAAAUUUAUGCUCCGGUAGCUAGACUAGAGGCCAUUGAAAUGCUUUUAACCUUUGCAUGUUACAUGAAUUUUAAAUUAUAUCAAAUGAAUGUGAAGAGUGCCUUUCUAAAUGGACUCAUAAAUGAAGAAGUAUAUGUUGAAUGCCCUCUCAAUUUUGAGUGUCCUACUUUUCCAAAUCAUAUUUUUAGAUUAAAAAAAGGAUUAUAUGGUUUAAAUUAAGCUCGUAGAGUUUGGUAUCAGACUUUAUAAAAAUUCUUAAUUAAAAGUGAUUUUGAUAGAGGGAAGGUUGAUAAAAUUAUUAUCAUCAAAAGCAAAGGAAAAAACAUUUUAAUUAUUCAAGUUUAUGUUAAUGAUAUUAUUUUUUGUGCUAUUAAUGAGCUUUGUUGUCAAGAGUUUGCUAAGACUAUGCAAGGAGAAUUUAAGAUAAACAUGACAGGUAAGAUGAAUUAUUCUCUUGGAUUGCAAAUCACACAAAGGGAAGAUGGCACAUUCAUAAGUCCAGCCAAGUAUACAAAAAACAUGCUCAAGAAGUUUGGUAUGGAAGGCACAAGAACAUACUACCCACCAAUGAGCACUUCAGCAAUGCUUGACAAGGAAGAAAAGGUAUGCUCGUUGAUCAAAAGCUCUAUAGAUCUAUGAUUGGUUCUUUGCUUUAUCUCACAACUAGUAGAUCGAACAUAAGAGAUAAUGUAUGUUUGUGGGCUAGGUUUCAAUCAUCUCCUAAAGGGCCUCAUUUAAGAAUUGUUAAAAGAAUUUUUAGGCAUUUAAAAGACAACUAGUUUAAGAAUAUGAUAUCCAAAGAGUUCCAUUUUUUAUCUCCAUUCAUAUCUAGAAGUUGACUUUGGUGGAUGUAAAACAGAUAGGAAAAGUGCAUCUGGUACAUGCCAAUGCUUAAGUAGUAUGUUGAUCUCUUAGUUUUCAAAGAAACAAAGUAGGGUAGCUCAAUCCACUACCAAAGCUGAAAAUGUGGCUACUAGUAGUUGUUAUGCUCAAGUGCUAUGGAGAAGGAACAAUUAGAAGAUUAUGGACUAUGUAUAAAAUGAAUUCCUAUUAAAUAUGAGAAUACUAGUGCCAUAAAUCUCACAAAGAAUCCCAUCCAUCACUCGUAAACUUAACACAUAGAAAUAUAGCAUCAUUUCAUUAGAGACCAUUUUCAAAAAGAUAACAUUAUUCUUAAAAAUGUUGGUACCAAAGACCAAUUAGCUGAUAUUUUCACUAAAUUUCUUGAUAGAGAACAAUUUUGCUAGAUAAAAAGUGAAUUAGGUAUCAUGAACAACCUUAGAUGAAUUAGAUGAUGAAAAUUGCAUGCUCUUAAUGAACUUUGAUGUGAACAAUUUAAAUUAAUGGAGUCCACUUGCUUAAUUAGAAAUUUCUUGACUUUGUGUUGAUGUAGAUGACAAUUAUGCCAAAUAAUUGAUUUCAUAGCAAGAUGUAUGUUCAUGCAUUUCACUUAAUCUUCCAUACACAUGCAUAGCCAUCCAAUUCAAGAAGUACCUCAUAAAAUUUGUAAAAAGGAUCAUAUUUUUUUAAAAAGAAAAUUCCAUGUUUUUGAUCUUAAAAAUGUCACUUGCUCUAGUCCAAAAUUAUGUUUGAAGUGUUUCUCUCAUAUUUCUGAACUUAUUUGUGAUUAAAAAUUCAAUUAUGGGCCUUCCUCUACAUGAUUUUGAAAGUUAGAACUUUGUUUUUUAAAGGCCACAUAAGAACAUCUAUCAAUAGAUUACCAUUAUCUAUUGAUAGAUAGCUUACGGAGACCAACAUUAACCAUCUCAUGCAUAAUCUUUUGAUAGAUUCACACUAUCUAUUGAUAGAUAUAGGCUCCCAAAAAAAAAACUAGGCAUAAUAUAUCGAUAGAUCCCAUUAUCUAUUGAUAAAUGGGGUACCGUGUCCAAUACCAAGUUUGUUAGACUACAUUUAUCAACAGAUCCCACUAUUUAUCGAUAGAUAAUGGUAUCUAUCGAUAAAUGAGGAAACUUGACCAAAAAUAAAGCCUGCAUGAAAAAUCUAUCGAUAGAUACCACGAUUUAUUAAUAGAUUGCUAUUUGCGACUAAGCGAUUGCAUGUGAUCUAUCGAUAAAUGUUACAAUCUAUCUAUAGAUGCAUUGUUUUAAGCAUACUUGAUGCUUCAUUCCUCUUAAGCCAACUACUCCUACCUCACUCUUCCUCCCAAAUCCUUUAAACCUUCUUGUAAAAUUCUCUAUUUCUAAGUCGAUUAAUGUGUUCUCUUCUUGAUCCAUCACCCAAAAUUCCUCUCAAAAACACUCCAAAACUUCACAAACCCUUGAGUUUAAAUACCUUAAAACCUUAAGUCCCCUUUUCUCCAAAUUCUUGGGUUUCUUUGUGUUUUGGAUGAAAGUGCUCUGAUUAACUUCGUUCCCUUAUCUUUCUUGACAUUUCCACUUAAUCCUUUCUUACCAAACCACUCCAAUCCCCUAUAUCUCACAAAAUCCCAACAUAAGUCAAAGACCCAAAUGCACAAAGGUGACCACUCCUUGGGGUUUACGUAACACUAUUGGUGUUAGGACAUCUUCCGCCUCCAACAAGAGUUAUUUCAUACGAAAUUUCACCCAUCCAUCACAUGCUUAAAAGUUCAGUGACAAUUUUGCCAAAUGCAAGUUAAUGCCUAAGCGCAUCAUUGAUUUUGAUUACUUAAAGUCCAUUAAUAUCUUUACCUUGCCAACUUAGAACUUUUAGGAUGGACCCAUUAUCUAAAAUUGAAUAGAAAAUAGUAUGAUAACUUAGUUCAAGUCUUUUACUUCAAUGCCACCAAAAAAUUCGCUAACUCAAAAUUUAGUGAAUAGUAAACCAUGACAAUUGGUUUGUCACUCACAUCAUGUGAAAACAUAUUCUUGUCACUUGUGGUUUCAUUGAUUGUAUCUUUCACAUUUAUACUGUAAUACCCUGUAUUUUGAUUCGGUGGCUAAUAAAGUUUACGAAUGCUAAUUGAGGUUGAUUAAUGAGUUAUAAGGGUAAUUCAGAAGUGAACUUAUGAAAUCUCUACCUCUAUAAACACGUAACUAGAACUAGACGCGAUAAUGCAGACUAGGGGUAAUUUCAUAAUUUCUUUUGGUAGGCUCCUACGAGUGGGUUUUUUUAUGCUAUUAAGGUCUAAAUAGGCCUAAGGAGUGAAUAAAUGAUGUUUAUGAUGGUAAAUAAAUGAGAAAAAUAAAAAUAAUGAUAAUUUCCAUGGUAGGGGCAAAAUGAUCAUUUUGCAUCUCGGGUCAAAAUUUUUUUUUUGUUUUGUGAACUCGAGUACCUUUAGACUAUUAUGGCCUUUGUUUCAGUGUCAAAAGAGCAAAAAGGUUACACAAAGGAUGGGAGGAAGACAAAGCCACCAUGUUAAGGGCAUUUUGGUAAUUUCGAUGAAAAUUUGGAUUAACUUGAAGCAUAAAUAUCUAACCUCCAACAGCUUCUCCUUUUUCUUCUGCCUUCCCUUUAACAUUCCUUUUAUCCUCCAUGGAAACUUGCUUUGCAACUUCCAUAACUUUCUCUCUCUAGCUCUAAAUUUCAUGCUUUUACCCACUAUUUCAUACGAUUUUUCAUGCUCUUCCACUUUUACACCUUAAAACCCUCAAAAAGUCUUUGUUCAGUACUUUUUCUCACUAGCUAAAAUUUUUAAAGAGAGAAAGAGAGACUUGCCAUAGUAGCUUGGAAGCUUUUGAAAAGGAAUUCAACUACAAAAAAAAGCCACCAAGGUGAGAAAUGAGUUAGAAUUUGAUUUUAAGUUGUUUGAGAUAGCUAGAAAUUUGAUUUAUGGGCUAUUAUAUUUUUGAUAGUUAUAUUGUGGGUUAUACAUUCCAACAAGGCCUCACAUGUCCGUUUGAAGUAAUAACCGAAGUUAGAGUCGAUUAGAAGUUCAACAAUCUCGGUGAGUGAACUUGCAUUUCAAAAUUAUUUUAGGAAUGUGAACGCAUUUGCACAAAGCUUUUAUAUGAUUUUAUUCCAUUUUUCUUAAAAAUGGUGCCUUGGGAACAAGCCCUUGAUAAAUUGUCUCUAUUUGUGACAUGUGGCUGUUAUGGAUUCUUAUACUACAUUAUGUUGAUAUAUAUAUAUAUAUAUAUAUAUAUGUUGUGCAUUGAUGGUUGAUAUUGUGUGAUAAUGAUAAUCGUGUGUGUGCACGAUGUGGGGGCAUGCACAUGCCGAUGAUGACGGUGGUGAGGGAGAUGGAUGAUGAUAGUGCCCGUGUGCACGAUGCGGGGGAUGUACACGAUGGCACUGACUAUGCACAAUGUGGGGGGAUGCACACAAUGACUCCGGCUUUAUGCACGAUGUGGUGGGAUGCACAUGAGCUGGGUGAGAUGAUGGUGGUAUUGGUGUUUAAUUAUGUAAAUAUGUAUAUAUAUAUAUAUAUAUGUUUGUGAAAUAAAAGUUCAUGAAUAUAGUAUAUGGUUGUAAUGCAUGUGAAAAUUUGCCAUGUUGAACUUUGGAAAUUUUUGAGCAUUUCAUGUUAAAAUUAGCAUGAUGAAUCUUGAGAAUGUCACAUUUUCUUGCAAAUUGAGUUUAUUACAGCACCAAAUGGAUUUUUAGUGCAAAAGAGGUCCCUUUUACAUUUAGGUGCCCUGCUUCUCGCUGCAACGAGAAACAUUCUGUUUUGGCAGCCAGAAACUCACUGCAAUGAGAAAGUCUCAAGUUUUAGUGCAGUAUUUUUACUUUGAUGAAGAUUUUGACUACCUUCCCAUCAAAAAUGGGAAAAAUAGUAAACCUUAAAGUUGUAGCCCUACCUCUUAGCUUUCUAAUGGUCUAAAAAUUAGGUCAAUUGGACCUCUGUAGUGGAAGAUAUACUAGAAAAACUAAAACACUUGCAAACUGAUACUGUUUCUCGCUGCAACGAGAAUGAACUUUGCUGCAGCGAGAAACAUUCUGUCCUGCAUGCUACCCUAUUCGGUUUUUGAUAUAUUUUUCACCCAUUUUACUUCAUGGAUUGAUCAUGGGCUGUUGCAACACUAUGAGGUUAUUAAUCAAAGUUUGAAAUAAGGGAUUUUUAGUAAGAAAUUAAAUCAAUUGCAUUGUUUUUGAAACAAGUGCAUCAUGAUUUUCAAAUUCUUCCUAUUGAUUGCUUGUUCCCUUCUUAUGUUCACUCAUUGAGUUUAUAAUCAUGUUUUUAAGCUUCAUGUUUUCAGAUUCAGAGGCAGUUGGGACCUAGAUUGAGUCGCACACAUAUGCUCGCCUUAUUGGUAGGUACUAUGGCAUCUCAGUAGUGGUACCUUCACUUAAAGUCACUCCGCUGACGGUUGAGAGUUUUUUAUCUAUGUACAUGUAUAUGGAAUGUAAAAUACUAGGAGUCAUGUUAUAAAUGAAGUAUGUAUAUGUUGGAUUGAUGAUGAUGCCUUAUAAGAUGGCAAUGAGUAACAAUACUUUGAGAUAAUACAAAGAUGAAUAUUCAAUCGCCAUAAAUUAUUACUGAAACAUUCAUCAUUGAGUAUGUGGUUUUAGAAAUGAUGGUUAGGAUUAAUGAUCGGAAUCGCAUAAAUAGGCUUGCUUGGGCUUAGUGGGCUAUGCCCAUUGGGCCUAUGCGCCUGUCAUAGCCUGAAAUUUAGGUUGUGACAAAGGUGGUAUCAGAGCUCAUGGUUUAGCCAAGUCCUAGGGAUUCUUGUGUCAGUCAGCAAAGUUGUUAGAGUUAAUGUAGAGUCUUAUCUAUGGUUUGUGAUUGUAGCACAAGUCAUAGAUAGGAAGGUAUAUGAACUCCUAUUCCUAGUAACCUACCGUUUAGCUAUCAUCAUGUAAAGGGCAUAAAUGGUAUCGCUGCUCAGGUUUGAGAUGCCACUCGAGACACAAACCAUUAUUGGAAGGAUUUUUAAGCAAAUGCUCUUAAUGAAAGGUCAAUAUAAUGAUAUAUUCCUCCGACUAACGAUGGAGGAAGGUGGAGUUGGACUAUUAGGUCCUUAAUAAUUUAUUCAUUUGGUGGAAUUAUGAUUUGAACCCAUGGUUAAAAAAAAUUUAAAUUUUUGGAGACUAUGGAUUGUAUUUGAGGUCAAUAUAGGGAGGACGUACGAUAAGGGUAAUAAAAGCUGUAUUUUGACUUGAAUGAAUAGUGAUUGUUAUGACUCGCUUGAGGUUAUAAAUUUAAGUAUCGAGGAAAGUGUAACCAAUGUUUAUGUGCACAGAGGUAAGUGCACUAUGUUAAUUGAGCUUGACAUGCCCUUAUAGAAAUGGUGUGGGCUUUUGAUAUAUUUUAUAAGUGUAUAAAUGUUGAAUAUGUGUAUUGUAGCUUAAAUGGAGUUGGUUUUGAUUUCAACUAAGUGAUUGCGAGAUUCCAAGGCUUGAAUUGAAUUAGCUCAAGGGUGAAAAUCACGGAUUAUUAUAAUUGAUGUAUGGUCAUGAAGUAAAAAGGUAGUAAAUGAUCUACUCCAAGGAUGAGCUUCAAUUUUGCUAUGCUUAGUGUGGAGCCAAAGGAUUAAAGGACUAGAUGUGGAUUUAGCAGUUUGAAAUUAAAUGACAUGGAAAUGACAAAUUUAGUCUAAGUGCCAUAUGGGGUUCUAUAUGAAGAUCGAUAUAUGAAUUGCUUUAAAUGUCAAUUUAAAAAUAUGUUUGGUUCAAUAUGCAACCUAUGAUGUAAAUGAUUAGUCUUGAAUGUAACUUCUCCAAAGGUAAGGGACUUAAAACAUGUGGAUUUUCGAAUAUUCUCUAAGAGGAAGUUUCUACAUCCUAAGCUUAAGAAAUUUUGAUCUUAUGACUGCAAAGGCAAGAUACAAAAAUUUUGUGAAUUGUUUAUCUUAUGGAUGCAAUUGGUUAAGAAUUGAUGAGUAAAGUCAAGAUCUCAACAGUAAGUGGUGUACAAUUUGAUAUAUGUGUAUCUAAGAGUAAAUUUGGAGAUCAUUGCUUAAUCAAUUUGCACUGAAUGUUAUGGUAAAGGUAUGCGAAUGCUAGUAGUGAAGUGUGCCCAAAGUGAGAUAUGUUGAGACUAAUGUUCCGAUUGCAAACUUGUGAUAGUAGGCUAGUUUUGCAAAUUGUGGUUUUUAUGACCAUGAAAUAUAUGGAGGUUACCAAUAUGUAAGCAUACACUUGAAGUUGUAUAUUUUGUGACUCGCAUUCAUUGUAUGGAAGGAGAUAUUCCAUAGAAGGAUUUGGCCUAAUUGGUGAUUAUAUGACUAUAGGCUUGGUAUGAGAUUGAGAAUGCCUUAACAUGUAUGAGAAGUGUGUUGCGAAAGGCUGAAAGUCAUUAAAACGAAUGAUGGGUGAAACAUAGGUGUUGUUAUGACGAGCAUAAAAAGCUCAAGGAUAAUCAAUGCAAUUAUAUUAAGUUAGUUUAAUUCGGUCCGAAAUAAGAGUAAGGACAUCUUGAAAGAUCUUAAAGUAAUGUUUAAUGAGGUUAAUGAGCUAAAUGUUAUCGAAUAUAUAUUAAAUUGUUAAAGUUAUGCGUGGCUUUGAAGAUAAGCCUUUGAUUGUCCGAGUCCUCAAUAGAAUUCUAUUAAAAGAUGUGCUUAAGCAUUUUGGAAGUGUAUUGGAAAACAUAAGAAUAAUAUACUAGUUUGACUUGCUAUAAGAGGUCGAAUUUGGAUGGCCAUGAGUGGCUUGUGAACAAUCAAGUAGUGUAAAGUAUGUGCUCAUAAAGGGAGCUAUGAUUGGUAGAUAAUAGUAUAACUCUAACGAUGAGAUUGUGUUCACUGCUUUAGGCAUUGAACUAUAAGUUAUGGACUGAUAACCACUUUGUGAAUACCCUGAUGAGAUAAAUUCGAAAGACUUUUCACAAUGAGAAAACAUUAAAGCUCAAAGAGUAAAUGGCUAUAUAGUCAAGUUGGGCUCGUGACUGACAUGUCACAUAAGUAUGAAGAUAUGAUAUAAGCAUAAGUAUACUUGGAAAUACUGGUUUGAGGCAAUGAUUAUCCUACAGUUUUGUGGACCUGAUGAGGUUUUGGUCUCGACAUAAUUGUAGACGCAAAGCAUAAAUUAUGAAAUGUGCUUCCCUACAAGUUCCAAUUUAUUUUGAGUAACUAUCAAGGUAAAAUGCUUGAUAGGGAUAGUGGAAGGUUGAAUUAUGCUUCAAAUGUUUAGAAAAGGAGGUAACAUGGUUUGAUUAAAUGAUACUACCCUUGGUAAAGGAAUAAAAAUACGUUAUGGCAAUUGCAGAGAUCUACUUAGAAAAAAAAAAUGAUGAUUUGAGAAUUCAAGUACUCGUAUAUGAGUAAAGAUUUGGUAAUGAGACAUGACCUAAAGUUGGAAUACUACAAUAUGAAUUUUGACUAAGAAAAUCGACUUAUAAAACAUGUGGUGUUUGGAGAUGGUGCCAAUUAGUGGUUGACUCUUGUAUGAGAAUGGAAUAUUGAAAUCAGCUUUGUGUAUUCACCACAAAUGAUGAGCAUGAUCUAACCAAGUAAAAGAAGAAAUGACUCUAAACUUGAUUGUUAGUUAUUUUGGUUUUACAGAUGGCUUAUUGUGCUUGACAUGCCUAAGGCUACCUGAAGUUAAAAUUUUUGGAAAAAUAUAUAUGUAUGGAUAUAUAUGUUGCAUAUUGGUACAAAAAAAAAAGGCUCAUACGGAGUUAGUUAUAAUUUGAUUCGAUGAUUAUACUUUAUCAAUGGUUAUAGUGCUAGACAAUGAUUAAGAUAAUUUAUCACUGAUUUUGGCAGUGACCAAGUGGAUUAUAAUGUUGUUAACGUAAAAAUAAGUGUUUAUACUUUUGGCAUGAGUUCAUUAAAUUCUAUUAUGCCAUGAUAAAACUUGGUGUUUUGAUAUAGCCUGAGAGGCUUGGCAUAUGAACUAGCUUAAUUGUAAGCUAGAAAUUGUUAGGUUAUUAUGAAGUACACAAAUGGAGAAGUAUGCAUGAAUUUAAUAUUCUAAAGAGUAAUGGAAAAUGAUGUAUUAGUUUUGGUAUAGCUUCAAUAUAUAUAGUUUUGAUAUAUAAAGAUGUGGGAAAAGUUUGUAGCUUAUGCGUAAAGGUGUUCAUUUGAAUUCGUGUAAUUAAAAAUGUAAAAUCUGCCUGGAUUGAUAUAAAGCUCAUGAUUCAAAAUGAAUGAUUAUGGAUUUAAUUAUCUAAGGUAAAAAGGACUAAAAAAAGUUAAUAUUAGAAAGGUCUUAAUAGAUGAUUCUUAAAUUUUAAAGUGCAUUUAAGGAGAGAUAAAUGUUUAAUUUGAUCUUCAGAUUGAUAAACUAAUGAGGCCAUGAGAUCUGAUGUUUGGAGUAAAUUUGAGAAAUACCAAGUUAGAUAUGUUGUAGGUGAUUGAUGACGAGCAAAUUAGCUAUGACAUUGGAAAUAUAGAAAUGAUUAGUAAUCAAAAUGAAAGUUGGAAAGGAACUUUAAAGGGAAAAUUUUGAGCAACUUUAAUCUUGAGAGGUUGAGUUAUUGAUUAAAGAGAUUGGUUAAGACUAUAAGGGAGUAUGUGGAAUGUCAUGAUAUAUUGAAAUGCCUUGUGGUAUAAGUUGAGAUUUAUCUAGUGAGCACUCGAUCAUGAAAGUAUUGGAGUUUGUUUUUUGGAAUAUGAUGAUUAAUGGUUACUAGCUUUGAAUCAUCUUUGAUAUUAAAACAUAAAUGAAAUGAAUAAAGAGCGUUUGAUUUUUAUGUAUUGUGAAAUGCUUAAAUGAAAUUUGCAUGGGAGAAUAAAAAAAAAUGAAAUAGAGAUUGAUUGACAAAUUAGACCCAUAGUCAAUGGUGGAAUAGAUGCUUGAAUAUUGGAAGGGUUGACAAAGGAGCAAGGUAGAGGAGUUACGGAUGGUUAAGUAAACAUGCAUGAUUAAUGAUUUAAGGAUGAUUUGAUUGAGGUGUGACCAGAGUUAAUAGCAUAUUUGAAUUCUCUGCAUAAGAUAAAGAAUGAUAUUAUUUUGAUCCAACAAGAGUAGUACACAUAAAUAUAUACUACGACAUCAUUGAGUUUUCUAUACGAUUAGAAGUAGAUAUGAUGCAUAAACCAAUAUUCUAUGUUAAGAAUGCCCGAUGAGAGUGAUGUGGCAGAACUUUAGAACUUUGAUUAUUCACCCUACGUCGAUUUGAAUUUGAGGACGAAUUCAUUUUAUGUAGGGGAGACUAUAGUAACCUGUAUUUUGAUUCGGUGGCUAAUAAAGUUUACGGAUGCCAAUUGAAGUUGAUUACUGAGUUACAAGGGUAAUUCAGAAGUGAACCUGUGAAAUCUUGACCUCUAUAAACACAUAACUAGAACUAGACAUGAUAAUGCGGACCAGGGGUAAUUUCAUAAUUUCUCUUGGUAAGCUCCUACGAGUGGGUUUUUUUAUGCUAUUAAGGUCUAAAUAGGCCUAAGGAAUGAAUAAAUGAUAUUUAUGAUGGUAAAUAAAUGAGGAAAAUUAAAAGAAAGAUAAUUUCGAUGGUAAGGGCAAAAUGAUCAUUUUGCAUCUCGGGUUUAAAUUUUGUUUUUUGUUUCGUGAGCUUGAGUAUCAUUAGACUAUUAUGGACUUUAUUCCAGUGUCGAAAGAGCAAAAAGGUUGUACAAAGGAUGGGAGGAAGACAAAGCCACCAUGUUAAGGGCAUUUUGGUAAUUUUGGUGAAAAUUUGGAUUAACUUGAAGCAUAAAUAUCUAAGCUCUAGCAGCUUCUCCUUUUUCUUCCUCCUCCCCUUUCACAUUCCUUUUAUCCUCCAUGGAAGCUUGCUUUGCAACUUCCAUAACUUUCUCUCUCUAGCUUUAAAUUUCAUGCUUUUGCCCACUCUUUCAUAUGGUUUUUCAUGCUCUUCCACUUUUACACCUUAAAACCCUCAAAGUUUUUGUUCAGCAUUUUCUUUCACUAGCUGAAAGUUUUAGAGAAAGAAAGAGAGAUUUGCCAUAGUAGCUUGGAAGCUUUUGAAAAGGAAUUCAACUACAAAAAAAAAACCACCAAGGUGAGAAAUGAGUUAGAAUUUGAUUUUAAGGUGUUAGAGAUGGCUAAAAAUUUGAUUUAUAGGCUGUUAUAUCUUUUAUUGUUAUAUUAUGGGUGAUAGGUUCCAACAAGGCCUCACAUGUCCGUUUGAGGUAAUAAUCGAAGUUCGAGUCGAUUAGAGGUUCAACAAUCUCGGUGAGUGAACUUGCAUUUCAAAAUUGUUUAGGGAAUGUGAAUGUAUUUGCACAAAACCUUUAAAUGAUUUUAUCCCAUUUUUCUUAAAAAUGGUGCCUUGGGAACAAGCCCUUGAUAAAUUGUCUCUAUCUGUGACAUGUGGCUAUUAUGGAUUCUUGUACUACAUUAUCUUGAUAUAUAUAUAUGUUAUGCAUUGAUGGUUGAUAUUGUGUGAUAAUGAUAACCGUGUGUGUGCACGAUAUGGAGGGAUGCACAUGCCGGUGAUGACAGUGGUGAGGGAGAUGGAUGAUGAUAGUGCCCGUGUGCACGAUGCGGGGGGAUGUACACGAUGGCACUGAUUGUGCACGAUGUGGAGGGAUGCACACGAUGACUCCGGCUAUGUGCAUAAUGUGGGGGGAUGCACAUGAGCUGGGUGAGAUAAUGGUGGUAUUGGUGUUUAAUUAUGUAUAUAUAUAUAUAUAUAUAUAUAUAUAUAUAUGUUUGUGAAAUAAAAGUUCAUGAAUAUAGUAUAUGGUUGUAAUGCAUGUGAAUAUUUGGCAUGUUGAACUUUGGAAAUUUUUGAGCAUUUCAUGUUGAAAUUGGCAUGAUGAAUCUUGAGAAUGUCACAUUUUCUUGCAAAUUUAGUUUAUUGCAACACCAAAUGGAUUUUUAGUGCACAGGAGGUCCUUUUACAUUAAAGUGCCCUGCUUCUCACUGCAACGAGAAACAUUCUUUUUUGGUAGCCAAAAACUCGCUGCAGCGAGAAUAAAUCUCACUUCUGCGAGAAACUCUCAAGUUCUACUGCAGUACUUUCAGUUUGAUGAAGAUUUGGACCACCUUCCCAUCCAAAAUGGGAAAAGUGAUAAACAUUAAAGUUGUAGCCCUGCCUCUUAGCUUUCUAAUGGCUAAAAGUCAGGUCAAUUAGACUUCUAUAGUUGAAGAUAUGCUAGAAAAACUGAAACACAUGCAAACUGAUACUGUUUCUCACUGCAGCGAGAAUGAACUUCGCUGCAGCGAGAAACAUUCUGUCCUGCAUGCUACCCUAUUCAAUUUUUGACAUAUUUUUCACCCAUUUAACUUCAUGGAUUGAUCAUGAGUUGUUGCAACACUAUGAGGUUAUUAAUCAAAGUUUGAAAUGAGGGGUUUUUAGUAAGAAAUUAAAUCAAUUACAUUGUUUUUUAAACAAAUGCAUCAUGAUUUCCAAAUUCUUCCUAUUGAUUGCUUGUUCCCUUCUUAUAUUCACUCACUAAGUUUAUACUCACGUUUUUAAACUUCAUGUUUUUAGAUUCAGAGGCAAUUGGGACCUAGAUUGAGUCGCACACAUAUGCUCGCCUUCUUGGUAGGUACUAUAGCAUCUCAGUAGCGGUACCUUCACUUAAAGUCACUCUACUGAUGGUUAAGAGUCUUUUAUCUGUGUACAUGUAUAUGGAAUGUAAACUACUAAGAGUCAUGUUAUAAAUGAAGUAUGUAUAUGUUGGAUUGAUGAUGAUGCCUUAUGAGAUGGCAAUGAAUGACAAUACUUUGAGAUAAUACAAAUAUGAAUUUUCGAUCUCUAUAAAUUAUUACUGAAACAUUUAUCAUUGAGAACUAAAAUAUGUGGUUUUAGAAAUGCUGGUUGGGAUUAAUGAUCAAGAAUGCAUAUAUAGGCUUGCUUGGGCUUAGUGGGCUAUGCCCAUUAGGCCCAUGCCCCGGUCAUAGCUUGAAAUUUGGGCUGUGACAUAUACCCAUCAAAAUGAUCUCUAGUAUGUUUUUAAUGACGGUAACUUUUGUUCUGCCUUUAUCUAUCCUUCACCAAACGAAAAAGCCAACUUUAGUUGUAUGAGGUUAUGUUUCUUUGAUUAGGUCUUGCACCUUAUCAUUACCCACACCAUCCACCCUCACAGCUCAAACUACUUCAUUGUCACUAGGAGGACCUUUGAUUCCUUUUUAAUGUCAAAUUCAACCGUCGUUUUGAUAUUGCCAAAUUUAUCACGGAGGACAUGCUCUACACCAUACGAUGAGGCAUCAAAAACCUCAUUUAUGGCAUGUUGAUUAAUGAAAUUGUUGACUACUUCACUGCUAACACCCACUGUGAUCAACCCAAAACCCAUGCCGUAUUCAAUCCUAUGGAUAAGCACGCCAUCAAGAAAUUGGGUUUUGAAUUCAAAAAUAGCACCUGGGUGAGAAAAAGGACAAUCAAUCUUCUAGUGUUUGAUAAUGAGGUUCAUGAGGGAAAUGAAGGGAAUGAAGGUGAGUUGAGAACAUAUCCUAGUGGCCCAUCUAGUGCCUAAUCUAAUGCACCUAUGUCCACCACUUUUGACGUUGAGCAUGCCUUCACUCGACUUUUCUCCUAUAUGGAAACAAUGGACUCUAGGUUGACUACGGGUAUGGAUGUCUGGAGGUACAAAAUCAUGAGAUAUUGCAAUGCCAACAAGGCGUGGAGGAUGAGCUCCAUUCUUGAUUUCCACCACUACAAUGAGUUCUCAUGGGAGACAUUCUUCACCUCAAUUUUGGAUUGCUCGAUUGGAUGGCUACAUGUGCAUCUCUUUUUCAUGCAUCAUGUAAUUUUGGAUACAUUUAGUUUGCUUUUCAAAUGUAUAUUAAGCUAUCCAUUUAUAAUUUUCAGUAUUUCGGAUAUGUUGAGUUGGUUGCUAUUUUACACUCUUUGAUGUUUACCUGGAUGUCAUGCUCACUAUAUUUCACUAGUUACUACUUUACGAUUAUCCAUUAUUCCUUUUACCGUAUUACUUCCAUCUCCUUCCAAUUCACAACACUUACUCUUUGAUAAGACAAAAAGGGAGAGAAUGAGUUAAAAUUUGUACUUGAUCUCCACAAAAACAAGUUUUUAAAUGCAAAGUUUUAAGGGGAGUAAUUUUACAACACCUUAACGCAUGAAAUCAAGGGGAGUUUUUCAAAGAAACAAAAACAAAUUUUGCUUAAUUGUUUUGUCCCAUCAAAAAAAGGGAGAUUAUUAAAUUUAAUGCUUCAUUUAAUUCUAAGUUUUAAUUUGACAAACAAGUGCUCAAAAUUGUUUUUUAGAUGUUUAAACAAGUCCAAACGGUCCUUGAAGAAGGUUUAAUGAAAUAUCUAAGCACUUUAAAUAGAAAACAAAUAAAAAGUCUCUUCAAAUUUAAAAACUGCUUUCAAUCUAUCAAUAGAUGUUCUUUAUCUAUCAAUAGAUAAGCUUAUCUAUCGAAUAAUGAACAAAAUCUAUCGAUAGGUGGUUCUUUUAGCACUUAGACAAUCAAGGACUAUGAACAUCAAUCGAUAGAAGUGCGGCAUCUAUGGAUAAAUAGUCAAUCGUGAACAAUAUAAAAGGACCCUGACUUGAAUCUAUCAAUAGAUACACAGUAUCUAUUGAUAGACAAGCACCCGAGGACAGUUCAAAAGGACCUUAACUUGCAUCUAUCGAUAAAUGCGUUGUAUUUAUCAAUAGAUAGUCACCUGAGGAUACUUCAAAAUGAUCCUAAGUUGAAUCUAUAGAUUGAUACUUACAUCUAUUAAUAGAUGGGCACGAAUUUGAAAAUUAUUAAAGCCAAUCUAUCGAUAGAUCGAGAAGUUUACUGAUUUAUGAUAACCAUUAGAGCUUGAAAUAAUGUGCUGAACGGUUACUUUCACAUUUAAUGCAUCCCCAACCACCUCUGAAGUUUCAGCAACUACAAAUUCAAGCUCUCACAAUGUUUAUAAAGGUUGGAAGACUCUAACACAAAACUCCAAAAAACAAAUUCAGCUAAAAUCAUUCAAUACUCUUUGUACUCUUUUUUCUUACAUUUAAGUCUUAUAUUGUAUCAUCUAUUGAGCCUUCAUUGCUUGUUCUUUCUCUCACCAAAUAUUGUACUUAACUUGUUACUCAGCCUUUAAGGGGAAUUCUAGCAACACUUACAUUUCUCUCAUUGUAUUCGCUUGAGUGGCUAUACCUUAACCAAUUGAAAAAGGUAGUUUUUGACUGGUUAUAUAUUAACCAGGAUAAAAGGAAGAAUGGUUGUGCUUUAACCAUAAAAAUUCAUUAUAUUGAAAAGUUGUGCUUGAACCACAAAAGGCAUUGUAUUGAAUUUUCUUCUAAAUAGUGGAUUUCAAAUUCCUUAGUAAAUCUAAGGAAGAAGACAUGGCCAAGGAAGCCGAACCUAUAUAAAAAUCAUUGUGUUAAUUUUUCUCUCGCACUUAUUUAAUAUUAUUUGUGUUUCUAACUCCUUUUAUUAGAUAAGAAAUCAAUUAUCUUGUUUAUUCACAAAAAGAGAAUUUGACUUGAAGGAACUUUAUUUUCUUUAAAUUGAAAAGAAAUCUUUCAAAAUAUUUAAAACAUUCUAAUUCACUCCCCUUUUGGAGCUAUACAACUUAAGCAUAUUACGCUAACAAAAAUAGGGGCAAAGGUAGCCAACAACUAUUAAGGGGUCAAAGAAGAAGAGGAAUAAAGGUCAAAAUUUUUUAAACUAAUAUGUUGAACGUAAUCAACAAUUUCUUCAUGAUUGAGCUCGAACGGCUUGAUGGCUCAAGUGUGGAAGAAUUAUUUGGACGAUUUACAUCUUUUUCUUUUGAAGAAUUUGUCAAUUGUUUUCAAUUUACUCAUACUUUAAUCAAACCUAAAAACAUUAAUGCAGUCAAUUUCUAAUAUUUUUAUUUAUUUCUAUUUAAACUUAUAAUGCUAAAUAUAAAACUAUAAUGCAUAAAGUAUAAAAAAAUUAAAUACUAUAUACAAGAUUUCACACAAUGAUUAAAUGUAUAAAUAGUUAAAUAAUAUAAAUAGAAAAAAAGAUAAAAAAAUCUAUCUCUUUUUAAUUUCACACAAUAGUGGUGAAUGGUCUCGUCCGUCAUUGUCCAAGCUCACAAGCUUCUAAAUCUCUUUUGAAGAAUGAAGUGUGUUUCAAUGUUGAGUUAUAGAGAAUAGAUUAACGUAAAAAUAAAAAAAAAGAAUAGAAAAAGAAAAAGACAAAGGGAGAAAGAGAAAAAAGUGAGGAGAAACUUAAGAAUUAGUUUAAAAUUGAGUAAGGCUUGUUUGGUCAAUUCAUUAUUUUUUUAUUUGUAUUAAUUAUUAAAUAAAAAUUUGUUUUGACAAAAUCAUUUAAAAUAUAUUUAAUAAAUAAAUAAUUUUAAAAAAAUAUGAAUAAAAAAUAAAAAAUUUUAAAAAUAUAUAAUAAAUAAAAAUUUUUCAAAUUUUUAGGGAGGUAAAAACACAUUACCCUCCACCCUUUAUUCGAAACCUUUUAGAACUAAAGAUCCUUCAAUAAUUCCUUUCUUUUUAUCAGCAGUCAUCAUGGUCGUUAUCUUUGCCAACUAUCUGAUUAUCUUUUCUUGAGCCUUCUCCAUGUUGUCCAUCUGAUUUGACUUUUUGUCUCCCAUGAUUCUAGCUUGGAAUCAUGUGUUGUAUAAAUGGUGAAUGGACUCCCUUGAACUAUUCCUUUACCACAAGAUUUCUCCUUUACACAAACAAAUUAGGUUGAAUGACAAAUUUUGCUCUACCAAAAAUCUUUUUAGAUUUCUCCUUUCUCAUUUAGAAAGAAAUCAUUAUCCUUUAGGAUUAACAACAUUGUUGCUUUCUUCUUCAUUGAAUGUGGUAGAGUCAAAUGAUGCUAUGUACAACAUAGGUGAAUGAGUGAUGACAAAAUCAAUAGAUACAUGAAUGUAAAAAUGCUUGAAUGCAUGAAAGGGUGAUUACAUGUAUGUAGAUGAUGAAUGAAUGAUUUGAAACACAAAGAUGUUUGCUCAUGAAUGGACAAUGAAACUUUAUAUGCAUGAUGGAGUAUAAUGAAAAUAAAAUCAUUAAUAAGUGCAUGGAAGCUAGAAAUGUGAUGAUGACUUAAUGAAUGAUUGAUAUGAAGUGAUGUGAAGUUGAAAUGUUCCUGAAGAACUUACAAAAAAUGGAACUUAAUAUGUACAACAUGGGCACAAUGAAAACUAAAGUUUUGAUGAAUAUGAAAUAUAAUAAUAAAAAAUAAAGUAAAAUAAAACUAUGUAAAGUAAGGAUCAAAAGAUUUUCUUAAGAUCACUUUGAUAAAAAUUAUAUACAUUUGUUAAAUUUUUUUAUCAACAAACAAGAUGUUAGGACAAAUUUGUUUCUUCAUGUACAUUAAUUUUCGCAGCCCAAUGUUUGGGCCAUGACCAACUCAUGGGCCCAAUGGGCAUAGCCCAUUAAGCUCAAGCAAGCCUUCCCGUAUGAACCUGUACAUCAGCCCUUUUAUCAUCCAUAUUCCCUUUUAAGUUCUAUAAAUCAUAAUGUUCAAAUAAUAACUUCAUUGAAAUCGAUUCAUAAAAUCUAAGUAUAUACUCAUAAGGGUAUUCAUCAAUCAUAAUAUACAUAAAAAGUUUGCCAAACGAUUCUUAGCAAAUCACAUACAGUUUACAUGUACACAUUCAAACACUCUGAAUGUUAGCCGAGUGACUCUAGGCAUGGGGGCUAACACUUAGUAUCAUGGCAACCCUACCGAACAAUAGAUAAAAAGGAGCACCUCAACCUAGGAUCCAAUCACCUCUCAAUUUAGAAAACCUAAAACAUGAAGUUAAAAAGAGUGAGUAUAAACCCAAUGAGUGAACGUAGAAAGGGAACAAGCAUUAAUACGGGAAGUUUUAAAAAACAUGAUGCACUUAUGUUGAAAAUAAUACAAUUUAGCUUAAUUUCUUCUCACAACAAAAAUCCAUUUUCGCUAUAGUGAAAAUCAAUUGGAAAACAUUUCUCAAGUUUUAACAUUCAAUAAUCGAUGCAACCACAAUAUAAUUUCAUAACCUCUAUAUAUAUAAUAUAAAUAUAAACAUAAAUACGACCACCGGCCUCACCCUAACUCUCCCUCAACUGGGUCAUCAUCAGCUCAUGUGCACUGCUACACCGCACAUGGAUAGGUCGUCAUCAGCUCAUGUGCACUCCUACACUGCACAUGGAUGGGUCGUCAUCAGCUCAUGUGCAUUCCUACACCGCACAUAGCUAGGUCAUCAUCAGCUCAUGUGCACUCUUACACCGCACAUAGCUGGGUCAUAAUUAUCACACAAUAGUAUCAUUCAAUGCAUAAAAUACAUAUUAACAUAAUGUGGGAACAAAUGAAUUCAUCACAUUCAUAUUUCAUAACAUAACAACGUUUCAUCGAGGGCUUGUUCCCAUGCAACUUUUAAUGAAAAACUAACAAAUAUUUCACGUAGCUCAAUCAAGCAUAUAAAUCACUUAUUGCAAAACAUUUUAAUGCAAGUUCACUCACCGAUCCUCGUUGAUUCUUAAAUUGACUCCAACUCCCACUAAUGGUCCUAAUGGAGAUGUGGGGUCUUGUUGGAACCUAUCACACAUAAUAGCAUCACAAAUCAACUCAAUUCACAUAACGGUAAUUCUAAAGGCUAUCUACUAAAUCAUGUUCUACUAGUUAUUCCUAGCUAACUCCCAACUACCAUUAAGUGGCUAUCUAUUUUUACUAUUCUAGUCACACUAAAAUGAAUAAACCACCUCAACUACAAAACACUCACAAAUCUAACCACUAGUCAUUCUCAAUAACUUAAAAAUCAACUCAAUUCUUUUACUCAUCUUGGUAGCUUUGUAAUUGAAUUCUUUUUCAAAAGCUUUCAAACUAUUAUGAAAAAUCUUUCUUUCUCUCUCUAAAAUGUCCAACUAGUGAGAGAAAGUAUUAAAGAAAGGCCUUUGAGGGUUUUAAGGUGAAAGAGUAAAAGAGCACAAAGGAUCUUGUAAAAAGGUGCACAAAAGUAUGAAAAUUCGGGUUAACUUGAGAAAAUUUAUGGAGGUUUCAAAGCAAGCUUCCAUGGAAGGUGAGAAAACGUGAGAAAGGAAGAUGAAGUUGCUAGAAACUUAGAUAUUUAUGCCUAAUGUUUAUACAAUUUUUCACGACAUUACCAAAAUGCCUUUACCAAGGUCACUUUGUCUUCCGUUUACCUUUGUACAAUCUUUUUACUUCUUUGACACUAAGACAAAGUCCAUAAUAGUCUAGAAAUACUCAGGUUCAUGAAAACUUAAAAAUUUUGACUCAAGAUGCAAAAUGACCAUUUUACCCCUACUAUGAAAAUUAUCAGUAUUUCUAUCUUCUUCAUUUAUUUUACCAUCAUUCAUUUAUUCCUUAGGUCUAUUUAGACCUUAAUAACAUUUGAGAGCUACUUCCAAGAGCUCACCAUGAGAAAUGAUGAAAUUGCCCCUAGUCCAUGUUAUCGUAUCUACUGCUAGUUAUGGGUCUAUAAAGGUCGAGGUUCCACAGGUUCACUUCCGAAUCACCUUUUUAACUCGAUAAUUAACCUCAAUUGGCAUCCAUAAGCUUUAUUAGCCACCACAUCAAAGUACGGGGUACUACAGUCUCCCCCAUUUAAAAUGAAUUCAUCCUAGAAUUCAAAUCAACGUAGGGUGAAUAGUCAAAGUUCUAAAAUUCUACCACAUCACUUUUGUCGAGCAUUCUUAACAUAAGAUCUUGGUUUAUGCAUUAUUUCAACUUCCACUCUUUAUAGAAAACUCAACAAUGUCAUAAUACAUUUAAUAAUUGGUACUACUCUUGUUGGAUCAAAAAAAUAUCAUUCUUCAUCUUAUGAAGAGAAUUCAAAUAUGCUAUUAAUUCUAGUCACACCCUAAUCAAAUCAUCCUUAAAUAAUCAAUUAUGCAUGUUUACUUAACCAUCCACAACUCCUUUAUCUUUAUCUUUUAUCAAACCUUUCCACAUUCAAGCAUUUCAUAAUACAUAAGGGUCAAAACACGCUUUAUUUAUUUCAGAUAUAUUUAACAUCAUGGAUGAUUCAAAUCUAAUAACCAUUAGUAACCAUAUUCCUAAAAACAAACUCUAAUACUUUCAUGAUCGAGUGCUCACUAGAUAAAUCUCAACUUAUACCACCAAGCAUUUUAAUAAACCAUGACAUCCCACAUAUCUUCUUAUGAUCUUAACUAAUCUCUUUAAUUAAUAACUCAACCUCUUAAGGUUAAAGUUGCUCAAAAUUUUUCCUUUAAAGUUCCUUUCCUAGUCUCGUCUUGAUUACUAAUCAUCUCUAUAUUUCCAAUGUCAUAGCUAAUUUGUUCGUCAUCAACCACAUACAACAUAUCUAACUUGAAAUUCCUCAAACUUACUCCAAAUGUCAGAUCUCAUGGCCUCAUUAGUUUAUCAAUCUGAGGAUAAAAUUAGACACUGAUCUUUCCUGAAAUGCAGUUUAAAAUCAAGGAAUCAUUUACUAAGACCUCUCCUAAUUUAACUUCUUUUAGCCAUUUUUACCUUAGAAAAUUAAAUCCAUAAUCAUUCAUUCUAAAUCUUGGGCUUUAUGCCAAUCAAGGCAGAUUUUACACUUUUACUUACACGAAUUCAAAUGCACACCUUCAUGCAUAAGCUAUAAACUUUUUCCCAAAUCUUUAUAUAUCAAAACUAUAUAUUAGAGCUAUACCAAAAUUGAUACAUCAUUUUCCAUUGCUCCUUAAGAUGUUAAAUUCAUGUCAUACUUCUCUAUUUGUGUAUUUCAUAAUAGCCUAACAAUUUCUAGCUCACAGUUAAGCUAGUUCAUAUGCCAAGCCUCUCAGGCUAUAUCAAAACACCAAGUUUGAUCACGAUAUAAUAGAAUUUGAUGAACUUAUACCAGAAGUAUAAACACUUAGUUUUAAGUUAACAGCAUCAUAAUCAACUUGUUCACUGCCAAAAUCAGCGAUAAAUUAUCUUAAUCAUUGUUUAGCACUAUAAUCAUUGAUAGAAUAUCAUCAUCGAAUCAAAUUAUAACCAACCCGUGUGAGCUUUUGUACCAAUAUGCAACAUAUAUAUCCAUACAUAUAUAUUUCCAAAAAUUUUAACUUCGAGUAGCCUUAGGCAUAUCAAGCUUAAUAAGCCAUCUGUAAAACCAAAAUAACCAACAAUCAAGUUUAGGAUCAUUUUUUCUUAUAGUUUAUUAGAUCAUGCUCAUCAUUUGUGGUGAAUACACAAAGUUGAUUUCAAUAUUCCAUUCUCAUACGAGAGUCAACCACUAAUUGGCACCAUCCCUAAACACCACGUGUUUUAUAGUCGAUUUUAUUAGCCAAAAUUCAUAUUGUAGGAUUCCAAUUCUAGGUCAUGUCUCAUUACCAAAUCUUUACUCGUAUAUGAGUACUUGAAUUCUCUUUUCUAAGUAGAUCUCUACAAUUCCUGUAGUGUAUUUCUAUUCCCUCACCAGUAGUAGUAUCAUUUAAUCCAAUCGUAUGACCCUCGUUCUCUAAACAUUUGAAACACAAUUUAACCUUUGCCUACCCUUAUCAGGCACUUUCCCUUGAUAAUUACUCAAAAUAAAUUGGACUUGUGGGGGAAGCACAUUUCACGAUUUUUGUCUUGCGUCUACAAGUAUAUCGAGACCAUAACCUCAUCAAGUCUACCUAAUGGCAAGAUAAUCAUUGCCUUAAACCAACAUUUCCAACCAUCAUUAUAUUUGCAACAUAUUUUUAUACUUAUGUGACAUAUUAGUCACGAGCCCCAAUUUAACUAUAUAGCCAUUCACUCUUCGAGCUUUAGUGUUUUUCUCAUUGUGAGAAAUCUCUCGAAUUUAUCUCACCAGAAUGUUCAUAGAGUGGUUACAAGUCCAUAACUUAUAGGUCAAUGCCUAAAGCAGUGAACACCAUCUUAUUGUUAAAGUUUUAUCCUUAUCUAUCAUUCAUAGCUCCCCUGCACAUUUACCUAUACAUUUAUGGGUUACUCACAAGCCACUCAAGGCCAUCCAAAUUCGACCUCUUAUAGCAAGUUAAGCUUGUAUAUUCCCUUAUGCUUUUCAAUACACUUCUAAAAUGCUUAAACACUUCCUUUAAUAAGGUUUUAUUGAGGACUUAAUAAUCCAAAGCUUAUCUUCAAAGCCACUCAUAACUUUAACAAUUUAAUGUAUGCUUAAUUUUUGCUCAUUGACCUCGAUAGACAUUAUUUAAAGAUCUUCCAAAGUGUCCGUGUUCUUAAUCCUGACCAUACAAUCUAACUUAGUAUACUUGCAUUGAUUUUCCUUAAGCUUAUUAUGUUCGUUAUAACAACAUCCACAUUUCUCUCAUCAUUUAUCUUACUUUUUGUUCACUCUUUCCUUAGUCUUUAACAAGGCUUAAUCUCUUGUCUCCCUUAUUUCUUAGGUUUUGACUUUAGUUAGCAUAAUGUUUAUCUUAAUAUUUCACAUGGUAAUUUAUAUAAAAAAACUCUCCAACUUCUCAUUUACCUACAUGCCAAUAUAUAAGACCAUAAAGAAACUUCCCAAUUCAUUCAUAUAAAUACCUUCCAAAACCUUAAAACUCCAAUUAACGAAGCUUAUCAUCCAGGCCAAUGACUUUAAUUCAAUUUGUAAGUUCAACUUCACACCUUUCACAUCUUAUUCAUGCAUCCUAAACAUGAGGUGUUCCCAGCGCUACGGCAUGAUGGCUGUUGAAGUUUACUUAAUCAACAGUAUUCGUCUACAUUUAAGGUUACUACAUUAAUCAUCCUCAACCGUUGGUGUUCCUCCAGGCUUACAUUACAAUUUUCACAACCAUUUAUAUUCUCUUGUGCUUAUCACAUAUAAUAGACCAAGCGAAUAUUUUCAAAUUCACCUCAUUCUUUAACACUAGUCAACCAUAAAUAAAUCCCACCUUAGAACAUUGUUUUCAUUUGUAUAAUGACUUCACCACAUACGUAUAACACCACACACACCAUUAUUCACUGUUUCUAGUGUUCCACAAUUCCUUAGUAUUCACAACUAAUUGUCUUUCUUAUCUUAUAACUCAAAUAGUUUAACCACUUCAACUUAAUAUCAUCAUGAAUUUUGUCCAUCUUGAUCAUUCUAUUUAUGUUCACAUUAUUACUUCGAAAUUCUAGAAUUUAUUCUUCCCCCAUUAUCAUAAUUAUUGCCAAUAAUGUAUAUUAUGUUAAUUAGUAUCAUAUAGUACCAUCUAUGCAACCUAUGAUGACCCAAAUUCCGGGCCAUGACCGGCGCAAGGGCCCAAUAGACGUAGUCCAUUAAGUCCGAGCAAGCUUAUCUAUCUAUCCCACUCAUCAUUCCAUCAAAUAUUGCUAAGUCACAAUUUAUAACUUUAAAUCAAAAUUUUGAUAGACAUUGCCAACUCGUAUUGGCAUUACUCAUUUAAAAUAUACAUACAUUAUCUACAGCAUGUAUCUCAAUAAUUUACAUCAAGUUUAUCUAUACAUAAAAAAAAAGACUCGAUUUCCAGCGGAGGGACUUGGACGAAUGUACAGCUACUGAAUGCCGAGACACCUACCAAAAUAUGGAUACAAGUCUACAAGGACACCUCGUCCUAGUUACCGACUGCCUCGUGAUCUGAAAACAUGAAGUUGAAAAUGGUGAGUAUAAACCCAGUGAGUGAACAAGAAAGGGAACAAGCAUACCAUAAGGAAUCUUUAAUGAAAUCAUGAUGCAUUCUUUUUCAAAACAAUGCAAUUUGUUUCUAUUCUUAUUAAAAACCCCUCAUCUAGCCCUUAAAUAAUUAAUCAAUUGUAAUAAUGAAUCCAUACAUAUAAAAUAAUUUGAAAAAUGAAAUCUUCAAUAUUACGCAAGCAAGUCAAAUACGACAACAAAUCUUCGCUGCAACGAGAAUGAAUUUUCGUUGCAGCGAUGUUGGGAUUAAGUUGUUAGCCGAACUAGGGUUUCUCACUAAACCUCUCCAUUUUAAACUUAACUCAUUUAAUCCUUAAUGUUGGAAGUCCAUGCUUCGGUAUGGUAGCAAAGAAGUGAAAGAUAGGGCAGCAAUUAGAGAAGAGAAGAGACCAAACCAGAAGGUUUUUCACUGCAGCAAGAAAGAAUCUCGUUGCAGCGAAAUUGUAACCCAGAAACAGAAGGUUUCUUGCUACAGCGAAAUUUCACUGAUGAAACAGAGAGUUUUUUGUUGCAGCGAGAAGCUACAGUGACUAUCUCGCUGCAGCGAGAACCAAUUCUGGUGAAGGUUCUCAAACCCGAGAGUUUCUCGUUGCAGCGAGAAUGAAUUUCGCUGCAGCAACAAUAGAAAAGUUUCCCCUCAUUCAACAAAAAGGCCAUCCUGCUAAACCAACAAAAUCAACAUACAACACAUGAAAAUUCCCAAAGUGCAAUGUAUCAAAUUUCUCACAUAUGUCAAUCAUAUAUCACAUUCAUAAGUUUUCAUUUCAUAAGUCUAGAUAUGCAUAAUUACAUAGAUAAACAUCAACAUCAUCAUAAACACACCNNNNNNNNNNNNNNNNNNNNNNNNNNNNNNNNNNNNNNNNNNNNNNNNNNNNNNNNNNNNNNNNNNNNNNNNNNNNNNNNNNNNNNNNNNNNNNNNNNNNNNNNNNNNNNNNNNNNNNNNNNNNNNNNNNNNNNNNNNNNNNNNNNNNNNNNNNNNNNNNNNNNNNNNNNNNNNNNNNNNNNNNNNNNNNNNNNNNNNNNNNNNNNNNNNNNNNNNNNNNNNNNNNNNNNNNNNNNNNNNNNNNNNNNNNNNNNNNNNNNNNNNNNNNNNNNNNNNNNNNNNNNNNNNNNNNNNNNNNNNNNNNNNNNNNNNNNNNNNNNNNNNNNNNNNNNNNNNNNNNNNNNNNNNNNNNNNNNNNNNNNNNNNNNNNNNNNNNNNNNNNNNNNNNNNNNNNNNNNNNNNNNNNNNNNNNNNNNNNNNNNNNNNNNNNNNNNNNNNNNNNNNNNNNNNNNNNNNNNNNNNNNNNNNNNNNNNNNNNNNNNNNNNNNNNNNNNNNNNNNNNNNNNNNNNNNNNNNNNNNNNNNNNNNNNNNNNNNNNNNNNNNNNNNNNNNNNNNNNNNNNNNNNNNNNNNNNNNNNNNNNNNNNNNNNNNNNNNNNNNNNNNNNNNNNNNNNNNNNNNNNNNNNNNNNNNNNNNNNNNNNNNNNNNNNNNNNNNNNNNNNNNNNNNNNNNNNNNNNNNNNNNNNNNNNNNNNNNNNNNNNNNNNNNNNNNNNNNNNNNNNNNNNNNNNNNNNNNNNNNNNNNNNNNNNNNNNNNNNNNNNNNNNNNNNNNNNNNNNNNNNNNNNNNNNNNNNNNNNNNNNNNNNNNNNNNNNNNNNNNNNNNNNNNNNNNNNNNNNNNNNNNNNNNNNNNNNNNNNNNNNNNNNNNNNNNNNNNNNNNNNNNNNNNNNNNNNNNNNNNNNNNNNNNNNNNNNNNNNNNNNNNNNNNNNNNNNNNNNNNNNNNNNNNNNNNNNNNNNNNNNNNNNNNNNNNNNNNNNNNNNNNNNNNNNNNNNNNNNNNNNNNNNNNNNNNNNNNNNNNNNNNNNNNNNNNNNNNNNNNNNNNNNNNNNNNNNNNNNNNNNNNNNNNNNNNNNNNNNNNNNNNNNNNNNNNNNNNNNNNNNNNNNNNNNNNNNNNNNNNNNNNNNNNNNNNNNNNNNNNNNNNNNNNNNNNNNNNNNNNNNNNNNNNNNNNNNNNNNNNNNNNNNNNNNNNNNNNNNNNNNNNNNNNNNNNNNNNNNNNNNNNNNNNNNNNNNNNNNNNNNNNNNNNNNNNNNNNNNNNNNNNNNNNNNNNNNNNNNNNNNNNNNNNNNNNNNNNNNNNNNNNNNNNNNNNNNNNNNNNNNNNNNNNNNNNNNNNNNNNNNNNNNNNNNNNNNNNNNNNNNNNNNNNNNNNNNNNNNNNNNNNNNNNNNNNNNNNNNNNNNNNNNNNNNNNNNNNNNNNNNNNNNNNNNNNNNNNNNNNNNNNNNNNNNNNNNNNNNNNNNNNNNNNNNNNNNNNNNNNNNNNNNNNNNNNNNNNNNNNNNNNNNNNNNNNNNNNNNNNNNNNNNNNNNNNNNNNNNNNNNNNNNNNNNNNNNNNNNNNNNNNNNNNNNNNNNNNNNNNNNNNNNNNNNNNNNNNNNNNNNNNNNNNNNNNNNNNNNNNNNNNNNNNNNNNNNNNNNNNNNNNNNNNNNNNNNNNNNNNNNNNNNNNNNNNNNNNNNNNNNNNNNNNNNNNNNNNNNNNNNNNNNNNNNNNNNNNNNNNNNNNNNNNNNNNNNNNNNNNNNNNNNNNNNNNNNNNNNNNNNNNNNNNNNNNNNNNNNNNNNNNNNNNNNNNNNNNNNNNNNNNNNNNNNNNNNNNNNNNNNNNNNNNNNNNNNNNNNNNNNNNNNNNNNNNNNNNNNNNNNNNNNNNNNNNNNNNNNNNNNNNNNNNNNNNNNNNNNNNNNNNNNNNNNNNNNNNNNNNNNNNNNNNNNNNNNNNNNNNNNNNNNNNNNNNNNNNNNNNNNNNNNNNNNNNNNNNNNNNNNNNNNNNNNNNNNNNNNNNNNNNNNNNNNNNNNNNNNNNNNNNNNNNNNNNNNNNNNNNNNNNNNNNNNNNNNNNNNNNNNNNNNNNNNNNNNNNNNNNNNNNNNNNNNNNNNNNNNNNNNNNNNNNNNNNNNNNNNNNNNNNNNNNNNNNNNNNNNNNNNNNNNNNNNNNNNNNNNNNNNNNNNNNNNNNNNNNNNNNNNNNNNNNNNNNNNNNNNNNNNNNNNNNNNNNNNNNNNNNNNNNNNNNNNNNNNNNNNNNNNNNNNNNNNNNNNNNNNNNNNNNNNNNNNNNNNNNNNNNNNNNNNNNNNNNNNNNNNNNNNNNNNNNNNNNNNNNNNNNNNNNNNNNNNNNNNNNNNNNNNNNNNNNNNNNNNNNNNNNNNNNNNNNNNNNNNNNNNNNNNNNNNNNNNNNNNNNNNNNNNNNNNNNNNNNNNNNNNNNNNNNNNNNNNNNNNNNNNNNNNNNNNNNNNNNNNNNNNNNNNNNNNNNNNNNNNNNNNNNNNNNNNNNNNNNNNNNNNNNNNNNNNNNNNNNNNNNNNNNNNNNNNNNNNNNNNNNNNNNNNNNNNNNNNNNNNNNNNNNNNNNNNNNNNNNNNNNNNNNNNNNNNNNNNNNNNNNNNNNNNNNNNNNNNNNNNNNNNNNNNNNNNNNNNNNNNNNNNNNNNNNNNNNNNNNNNNNNNNNNNNNNNNNNNNNNNNNNNNNNNNNNNNNNNNNNNNNNNNNNNNNNNNNNNNNNNNNNNNNNNNNNNNNNNNNNNNNNNNNNNNNNNNNNNNNNNNNNNNNNNNNNNNNNNNNNNNNNNNNNNNNNNNNNNNNNNNNNNNNNNNNNNNNNNNNNNNNNNNNNNNNNNNNNNNNNNNNNNNNNNNNNNNNNNNNNNNNNNNNNNNNNNNNNNNNNNNNNNNNNNNNNNNNNNNNNNNNNNNNNNNNNNNNNNNNNNNNNNNNNNNNNNNNNNNNNNNNNNNNNNNNNNNNNNNNNNNNNNNNNNNNNNNNNNNNNNNNNNNNNNNNNNNNNNNNNNNNNNNNNNNNNNNNNNNNNNNNNNNNNNNNNNNNNNNNNNNNNNNNNNNNNNNNNNNNNNNNNNNNNNNNNNNNNNNNNNNNNNNNNNNNNNNNNNNNNNNNNNNNNNNNNNNNNNNNNNNNNNNNNNNNNNNNNNNNNNNNNNNNNNNNNNNNNNNNNNNNNNNNNNNNNNNNNNNNNNNNNNNNNNNNNNNNNNNNNNNNNNNNNNNNNNNNNNNNNNNNNNNNNNNNNNNNNNAACAUCAAAAUUUUCAAUUUUACCCCUAAUGAACCCUCGAACUCCGAACAAUCAUUUUUAGUCAUUCCUUGACUAUAAAAUAUUAAAUUUCAUCCUACGAUUCCUAUUUGAACUAGUUCAAGGUUAAAUCAACUCAAGUGUACCGUUAGGUACGAUACCGGGUUUCGUCUAUUCUUAGGUACUUUCCUAGCAUAAUAACAUGCUACUCAAUGCAUGUAUGUCAUGACAUGUGUUUAUAGGGUCUGGUUUUACAAAAACACUCAUAAAUCCCAAUUACUAGCCAUUUUCUGUAGCUAAAAACCAAGCUUAAUUCAUCACUUACCCUAGGGCUCCUUUGUAGUCAAAUUCUCUUCCAAUUACUUCCAAAUCAAUGGGAUAAUUCUCUUUUUCUCUCUCUAAAAUGUCCAACUAGUGAGAGAAAGUGCAGAAAUGAGAUUUAUCAAGGGUUUUAAAGCAAGAGGAUGAAAUAGCACAAGGGUUUAUGGAAGGGUGCACCAAAAGCAUGACAAUUGAAGUUAGAGAGAGAAAGUUAUGGAAGCUUGAAGAAAACUCCCAUUGAGGAAUUGAAGAAACAUUAGAGAGGAGAAGGGAAGAAGAAGACCAGCUGUUGGAAAAUCUCUAGAAGCUGCUUGAAAUUCAAGAUAUUUAUAGCCAAUCUUAUCCAUUCCUUUAAUAUUCCGAAAAUGCCCCUCCACCAAUUAACUUAUCUCCCUUCAAUCUUUUAUGUAAUCAUUUUGCUCUUUUAACACUGGGACAAGAUCCAUAAUGGUCUAGACAUGUUCGGGUUCAUAAAAACUUAAAAUUUUAACCCAAGGUGAAAAAUAACCAUUUUGGCCCUGUUAUGAAAAUUGUUGAAACUUCUAGUUUUCUUCGUGUUUUCAUCAACACACAUCAUUUAUGCAGUCUUAUACCCAUUUAUGCCUUAAAAUAUAAUAAAACUUUCUGCUGGAAGCUUAUUAGAGAAAAUGAUGAAAUUACCCCUAGCUCGUAUUAUUACAUCUAUACUUAGUUACAAGCCUAUAGAGGUUGAGGUCUCACAUAACCCAUCAAGCACAUUGUGUUCAAAUCUCAAAUUGCUAAGAAUAAUUCUUUAUUCCCACCGAUGACAUGAGUAACUCCACAUAUACAUAUAUACAUCCAUUUCAAUGUCAACAUCCUUACCACGUGUAAGAACCCCUUCUUACUUUCCUCAAUUUUGACAUAUCUAUUCCCCAUUUCACCCUUUGUGGUAUGCCUAGAUUAUCUUUUAGGCAUAGUUCACUACUAGCAUUCAUAUACCUUUACCAUAAUAUUUGGCACAAAUUUGAUUAAACAAUGAUCUCCAAAUUUACUCUUAGAUACACAUAUAUCAAAUUGUACAUAACUUAGUGUUGAGAUCUUGACUUUACUCAUCAAUUCUUAACCAAUUACAUCUAUAGGAUAGGCAAUUCACUUAAUUUUUUAUGUCUUGCCUUUGCGAUCAUAAAAAUCAAAAUUUCCUAAACUUAGGAUUCAGAAGCUCUCUUUUUGAGCUUAUCCAAUAAUCCACAUUUCCCAAGUCCCUUACCUUUGGAAAAGUCACAUUCAAGGCUAAUCAUUUUCAUCAUAGUUUACAUACUUAAUCCACAUAAACUCCUAAAUCGAUCUUUAAAGCAAUUUGUGUAUCAAGCUCAAAUAUAAGACUCCAUAUGGCAUUUAGACUAAAAUCAACAUUUCUAAGUCAUUUAACUUCAAGCUACCAAAUCCACAGCUAACCCUUUAAUCCUUUGACUUCACGCUAAGCACAGCAAAUUCAAGCUCAUCCUUAGAGCAUAUUUGUUUACUAACCUUUUACUUCUUGACCACACAUGAAUUAUAAUAGUCAUUGAUUUUUCACCCUUGAGUUAAUUCAUGUACUUAUAACUAUACAUCAUAAUAGUUCAAAUCAAUUCUUGAGAUAUAGCAAUCACUUAAUUGAAAUCAAAGCCAACUCCAUCUAAGCUGCUAUACACAUAUUCAACACAUAUUUGCAUAAAUAUUUCGAAAGCCCAACACCAUUUAUAUAUGGGCAUAACAAGCUUAACUAACAUAGUGCACUCACCCCCGUGCACAUAACUAUUGGUUUACACCUCCCUCAAUGCUUAGAUUUGUAAACUUCAAGUGAAUUACAACCAUCAAUAUUCUUCCAGUCAAAGUAUGCCCUUAAUUACCAUUAUCACACGUGCUCCUCUAUAUUGACCUCAAAUGCAAUCCAUAUGUCACGACCCAAUUUCCCGGGUCAUGCCCGACGCAUGAGCUUAAUGAGCAUAGCUCAUUAAGCCCAAGCAAGCCUAUCCAUUUACCUUUGCUUAACAAAUUUAUCAUAUUAUGCAUACACACACACACCUUUUUUCGGGUGUGAACAUAGCCAAAACACAAUGGCAUUAUCGAUAAUAAUAUACAUGCACUAUACCAAUCAUGUAUUUAGCAAUUUACAUUGCAUACACAUAUUCACAUUGUUAGAUUGUAUUCACAAUACAAAAGGACCCAUGACUUCCAGCAGAGACAUUUACAAUAAAAGGGAUUACUAUCAAAUGCCAGACACAUACCUAGGAGAUGCACUAGAGGGACUCCUCGAUCUAGGGUCCAACAGUCACUUGAUCUGAAAACAUGAAUUUUUAUAAAACGUGAGUACAAUACUCAGUGAGUGAAUAUUAGAAGGGAACAAGCAAUCUCAUAAGGAAUGUUGAUCGAAAUCAUAAUGCAUUCAUUUUCUCAAAACCAUGCAAUUGUUUUAGCUCCUUUAAACCCAUGAUGUAAACCCACAUGAGUAAAUCACUUUACAAAAAUCCAUACUCAACUAUGGUACCAAAGAAAUGGGAAAUAUGGAAAAAACCCACAAGUUAGCAAAAUGGAUAGAAAGUUUCUCGUUGCAGCGAGAACCAGUUCUGGUGAAGGCCCUCAAACCCGAGAGUUUCUCGCUGCAAGGAGAAUGAAUUUCGCUGCAGCGAAAACAAAGCAACAAGAGAAAAGUUUCCCUUCACUCAACAAAAGGGCUAUCCUACUAAACCAACAAAAUCAACAUAAAACUCAUGAAAAUUCCCAAAGUGCAAUGUAACAAAUUUCACAUAUAUGUCAACCAUAUAUCACAUUCAUGAGCUUUCAUUUCAGAAGUCUAGAUAUGCAUAAUUAGAUAGACAAACAUCAAUAUCAUCAUAAUCACACCCGGCUCAUAUACAUCCCCCCACAUCGUGCACAUAGCCGACACCAUCGUGUGCAUCCCCCCACAUCGUGCACAAUCAGUGCCAUUGUGUACAUCCCCUCACAUCGUGCACACGGGCACUAUCAUCAUCCAUCUCUCACGCCACCAUCAUCACCGGCAUGUGCAUCCCCCCACAUCGUGCACACACACGGUUAUAGUCAUUAUACACAAUAUCAUUCAUCAUGCACAACACACANNNNNNNNNNNNNNNNNNNNNNNNNNNNNNNNNNNNNNNNNNNNNNNNNNNNNNNNAUAUAUAUAUAUAUCAUCAUAUUGCAAUAAUGCAUGAAUCCAUAGCAAUCACAUAUCACAACAUCAAACCAUUUAACAAAAGCUUGUUCCCAAGGUACAUUUUCUAAGACAAGUUGGAUAGAAUCUUUCAUAUUCCCCAAAACAAGUUUGAAAUGCAAGUCCACUCACAGGUAUCAAAAAUUCGAAUUUCGGGUGCACUCGGACUAAUAGCCCUCGGUGCAAUUCCUUUGCCUUUUCCGGACGUCUCACUACCUUGACAAAUAAUAAAGUCAAGGAAUUUACUAUAUUGUCCCUGAAUGGAUAUAAACUAAUUUAAAUUACUAAUGCUUGAUAUGUAAAUGCAAAAAUACGUCCAAUUACUGCUUAAUCGCGGUAUCGAUUAAAUUCGACCGAUCACCGAUUAAUUGGCGAUUGUGUCCAAAUCACCUCCAAAUUAAUCCAUUUCUCCUCUAAUACCUUAAUUUACCACAUACCAUUUAAAUAAAGCCAAAUUCAACAUUAGAACCCUCACAGUUCCUUAUAGAUAAAUUUGGUCAUUUGGUGCACUAGCACCGAAAUUUUUUCUACAUAACCGUUUCACCUUAAUUCAUCAUUUUUCAAGCCAUUUUCCUUGAAAUAAAAACAAUCCCCCAUUGAUAUUCAGCCCUCAUGGUUUGACCAACAAGGAACCUUAGAAAAAUUGAAUAUUUCUUUUGUGUUUUUGUUCAUAAUCAUGCUUAACUAUCUCUAAACACUAACAUAGUCUAAAAUCAAAUUAUUCCAACAAUAAUUCCUCUUCCAUACCCAUUUUUCAGAAUUGAAUUCAUCAUGAUAACUCAAUAUUCAACCAUGGAAAUCAAGAACAAAAGCAUGCAUAAGCUAGGUAUCAAGGAGAAUUAAAGAAAUUCGAACUUACCUAGCUUGUUUCCUUGAUUUUUUCACUUUUUCUUUGAAUUUUCACCUAGGUUUUCUUGUUUCUCCCUUUGUUCUUCCUUUGUUCUUGUUGCUGGCUGCCUAGGCCGAAUAUGGUGAGAGAAUUGAGGAUUUAAUGGGCUGAUUUCUAUAGAAAAUAAUAAAAUAAUCAAGCAUGUCGCGUGUCACAUGCUUAUUGGCCUAAUUUUUUUAACUUUUUGACUUUUUCUUCUUAAUUUUCCACCACAAAUAUUCUGGUAUUUAUCCAAUACUACCACAAUUAAAAUCCCUUGGUCUUGACAAGUGCUGGGGCGAAAAAUUUACCAAUCCGGGGAGGGAAAAUUACGAUUUUGCCCCUAUACUCCGAAAUAUACCGAAAUCACAUUAUUUCUACUUUUCAACCUCAAAUAACACUAAUAUUGAUCAAUAUUAACCAAAUGGGGCAAAAAUCGUUUUAUAAAAAUUCUCAUUUAGUCCUCUAGUGAUAAAAUUACCAUUUUACCCCUAUGCUCCAAAAAUAUCGAAAAUCACAAAUUUUCACUGCUAAACAUCAUUUUAUACUCCAAUAAUCAUAAUUAUAUUCAAUAUAAUUAUUCUUGGUCAAAUGUGAUCAAAUCUUAGCUAGAAAUCUCCAUUUUAUCAUCAAAUGGUAAAAUGACCAUUUUGUCCCUAAUCGGUCAAUUUUCCUGAUGGACUCCAAACUGCACCUUGAACUCCGAAUCACUAUUCUAAGCCAUUCUGUGGGUUUCAAAAUUUUAAAAUUCCUCUUAGAAUUUCUAUUUGAACUAGUUCAAGGCUCGAUUUAACUUAGUUGUACCACUCGGUACAAUACCGUCUUUUAAUCGAGCUUGACAGGGUCUCACACCAUAGUCAUCUAAUUGUCUUCCCGUUGACAAUUAUGGGCUCAAAUUAUAACUCUACCAAAUGACUAAGUUAUUACGGACCUAUUAGUCCAACUACAUUUCCCUCCAUCCUUAGUCGGAGGGAUACGUCAUUAUAGUAACCAUUCAUUAAGAGCAUUUGCUUUAAAAUCUUACCAACAACAGGUCGUAUCUCAGGUGGCAUCACAACCCCUAACAAUGGCACCACUUAGGACCUUUAUAUGACGUUAGCAAAAGGGUAGAUUACUAGGAAUAGGAGUUUAUGUAGCCUCCUUACUAUGACUUGGCUGCAGUCAUAAACUAUAAACAAGACUCUACAUUAACUCUGACAACUUCGCUGACUGACAUAAAAAUCCCUAAGACUCAACUAAACCUACAGCUUUGAUACCAACAUUAUCACAGCCCAAUUUCUAGGCCAUGAUCGACGCAUGGGCCCAAUGGGCAUAGCCCACUAAGCCCAAGCAAGCCUUCCCAUAUGAACUUGUACGUCAACCCCUUUAUCAUCCAUAUUCUCUUUUAAGUUCCAUAAAUCAUAAUGUUCAAAUAAUAACUUCAUUGAAAUCGAUUCAUAAAAUCUAAGUAUAUACUUAUAAUGGUAUUCAUCAAUCAUAAUAUACAUAAAAGGUUUCCCAAACGAUUCUUAGCAAAUCACAUAUAGGUUACAUGUACACAUUCAAACACUCUGAACAUCAACAGAGUGACUCUAGGCAUGGGGGCUAACAUUUAGUAUCAUGGCAACCCUACCGAACAAUAGAUAAGAAGGAGCACCUCGACCUAGGAUUCAAUCACCUCUCAAUUCAAAAAACCUAAAACAUGAAGUUAAAAAAAGUGAGUAUAAACCCAAUGAGUGAACAUAGGAAGGGAACAAGCAUUAAUACGUGAGUUUUAGAAAACAUGAUGCACUUAUGUUGGAAACAAUGCAAUUUAGCUUAAUUUCUUGUCACAAUGAAAAUCCAUUUUCGCUACAGUGAAAAUCAAUUGGAAAGCAUUUCUCAAGUUUUAACAUUCAAUAAUCGAUGAAACCACAAUAUAAUUUCCAUAACCUCUAUAUAUAUAAUAUAUAUAUAAACAUACAUACGACCACCAGCCUCACCCUAACACCGCACAUGGUUGGGUCAUCAUCAUCUCAUGUGCACUCCUACACCGCACAAGGCUGGGUCAUCAUCAACUCAUGUGCACUCCUACACUGCACACUCCUAAACCGCACAUGGCUGGGUCAUCAUCAGCUCAUGUGCACUCCUACAUCGCACAUAGCUGGGUCAUCAUCAACUCAUGUACACUCCUACACCGCACAUAGUUGGGUCAUAAUUAUCACACAAUAGUAUCAUUCAAUGCAUAACAUACAUAUCAACAUAAUGUGGGAACAAAUGAAUUCAUCACAUUCAUAUCUCACAACAUAAAAAUGUUUCAUCAAUGGCUUGUUCCCAUGCAACUUUUAAAGAAAAACCAACCAAUAUUUCAAGUAGCUCAAUAAAGCAUAUAAAUCACUUAUUCCAAAACAUUUUAAUGCAAGUUCACUCACCGAUCCUCGUUAAUUCUUAAAUGGACUCUAACUCUCACUAAUGGUCCGAAUGGAGAUUUGGGGUCUCGUUGGAACCUAUCACACAUAAUAGCAUCACAAAUAAACUCAAUUCACAUAACCAUAAUUCUUAAAGCUAUCUCCUAAAUCAUGUUCUACUAGUUAUUCCUAGCUAGCUCCCAACUACCAUUAAGUGGCUAUCUAUUUUUACUAUUCUAGUCUCACUAAAAUGAAUAAACCACCUCAACUAUAAAACACUCACAAAUCUAACCACUAGCCAUUCUCAACAACUUAUAAAUCAAUUCAAUUCUAUUACUCACCUUGGUAGCUUUGUAAUUGAAUUCCUUUUCAAAAGCUUUCAAACUAUUGUGAAAAAUCUUUCUUUCUCUCUUUAGAACGUCCAGCUAGUGAGAGAAAGUAUUAAGGAAAGGCUUUUGAGGAUUUUAAGGUGAAUGAGUAAAAGAGCACAAAGGACUUUGUAAAAAGGUGCACAAAAGCAUGAAUAUUGGGGUUAACUUGAGAAAAUUUAUGGAAGUUUCAAAGCAAGCUUCCAUGGAAGGUGAGAAAACGUGAGAAGGGAAGAAGAAGAAGAAGAAGUUGCUAGAAACUUAGAUAUUUAUGCCUAAUGUUUAUCCAAUUUCUCAUGAAAUUAUGAAAAUGCCCUUACCAAGGUCACUUUGUCUUCCCCUUACCUUUGUACAAUCUUUUUACUUCUUUGACAUUGAGACAAAGUCCAUAAUAGUCUAGAAAUACUCAAGUUCAUGAAAACUUAAAAAUUUCGACUCGAGAUGCAAAAUGACCAUUUUGCCCCUAUCGUGAAAAUUAUAAGUAUUUCUAUCUUCUUCAUUUAUUUUACCAUCAUUCAUUUAUUCCUUAGGUCUAUUUAGAUCUUAAUAACAUUUGAGAGCUACUUCCAGAGCUCACCAUGAGAAAUGAUAAAAUUACCCUUGGUCUGUGUUAUUGCUUUUAUUGCUAUUUAUGGGUCUAUAAAGGUCAAAGUUUCACAGAUUCACUUCUGAAUCACCUUUUUAACUUGGUAAUUAACCUUAAUUGGAAUCCAUAAGCUUUAUUAGCCACCAUAUCAAAGUACGAGGUACUACAUUAAUUUAGGGUGUUUCUAUGGAAUAGGUUGGCAUGGCUCUACUUAAAAGCUAGCUUUCUAUGAUUUUCUACAUACAGAGUUUGAAUUUGACAAGAAGCUAAAGGUUCCCAAAUUGCUCCCCACUGUUGUUCACUCUAGACUAGUAUUGCACUUUAAUCCUCGGCCAUCACAGACUAGCAAUGGAAAAGGUUCAAUCUGAGUCAAAGUAUUUCACAUGCCCACACGAAGGUUAUCACCUCAUGAGAGCAAGGUACUCUACUUCCUCCUAAAAAGAUAGAGCCCAGGUAUAAAGCUCAUCUAUGAACAUGUUGUGUGUGAGAAGGAAGAUGCAAAUAUUUGACCAAUCAUCUCAUAACCUCUAUCCAAAACACCCCAUAUUUAUUAUAUACAAUAAGUAAAUAAUCAAAGAAAUAAGGAAAUAAAGUAAAUCAAAGCAAUUUUGUUUUUAAAUUAAGGGAAUAAGUUGAAUAUUGAAUUUAAUCAAUUAAUUAAGGCUUAAGGUAACACAUAAUUAAUUAUUGGGUCGACUCUCAAAUUCUCUAGUGGAGUUCCAAGCUAUUAUAAUUUGUGAGUUUGUAAACUCAAUCAUUCGACAUAAAAGAGGAACCGCCACCAAUAUCUCUUUGAUUAAGUGUGAUUAGCCACCUAGGAGAAUCUAUCGUUUUUAAUAAGGUCUUAAGCUUAACUUAUGUUUAUUAAAAAUAAUAGGUUUCAGUCUACAAAACAAGCUAAAUUCGGAAGCCCAAUUACGUUUAAGGAAGGUAUUAGUACCCUCACAACGCUCACUCAACAUGGUACCUAAUUAAUUAUGUGUUAUCCUUUAAGCCUUAAUAACUAAACUUUAUUUUGAUACUCAAGUUUACUUCCUUCUGUCCUUUUUUUUCAUGUUAUUAUUUUAUUGUUUUCAUUAGUUUGCUUUUUUCUUAAAAAUAAAAAUAAAAAUCCUUUUGUAUUAAAAUAUUUCCUAAAUACUCUAACAUUUAUGGCAGAAUUCAACAAACAUCUCACACCAAGGAAUUUUCAAAAAGUUAUCACUUAUAACCCACUCAAAAUUUCAUUAGUGGAGAAUUUUUAUCUAUGCGUUUUUUAUUAAAAUUAUUAUACAUAUAUAUGAAUAUUAUAAUUUUAUUCCUAAUUUGCAAUAUUUCCAUUGUUUUAUUGUUAUUAUUUCAUGUUUGUAAUAAUUAUUUUUAAAAUAAACACUUUUUUGUAAAAACAAUUUAUGACAUUAUCCCCCUAACUCUUACUCUUAAUGGCAAGGUCCCAUAAUCAAUUUUACUCUAUAAAAUUUAAAAAAGUCACCAUUUGUGACCUUCUUUAAAAAUUCCAUUUAAAAAGAUUUGUCUUCAAACAAUUAUGAAUUUUUUAAAAUAAACCCUUUUUUUUGUAAAAACAAUUUAUGAGAUUAGCCCCCAAUAUUUAUGGUAAGGUCCCAUAAUAAUUUUUAUUCUAAACGAUCAUUAGUUACAAUUUUUAAACCUGAUUUUUUUAUUUUCUAUUUAGUUUUUUCUUUAAAAAAUAAAAAAAUUUAUAAAAAUUAAGACCCAAAUAGAAUAUUAUUUUUAUUUUUACUAUUACCAAAAAUAAAAAUAAUAAAACACAAAAGAAAAAAAUAAAUGCUAGACAAAAUAAAGCCAAAUAAUAAUAAUAAAUAUCAAAUUACCCAUACCUACCCUACAAUCAGUUAAAAAAAUCAUUAAUUGACUUAAUCGACUUUCCUUAAAAAAUUAAUCGAACCAAAUUGAUUUAAGUAUUUUAAUCGACUUUAGUGGGUUAAAUCGAUUUGAGCCGAUUUAGCCAAAAAAAUUUCAUUAGUUUUUUCCAACUUUUUAAUUUCUUUAAUAAGUUUGUUGAUAUUAAACUAAUCUCAAUUGCUAAUCAUGAGAACAUUAACUUAAUCCUAACUUUUAAAAAGUACACAUUAAAAUUUUAUAAGUUUAUGAGUAGAGACAUAAAAGUUCAACUUCAAGUUAUAAGCAACAACAUAAAAGUUCAACUUUAAGUUAUAAGCAACAACAUAGAAGUUAAAUUCAAGUGCAACUGAACAACUAAAAUCACCAUAUAACAAAAAUCAACAUAAAAGUUCAUAAGUGUAUAAUCGGGGCAGCUACAUAAAAGUUCAACUUCAAGUACAAUUGGGUAACUAAAAUCAGCACAAAAAAGAAAUUAAAUUCAUAGUUCAAAUAUGGCAAGCUCCAAGUUCCAAUAAGCUAUAGCCAACCCAAUAACAGGCUACUACAAAAAUCACAAGUUAGUAAGUCACAACUACACAUAUUCAAACGUUUUAAAGGCAACACGUCUAUUUUUAAUUAUUAGAACCCCCACUCCUUAUCAUGAUUCAACAAUCAAUAACCGGCUCUAAAGCAAUUCUUGAAAGAUCUACAAAUGCAUAAACAAAAAUAACAUAAAGUAAACUAAGAUAAACAAACAUUAAAGAAAAUUAAGAAAUAAUAACUUUAAGAAAAAGAUUAAAUAGUACGUAAAUUUAAAAUAUUACCUAAACUGACUUUCUCCAGCUCCUCGAUUUCAUUCUCAAAACCUAAAUAUCAAUGUAAUGGAUCUCAUAACCAGUCUUUAGCACAAAUUAGAGCUUAUACCAACUUAGGAGUUAAAUAACUCCUAUAUGCAUGAAGAACUCGACCAUUAGUGUUAAAAGCAAAUUCUGUAGCAACUGUAGAUAUAGGCAUUGCAAAAACAUGAUGAGCCAAUUGAGAAAGAAUGGGAAAUCUAGGAUUGUUUACUUUUGACCAGUUCAAAACAUCAAAAUCCUUAUCAUCUUCAUCAUCAUCAUCAAGUGCUUCAUUUAAGUACUUAUCCAUUUUUAUUUUUUGUUUUGGCCAACAUCAACUUUCAACCUCAAAUUUCUAGAAAUCUGACCUGAGAAUCUUUUUCUUUUUCUAAAUUAAGUCACUAGUGUCUUGAGUUGGUUGGUUUAUUUGGCUACUCUUACUUUCUCUCAAUUGCUGAAAUUGUGAAGGCUGUAUCAUUGUUUAAUAAUGAUUGAAAACAAUUCUAACAUUGUCUCCCUCAAUUUUUUUCAUCAUCAAAUCAGUUUCAAUCAAUGAAUAUAUUUUUUUAAAACAAAAUUCUAUAAAAACAUAUUUAUGUCUUGAAUCAAGAACAAACACAACAUAAAACAACAUAUUCAUUUUGUCCGCAUUCCCUCAACACUUGUCAUAUUUUUCUUUCAUUCUUUAGCCAUUAAACUAAAUUCAACAUCAGCACUUAAAUUCCAAUCAUGCAACAAAUACUUCAUAAAUUUCCUCAAGGAAAAUAUUGGACGUAACAAAUGAGGAACCUGAAAUUUUCACAGUUAGAUCAUAAAAAUGCUAUAAAAAAGUAACUAAUCUUCUAGCAAUUAUGUGAGACCUCAACCUCUAUAGGCUUGUAACUAGGCAUAGACGCCAUAACACGAGCUAGGGGUAGUUUUUUCAUUUCCUAUAAUAAGCUUCCAGAAGAAAUUCUAUUAUAUUUUAAGGUCUAAAUAGGCAUAAGACCACAUAAAUGAUGUGUAAUGAUGAAAACACGAAGAAAACUAGAAGUUCAAUAAUUUUCAUGAUAGGGGCAAAAUGGUCAUUUUUCACCUCGGGUAAAAAUUUUUAAGUUUUCAUGAAUCCGAGCAUUUCUAGACCAUUAUGGACCUUGUCCCAGUGUCAAAAGAGUAAAAGAUUGCAUAAAAGAUUAGAGGAGAAUAAGCUAAUUGGUGGAAGGGCAAUUUGGUAAUUUAAGUGGAGUGGAUAAGCUUGGGCUAUAAAUAUCCCUUUCUUCCAACAGCUUCUACAUUCUCCAGCAGCUUUUCUUCUUCUGCUUCUUCUCUUUCACGUUGCUUCCCAACCUCCAUGGAAGCUUGAUAUGAAACUUUCAUAACUUUUUCUCUCUCUAGCUUUAAUUUUCAACCUUUAUGCCCUUUUGACUAGAACCCUUGUGCUCUUUCACUUUCUCACUUUAAAACCCUUGAAAAAUCCCACUUCCAUACUUUCUCUCACUAGCUAGGUGUUUAGAGAAAGAAAAAAAAAAAGCCCCUAUAAUAGCUUGGGAAUUGUUGGAAAGAAUUUCAAGGUUACAAAACUAUCAAGGUGAGUAGUAAACUAAAGUUGUUUUUUAGUGUUGAGAAUGAUUAGUAAGUAAACUUGUGAAUGUUUUGUUGUUGAGGUUAUCCACUCAUUUUAGAGUGGUUAAGGUAGUGAAUAUAGAUAGCCAUUUAAAUGGCAAUUGGAAGUUAGCUAAAAGAAAGCUUUUGGACUUUAUAAGUAUGUGAAAUAAUAUAUUGGUGAUGCUAAUGUGAUGAUAGGUUCUAAUGAAGUCCCACAGCCCCAAUUGUACCAUUAGGGAAGUUAAAGUCGAUUAAAGGCUCAACAAAUACCGGUGAGUGGACUUGCAAUUCAAAAUUUGUUUUGGGAAUGUGAAUGCAAUUGUACAAAAAUUUGAAAGAUUUUAUCCAGUUUUCCUUUGAAAAUGUACCUUGGGAAUAAGCCUUUGGUGAAUAAGCCGAUGAUGACUCGACUAUGUACGAGUAGGAGUGCACAUAAGCCGAUGAUGACCCAGCCAUGUGCUAGUGGGGAGUGCACAUGAGCUGAUGAUGAUGGGAGAGUGUGCAUGAUGAUGAAUAUAUAUAUAUAUAUAUANNNNNNNNNNNNNNNNNNNNNNNNNNNNNNNNNNNNNNNNNNNNNNNUAUAUAUAUAUAUAUAUAUAUAUAUAUACAUGUAUAGAUAUGUGUGUUAUAGAAAGUUCAUGAAUAUGUAAAUGGUUGAAAUGCAUGUGAAAUUGGACAUGUUCAACUUUGGGAAAUUAUAUGAGUUUCAUGUUGUGUUGGUCAUGUGAACAGGGUGGCCUUUGCUUGAGGGAAAGGGGGAAUUUUUGUUGAUGCUAUAUUUCUCGCUACAGCGAGAAACUCUCAGGUUUGGAAGGGUGGGGCUGGCUGAAAUCUCGCUGCAGCGAGAAUGUUACUAUAGCUUCUCGCUACAAUGAGAAACUUUCUAUUUUAAGACCAAAAAUUUUGCUGUAGCAAAAAACUUUAUGUUUUGCUCCUCAUUUGGUUCGGUUGUUACCCUAUUUUCCAUUUCCUUGGUACCAUAGUUGAGCAUGGACUUCCAAUAUUAAGGAAUAAAUGAAUUAAGUUUAAAAUGAGGAGGUUUACUGAGAAACCCUUGGCCAGUUAAGAAACCCCCGAUCAGUUGAUAAUUUAAAUCAAGUGUCGUUGCAGCAAAAAGGCAUGGACCCGUCGUUUAUUUGACCUGAUUCGCAUGAAUGCUAUUAAAGUUUUCACUCUCCAAAUCCUUUGUUGAGCAUGGACCCUUUUCAUAAAAUGAUUACUCAUGUGGGGUUUGCAUGAGGGGCUUUAAUAAGAACUAAAACAAAUUGCAUUGUUUUGAAAAAUGAAUGCAUCAUGAUUUCAUCAAACAUUCCUUAUGGUAUGCUUGUUCCCUUUCUGUUCACUCACUGGGUUUAUACUCACCGUUUUCAACUUCAUGUUUUCAAAUCACUAGGCAGCUAGUAACUAGGUUGAAGUGCCUUUGUAUAUUCGACCCUUGGUAGGUGUCUCGGCAUUCAGUAGCUAUACAUUCGUCUGAGUCUCUCCGCUAGAAGUCGAGUACUUUUUUGUUGUGUAUAGACAAACUGAUGUAAACUAUUAAAUUAUGUUUAGAUAAUAUAUGUACUCUUUGAUUGGUAUGCCACUAUGAGAUGGCAAUGUUUGGUAUUAUUUUGAUUUAAAGUUAUAAAAUGUGACUUAACAACUUUUAAUGGAAUGGUGAAAAGGUUAUAUUAAUAGGCUUGCUUGGGCUUAAUGGACUACGUUCAUUAGGCCCAUGAGCCAGUCAUGGCCUGGAAUUUGGGUCAUGACAAUUUACCCAAUUAAGAUGCUCUUCGCCUAACAAUAGGCCACUUUUAUUAGAAAAAUCCAUCUCAUCAAACAUAUCAAAAGCCUUUUAAAAUUUUUGAGCCAUAUCAAACAUUAAGUAUGUUGAAUUCCACCUAGUGCUAACAUCUAUGCACAACAAACUCUGGGUAGCAAUCUUUUCAAUAUGAAAACACUCUUUAAAUUUUGCAACCUAAACGGUGCUUGUAUCACAUAUCUAACUGUUUUCCUUAUACAAGCAACUGAAUCAUUAAAUUUCUUGAAUCCAUCACUAACAACUAGGUUGAUUAUGUGUGCAAUGCAUCUUAAAUGAAGAAAUUUGCCUUGUAAAAUGCUAGUUCUUAAUUUGUUGAACUUUUUUUUCAAGUAUGUUAUUGCAAUAUCAUUUGAACUAGCAUUGUCUACUAUCACAGUGAAAACUUUAUUAAAACUUUAUUAAUGCCCCAAUUACGCCAGCAUUUAUCAAUUGCCCUACCAACAUCAUCAUCUCUAUGACUAGAAAUUGGGCAAAAGUUUAAAAAUUUUCUAUGUAAAUUCUAAUCACCAUCAAUAAAAUAGGCUGUAAGACAUGUAAUUCAAUCUCUAUAACAAGGUACAAGUGUUUGUGGUUAGGGAUACCCUAUAUGAAGAAGAAGAAGGACACAAAAAUUUUUUCAAACUAUUCUUCUCAUCUUUGUACAACUGAAAAUAGUCUCUAGCAAUAUUCCAUUUAGAUGGAAUAUUAAAUCUUGGACAUGAAGCUGCAAUGUAUCUCCUAAAACCUUUCCCUUCCACAAAUUUAAAAGGUAACUCAUCCAAAACAAUCAUUUCAACCAAACUUUUCCUAAUGGACUCUUGAUCAUGUUGGUCCCAAGUAAAUGUGCUAGAGGGGGUGAAUAACACCUUUUGGCUCUUACUUAAAUUGCCUUUAAAUUGAGGGCAAGUUUAAUAUCAAUAUUGACUGGUUCGAGGCAAGAUGACGGAAUGGUUUAGGAAGGAAUGAAAAAGAAAAUUAAAAUCAGAGCAGACAAUACUCAACUAUUUAUAGUGGUUUGGUCAAAGACCUACAUCCACUACCUUGAUUGUUCAACCAAGGAUUUCCAAAUCAAAUCACUAAAAACGGUGGAAUUCCCAAGCUCCCACCAAGCUUUUACAAUGGCUUUUUGAAGGCUCAACCAUAACCUUAACAAUGAUUUUUCUCAAGAUUAACCAAAACCCAAACUAACUUUUACUAGGAUGAGUUAGAACCUAUACAACCAAUCAAGCAACCAAAGCUUGAAUUACCUCCUUAGAGUGACUUGCUCACUCUAAGUAUACAAGGAGAAGAGAAAUAAAAGUGUACCUAUGAUCACUAACCUAAUUUGAGUGGUACAAAGUGAAGCGCUUAAAUUUGUUACAAGGAUAGGAGUGAAGUGUUGAAAGUAUGCAGAGAAUUUUUGCUAUUUUUGAGCUUUUUUUGAUCUUGGAAGCACCAAAUCUUGUUCUUAGACAUUGGGAAGGGUUUUUAUACUUGAAGAAAUGACUCUGAUGGAUGUUUGAUAGAUCUUGACCAUUGAAAACAGUUUGGAGUUGGUUUUAGCCAUUAAUCUAUCUUCUAGCAUUCAAAUUUGAAGUUGCAAACAAAGAGCUCUUAGUUGACUAACAUAGCUUCUCGGUCGAUUAAGUUGUUUCUGUCUUUGGACCCAAUCUUUGGCAGUGAGCACUUAGUCGACUAACAAUUCCUCUUAGUCGAUUAAGUCAUUUUUGUCUCUAAACUGUCCAUCUUCAUUUUUGAGUUUUAGUUGACUAACUCCCUUGAUUAUCCGACUAAGUGGCUUAUGUUUUAUGGGUCAAAUGUAGCUCCUCAUUCUAUGUGAUUUGAUAUUUUCAUUUUAGUGAUUAAUUUGUUAUUAGUCAUACAUUCACAUCCUGCACACUCAUGUAAUAUAGUUAGACAUAAAUGAGUGGGAAUAUUUUAUUAUCAUCAAAAACUAAUGGAGCUAACAAUCUCCCCUUUUUUGAUGAUGAUGAAACAUUCCUUGAUUAAAAGCAUACUGUCUAUUAGUUUCUUUCUGUUUUGCAGAAAAUGAGGAUUUUCUCCCCUAGAAUGUGUGCUACCCCUAAAUUAAUGCAUGAUUUUAUUAUUUAACUUAGCAAGUUUUUUUUAAUCUCUUAAAGAAAAAGACAGGUAAAAUUUUUAACAUUUGACAAAAUAUCAUCAAUGCUGUAGCUAUCUGUUCGCCAUUAGCAUAUUGUUUUCAGAAUUUAUCCAUUCAAAAUAAAUAUCAUUCCAACAAAAAUAUCAUAAAAGCAUAAUCAGCAUCCAUACUUGUUCACAACAAAAUUCCAUUCACAAUUCAACAGAAAUACCAUGGAGGAUAUCAACAAACUAAAUAAUAUAAAUAGCUUAUCAGCAUUCAAUUUUCAACACAAUAACAUAAACAGCAGAGUCAAAUUCAAGUGUUCAACUGUCAGCAAAACAAACAUAGCCAGAUUUAGAUUCCUAAAUUACCCUUGGAUCAUUCCUACCUUCUAUGUCCCCUAAGCUUUCUAUCAUAAUUCUCCCAUUUUUUAUCAUCAUCAAACCGAGGGGUGUUCAAUCAGUUUCUAAAAAAGUAGAACGGGUAGACUCAUCAGUGCCAAAGUAGACAUUAAGGGGCUUAGGAGAAGGUUUAGGUGAUGGUCUUUUGGGUAAGGCUUCAGGGGAAGAUUGGUAUGAAAUUUGGAGUGAAUCUUGAGCAUAAGAGAUGGCUGAGGGUCUGGUUUUUUUAGCUAUCCUAGAAGACUUUCUUCUCUUGAGGAAUUUUGACUUUGUUGCCAUGGUCUUCCUUCUUAUACCAAGAGGUUUAGGUUUCUCUUGUGUUGGUGUAGCAGCUUUUCCUUUUUCUUUACUAUAUUGGUCAGUCUACCCUGUAGUGUGCAUUGACUCAAGGAAUGCUCUGACAGAUGCUGGCUUUUAAGUUUUAGCCUUUGCUACUUCUUUUUAUGCUUGCUCUUCUCUGACCAUUUGAUCGAAAAUAUCCAUGAUUGAAACUUCCUCAGAGUUAGGUGGAGAUUGUUGUUCUGGCUGUGAUUCAUCAUGUAGUGGAGAGGUGUCAUCAAAGGAUCCAAGUACUUCAGUGCCUUCAUUGGAUUUUUCAUCACUUUUAGGCUCAAAAGUGGGAGAUUUCAUUGGCUGAACUAAUUAUGGUUCAUGACCUUCAAAUUGGAAGGCAAGACUUUCAGUAGCUUGUUCUGCUAAUGAUGGACUUACUGUUGCAAAAGUGUCUUCAGUUGCAAGACCAGCAGGUGAUUUUCCUUUUCUUUCAUCAAGUUUUCUAGCCCUUUCAACUUAUCCUUAAUUUUCUGAAUCUUUACUGAUUUGUCAGUGAAUUUUCCAUUUAUUCUCAUUAACAGAUUUAGAAUCAUUUCAUUUGAAAUCUGAGAGUAAGCAAUCUCUGUCUGAGCAAGAAUAGAGUGCUCAUCCUUUGGAGUAAUGUUGGUGGUUUUAAUAAACGUUUCUCCUUGUAGUUUGUACCCUAUCUUUGGCAAACUUCCUAGGUAGAUUGCUUGUCCCUGCUUUGCACCUAGUCCAUUUCAUAUUUGUUCGCCCAAAUUCCCUUCUUCUUCACUAGAGAUGUAAUCAAAAUUUCAUAAGGCUGAUUUACCUUAUCAAUUUGACAUGUUCUUCUCAUCCUUUCAAUCAUAAAUCUGCCUAAGUUGAGGGGGGUGCCAUUAACGACAUGCUCCAUUAGCCACAAGUCCUGAAGGCUUACGUAGCUGAACCUACUGCUUAUCCUAUGAAUAGAUGUAGCAAUGAAAUAAUGUAGGAUUCUAAUAUGACAGCUUUUAAUAAAGUUGGCAUAACUUUUGGAUGAAUAUCUUUCUUUCUUUCUUAUGAUUAUUUCCCAUAGAGAUGAGGGAUCAUACUUUUCAAGAAUUUAGUAAUCACCUUCUUCACAUUCAAUUCUGAGCAGACUACCUAAAUCUGCAGCAAUCAUCACAAAUUUUUUUCCAUUUAGGAAGACAUUCAGACCAUCAUUAAUAAAAUUCUCAGGUUUCUCAAGUUCAUUCUCAUUUAAUGUUAUGCUUGCAUAAAAUUCAUUAACAAGGCUAGCACUAUGGUUCUGUUCUUAAAAGUACUAAAUUUCUUCAAUUUCAUUUCUUUAAAAUAAUUUGAUAAACCUACUUCAAUUUUAGGGGUCUCAUCAAAGCUAUCCCAAUUGAUAAAUUUACUACAUGUAAUGGGAGCAUUCUCUAUCUUUUUGAACCUAUCCUCAUGAGCUUUAUUUCUAAACUUUGAGGAUGGAAGAUUACCUUUCUUGGAGAGCUUUACUUUUUCUUUGAUUUUUGUGGUUUUUCUUUCUGCUUUUUUCUAGUUUUCUCAAUCACAUAAGCAGACUUGACUUUCUUCUUCUUCUUUUGAAUUUCUUCCAGUGGACUCUCUUCCAUAGGUCAUUUUCUCUUCUUCUUUUCCAAAGCACUACUAGUUAAUGUGGUGUUGGCCAUUUUGGUUUUAAGCAAUUUCAAGCUUAGGGUUUCGUGAGUUUGAGAAGGAAAGAUUUUAGUUUCAAAAGGGUCGAUUUCAGAUGAGAGAAAAUGAAGAGAUAAUAAGUUAAGAGAGAUUAAUCUUUCUAAAAAAAUCGUCAGUCUCCCUAUCUUUAAAUAUGUUUGGUAACCCCUUCUUUCAAAAUUUAAAAAUUUACCUCUCAUUUUUAUUUUUUCAGUUAAGCGAUUUUUCCUUAUUUUUCUUCACCCAGUAGGCUGUCUUGUUUCUUUUUAUUAUUUUAUUCAUUCUAUCUAAAUGAGUCUUAUUAUUUAAGGAAACAAAAUGCUUUUAGUUGAUUAAAUGAUUCUCUUAAUCAACUAAGUACUUACUAUUUUAUGAAUGAAAAUUUCACAAAUUUUCUAAAGCUCCUGUACAUUAAUCAUUCCUAGAUUUCUCCUAAUUUCAUAGAAUCUUUCCUUAUUCAGGGGCUUGGUGAAUAUAUCAGCUAAUUGUUGUAAAGUGUUAAUAAAUUCAAUCUUAAUGUCUUCUUUUAUCACAUGGUCUCUAAUAAAGUGAUGUCUAAUUUCAAUAUGUUUGGUCCUAGAGUGCUGGACAGGAUUCUUUGAGAUGUUGAUGGCACUUGUAUUAUCACAAAAUAUUGGUCAUUAUGCAUUGUUACUCCAAAGUCUUUUAAUUAUUGUUCAAUCCACGAAAUCUGAGCAUAACAACUACUUAAAGAAAUAUAUUCAACUUCAACUGUGGAGAGUGUAACAGAAUUCUGUUUCUUACUUGACCAGGACACAAGCAUACUUUCUAGAAAGUAACAAGUUCCACUAGUGCUCUUUCUAUCUGUUUUGCUUCCAGCAAAGUUUGCAUCUGAAUAUCCAAUAAAACUAAAAGAUGAUUCUCUAUGAUACCAUAUUCCUAAAGUUUGUGUAUCUAAGAGGCAUCUAAAGAUUCUUUUAACAACAAUCAAGUGUGAUUCUUUGGGUUGUGAAUGAAAUCGUGCACAUAAGCAUACAUUGAAUUGAAUAUCAAGCUUGCUAGCUAUUAAAUAAAGUAAUGAUCCAAUCAUACCUCUAUAGAUCUUUUGAUCAACACUUUCCUUUUUUAUCAACAUCAAGUUUUGUGGAUGGACUCAUUGGUGUGCUAAUUGAUUUUAGCUUCAGCAAGUCUUGAAUGUAUUUUCUUGGCUGAUGAAGAUUCCCUCCUUACUUUGUUUGGUUUGAAGGCCAAGAAAGAAUUUCAGCUCACCUAUCAUGCUCAUUUUAAAUUCACCCUGCAUCUCUUCAGUAAAGUUCUUGCAUAAAGCCUCAUUAGUGGCACCAAACACAAUAUCAUCCACAUAGAUUUGAACAAUAAUUAAAUCAUUUGAGCAUUUUUUAAUAAACAAUAUUAUAUCAAUGUUUCUUCUAACAUACCCUUUUUCAACUAGAAACUUUGAAAGCCUCUCAUACUAAGCUCUAGGAGCUUGUUUCAAUCCAUAUAAUGCCUUAUUCAGUUUGAAGACAUAAUUAGGCUUUUCAAAGUCUUCAAAUCCAGGGGGUUGUUUGACAUAAAUUUCCUCUUGGAUGAAACCAUUUAAAAAAGCAAUUUUCACAUCCAUUUGGAAUAAUUUGAAAUUAAUGAACAUGCAAAUGCCAGCAACAAUCUUAUAGCUUCUAUCCUAGCAAUAGGGGCAAAGGUUUCAUCAAGUCAAUUCCUUCCCCUUGGUUAUACCCUUGAGCCACCAACCUAGCUUUGUUUCUAAUAACAUUGCCUUGUUCAUCUACCUUAAUUCUAAACACCCAUUUUGUGCCAACAAUUAGGUGAUUUAAAGGCUUAGAGACUAAUGACCAUACACAGUUUCUUUUGAAUUGAUCGAGCUCCUAUUGCAUGGCCAUUAUCCAGCUUUCUUCUUUUUCUGCCUUUUCAAGGCUCUUAGGCUCGAUUUGAGAGAUGAAAGCUGAGAACUCACAUCUCUCUCUAAUUCCUCUCCUAGUUUUGACACCUUGUGUAAUAUCACCAAUGAUCUACUCUUGUGGAUGGUCUUUUAAUAUCUCUAACUAUUUGGAAGGUCAUCAUGCUGGCUUUCGGUUCUUUGCAAAUUUUCUAAAGGUGGAGUUUUUGUUUCUCUUCCACUAGAGUUUCUUUCACUGUUUCUCUUAUUUUCUACACUUAUUUGUUCAAUUUGUCUUUCAAGGUCUUCUGCAUCAUAAUCAUCAACAAGAACUUCCUUUUUUAAGGCAUUAGAUUCAGCAAAAACUACAUGGAUUGACUCUUCAAUGGUUAAAGUUCUUUUGUUAAAGACUCUAUAAGCCUUUGAGUUCAAUGCAUAUCCUAGAAAUAUCGCCUCAUCACUCUUUGCAUCAAACUUUCUUAAAAAAUGUUUUCCAUUGUUCCGCACAAAGCAUUUGCAACUAAAACUUCUAAGGUGAGAGAUGUUUGGCUUUCUACCUUUGUAAAGUUCAUCUGAGUUUUUGAUAUCAUGCCCCUAAUUAAUACUCUAUUAAGAAUGUAGGCUGUUGUGUUAACAACUUCUGCCCAAAAAUACUUUGGCAGAUUAUUCUCACAAAACAUGGUUCAAGCCGUUUCUUUUAAAAUUUGAUUUUUUCUUUUUACAACCCCAUUUUGUUGAGGUGUUCUAGGUGUUGAGAAAUUGUGAUCCAACCCCUUUUCAUUACAGAAAUUUUCAAACUCAUCUCCCUCAAACUCACCUCCAUGAUCACUCCUAAUACUAACUAUGACAAGUCCUUUUUCAUUUUCAACCUUCCUACAAUGAUUUAUAAAUGUAGGUAGAGCAUCAUUCUUAUGAGCAACAAAGUAAAUCCAAGUAUACCUAGAAUAGUCAUCAACUAUCACAAAGCCAUAAGAUUUGCCUCCUAAGCUGAUUGUAUUAAUUGGACCAAAUAAAUCAAUAUGCAGCAUUUCAAGGGGUUUAAAGGUUGAGACAAUUUUCUUUGUUUUGAAAGAUGUUCUAACUUGUUUACUUAGUUGGCAAGCAUCAUAAAUCUGAUCAUUCUCAAAUUUAAGUUCAGGUGAUCUAACAACUAGAUUUUUUCUUAUCAAUUUUGAGGUGGUAUGCAUGUUCACAUGUCCAAGCCUCCUAUGCCAUAGCCAGCUAUCAUUUUCAUCAUUUGCUUUGAGACAUGUUUCACAAUUAAGCUCAAGAUCUUCUAGGAAUAUAACAUACAUGUUCUUUCUUUUUUUUUCCUAUGAAUGAGGUUUUGUUGGUGCUAAUGUCUAUCACUUCACAUUUAUUUGAAUCAAAGCAUACUUUAAAUGUAAAGCCCGACCUUAUAAAAUACUUGUCAUGACAUACAUGUGAUCAAUAGCAUGUUUACAUACUAGGAGAGCCUCGAAAAAUUGACAAAAGUCGGUACUGUACCUAGAGGUACAAUAAAGUUUAUUUAAGCCUCGAACUAGGUCAAAUAGGGAUUUUAAGGUGAAAUUCAAAAUUUUACAGUUCAAGAAUGACUUAAAAUGAUGAAUUAGAGUUUGAGGGCUGAAUUGGAGUAAAUUUGGAAUUUUCAUGUUCUAGAGGUAAAAUGAUAAUUUUGUCACCUGAGGACAAAAUGAGAAUUUUUAGAAAAGAUUUUGAUCACAUUUGACUCAUUGGAGUAUGAUUUGAGUUUGAGAGGUGAAAAUUUUAAAUUUUGACAUUUUUGGAGUCUUAGGGGCAAAACGAUAAUUUUACUAGUUUACGAGGGCAAAGUUGGAAUUUUAGAAUUUUACACCACCUAACACUUGUCAUGUUAAUGGAUUUCAGCCAUUAACAUUUUACAAUGUGGAUAAUUGAAACAUUUAUGUGGUGGAGAGAGAUUGCUUAAUGGAUAAGUAUUACACAUGGACCAAUGGAAACAUGCCAUGUGUCAAGCUUGGAUCAUUCUAGAAUUUCCUUGUAAAAUCUAUUUAAAACUCUCUUAGUCUCACCCAUAUGGCCGGCCAAAGCAUGAAGUGAAGAGGAAAGGAAAGAACACAAACCCUAGGUGGGAAAAUUCAAGAGAAAGUGUGAAAAUCCAAGGAAUUAAGCAAGGUAAAGUGAAAAUUCUUUAUUUUUACUUGAGAUUUACAAUACCCAUGCUUUAUUUUCUUAUUUCUAUGGUUGAGAAGCAUGAUUUCAUAGUGAAUAAGUGGUAGGCCAAAUGGGUAUGGUGAGAGAAAUGAUGUUGGAAUUGUUUGAUUUUAAGUUAUGUUAGUGAUUAAGGUUAGUUUAGCAUAUUUAGGAGCAAAACAACAAAAAAAGAAUCCAUUUUCCCCAUGAAUCUUCAUUGGCCGAAUCUUCCUUGAUGGGUGUGGGUGAUGGAUUGUUAUUAUUUCAAGAGAAAUGGCUUAGAAAAUGAUGAAUAAUGGUGAGAAAAUUAAGUAGGAAAAAUCACGAUGUUAGUGCACUGUAAUGCCCGAAUUUUUCCAUGAAGAAAUGGGAGGGUUUUGAUGCUGAAAUUGGUGUUAUUUGAAUAAUGUUUGGUGAAUUGAGGUAUUAGAAAAGAAAUGGACUAAUUUGGGAUUAAAUUAGAUGCGUUAGUAAUUUAAUAGGGUGAUAGGCCGAAUUAGGUCAACAUCACGUUUAAGCAGUUGACCAAGCAUUCCAUGCAUUCAUAUAGAUUUAUAGAGCCUGAAAUAGUUUAUGAUAAAUUGACACAAUUUAUUGAAAUUCGUGUCACGUAUGAUGUAUAGGUGGUGAGCCUUCUAACAAGGGUAAAGAAAUUAUGCCCGAAGAUCGAGAUUAGGAGUAUAUCGAACUCCUAGUACAGUGAGUAACCUUACUAUCAUCUUAAUUAUCUAGAGUGGUUUUUACCCGAUUUUGUGAUUUUAUGGAAAAUGAGUUAAAUGGUAAAUCCUUAUGUUUUAUAAGUAAAAUGUGUUUAAAUAAAAUGAUUUUAUAAAUUGUCUUGAAAUUGAAUUAUGGUUUUGAAAAUAGAGUAAUUGGAGACCACUUGAUGUGUUGUAAUUUUAUGGCUUUAAAUUGAAGGGCUUAUGACAAUAUAUGAGCCUGAAUGGCUAAACUGAUUUUUGGUGUUAGAAUUAUUUGUACUGUGUAUUCAAUCUUGGGAGGCUAGGUUGCGAUAAAUUGCCAUGUCAUGUAGAUAAAGAUUUUUAUAAAUUAGGUGGUAGAUAAAAUAAUCCAUAAUCCUUGCAGCGGAGGUUUUGUGGACCAGCCUAAGCGAGGAGGCACAGAAUCAAAUAUACCUUACCUCGACUGGAGAGCCGUGUGGAGGGUGUCUUUGGAGGUAAAGAUUUGAGUGCACUUCACGUGGACCACCGCGUGAGAGUGAGACUCAGCCAACGCCAAGGCAUGGCUAGAUUUUCAAAUGUAAAAAUAUGUUCAUGUGUGUACUACACUGAACAGCCUUAGUGGUCUCGGUUAGAUGCCUAGGCCAAGGCAUCCCUGGGAAUGAUUUUGGCAAGAGCCAAGUUUUGUGAAAUACAUAAGCCAAGUUGAUUAUUUGAGUAAAUUGAUUAUUGAUGUUAUGAAAAACAUACUAGAAUGGAAUAUCUUACUUGUCUCCAUUUACUCGACUUUAGAUGAUUUAGAUGGUAUCUGUUUACUCACUGGGAUUUUAUAAUCUCACCACCCUCAAUUCCCUACAUUUUAGGCUCAGGAUAAUCGGUAGAUAGCCGAUUGCAUCUAGGACUUCAGUUAGCCUUGCAUCAACAAAAUUGUAGGUUCACAGACUUGCACCUUAUUGGUUAGUUGGGGGUCCACGUGUCACUGUAAAAGUAAUUUUAUACUUCAGUUAUCUGCUUUAAAGAACAUAAGAAUAUAUUUAGCUUUUACACCAUGUUUUUGGCAGGUUUUGAUUUUUUUGAAGAAAAAUGACGAAAAUACCCUUGUGAGUCGAAAAUAAUAUUAUAUUGUUUUGAUUUGGAAACGACUUAUAAUUUUUUGAAAUGCGAGAUUUAAUAACUGCCGCUCGUCGGAGAGAUACGAAAGCUGAUGCUAAGCCUUGCGGGGUUCCAAUCGGCAUUUCGUGUAAUAAACGCCUAUCAAGACGUCGCGGCGGUUGUCAUGGGCCCGAUGGGCGUUUCAGGUCGUGACAUUAAAACCUUUGUCACACAUUUGGCUAAUGCUUAAUAAAUUGUGUUUCAAACCUUUAACCAGCAACACAUGACUGAUAUGAGCUUGAGAGUUCUUACUAACAGUACCUAUACCAUAAAUUUUGCCUUUCGAAUCAUCUCCAAAUGACACUAUACCUCCCUUUUUCUUAUCCAGCUAAACAAACAACAUUUCAUUUCCAGUUAUAUGUCUCGAGCAGCCACUAUCCAUGUACCAUGGUUGCUUCUCUUUCAGUUGUGCUUUUUGACAUAUGUUUUCUUGUUUUGGCUCAGCUUGCAAGAUAAAAUUUUCAGUUCUUCUUAAUAGGUACCCAUACCUUGAUGGGUCAUUGAACGUUAAUUGCAACAUAGGAUCCUUUUGGAACCCAAAUCAUUCUUAUUUUGUGUGUGUUUCUUCUUCUAUGGUAGUUAUAAGAUAAAUGACCAAAUUUAUCAUAAACAUAACAUCUAUGAGAGAAAUCAUUAGCAUUUCUUCUGAAGUUUGUGUUCUUUCUUGAUGAUUUUUUUCUCAAACUCUUAAGAACAACAUGUUCAUCAACUGUUUUUUGUAAAGCUUCUAUUCUAUUUUCCAAUUCCAAUUUCAGAGUUUCAAAAUCUGUUUUUGUAUGUUCCAAUUCAAUUUGCAAAAAAUUUCUUUGUUCAAAAACAGAAUUGAAAUCAUGUCUUAUCUUUUGCAAAUUAGUCUCACGGGAUGUAGUUUUUUUUUUCAAAGUUUUAUAUUUGGAUGCAAGUUUUUCAAACUCAUCAUAAAGACUUUCAUACUCUUCUUGCAGUUCAUCAAUUGAAAUAUCAUAGGGAGUAGAAGGUACCUCAGAUUCAUCAUCUUUUGCCAUUAAACAUAAGUUUGCUCUUUCUUCCACUUUAUCUUCUUUAGCAUUAGAACUUGAAGCAUCACUGUCAGACCAUGUUGCAGCCACCAUAGCCUUCUUUGAUUUUCUAUUCUUCUUGGGAGUUUCCUCCUUCAGCAGGGGGCAUUCUGAUCUGAAAUGACUAAUCUUCUUACACUCAUAACAAAUGAUUUCUUCCCUCUUGUUGGAUUCAUUUUUGUUUUUGUUAUUCCAUGAAGAAUUAUGUUAUCUUCUAUAACUUUUCUUAGCCAGCCUCCUAUCUCUUUGUCCCAUAAGUCUUCUUAAUUUUUUUGCCACCAUUGCUAAUUCUUCAUCAUCAUGAUAGGAUAAAUUGUCCAACUCUUCCUCAAAAGCAAUUGCCUUUAAUGCAAUGCUUUUCUUUCUUGCCUUAGCCUCCCUCUUGUCUUAUUCUUCUUUUUCUUUAAGUUUCAGCUCAUGUGUAAAAAGAUAUUUGCAUAUUUCAUCAAGUGUGAUGACAUUUAAAUCUUUGGCUUCUCUAAUGGUAGUUACUUUUGACUUCCAAGUUUUAGGUAGGCUUCUAAGAAGUCUUUUUCACUAGUUCAUGUUCAGGGAUAGGCUUUCCUAAUUGACUAAGUUUAUUUGUAAUGUUGGUGAACCUAUCCAGUAUGCUGGUGAUGUCUUCACCAGGCUCCAUUUUGAUCAUUUCAUAGUUGUGGGUUAGAAGAGCAAUUUUGGACUCUUUAACUUGUGAAGUCCCUUGAUGGAUGACCCUAAGUUUAUCCCAAACUUGUUUAGCUGUGGUACAGCUUGACACCUUGUUAAAUUCAGUGGGAGUUAAGGCACAAUGUAAGGUGUUUAUAGCCUUGAAACUUGUAUGAACCUUUUUGAUUUCAACGUCAAUCCAUUCAGACAUUGGCUUGGGAAUCAUUUCAUUUGUUACUACAUUUAUGGUGGAAUGAAUGAAGGGUCCAUCAGUGAUGGCAUCCCACAUCUCAUAAUCUAUUGUCCUUAUAUAGAUUGACAUUCUAGUACUCUAAUAGGGGUAAUUAGAGCCACCAAACAAAGGUGGUCUGUUUGUGGACUGUCCCUUAGCAACUACGGAUUUUUGAAGAGCCAUUUGGAUCUUCCCAAAGGGUGUUAGACCUUAAGAAUAGUGAUUAGGCUCUGAUACCAAUUGUUGGUCCCAAGUAAAUGUGCUAGAGAGGGGUGAAUAGAACUUUUUGGCUCUUACUUAAAUUGGCUCUAAGUUGAGGGCAAGUUUAAGAUCAAUAAUGACUGGUUCGAGGCAAGAUGACAGAAUGGUUUAAGAAAGAAUGAAAAAGAAAAUUAAAAUUGGAGCAAACAAUACUCAAUAAUUUAUAAUGGUUCUGUCAAAGACCUACAUCCACUACCUUGAUUGUUCAACCAAGAAUGUUCCAAAUCAAAUCACUAAAAAUGGUGAAAUUCCCAAGCUCCCACCAAGCUUUUAUAAUGGCUUUUCACAGGCUCAGCCACAACCUUAACAAUGGUUUUUCUCGAGAUUAGCCAAACUCAAACUAACUUUUACUAGGAUGAGCUAGAACCUAUACAACUAAUCAAGCAACCCAAGCUUGAAUUACCUCCUUAGAGUGACUCACUCACUCUAAGUAUACAAGGAGAAGAGACAUAAAAGUGUACCUAUGAUCACUAACUUGAUCUGAGUGGUACAAAGUGAAGUGCUUAAAUUUGUUACAAGGAUAGGAGUGAAAUGCUGAAAGUAUGCACAGGAUUUUUGCUAUGUUUGAGCUCUUUUUGAUCUUGGAAGCACUAAAUCUUGUUAUUAGCCGUUGGGAAGGGUUUUUAUACUUAAAGAAACAACUCUAAUGGAUGUUUGAUAGAUUUUGACCAUUGGAAACAGUUUGGAGUUGGUUCUAGCCGUUAAUUUGUCUUCUAGCAUUCAAAUUUAAAGUUGUAGAUAAAGAGCUCUUAGUUGACUAACAUAGCUUCUUAGUUGAUUAAGUCGUUUCUGUCUUUGGACACAGUCUCUGGCAAUGAGCACUUAGUCGACUAACAAUUUCUCUUAGUCGAUUAAGUCGGUUCUAUUUCUGAACUUGGUUUCUGGCAGUAAGCACUUAGUCGACUAACAAUUUCUCUUAGUCGAUUAAGUUGUCUCUGUCUCUAAAUUGUCCAUCUUCAUGUUUGAGUUUUAGUUUACUAACUCCCUUGAUUAUCUGACUAAGUGGCUUUUGUUUUGUGGCUCAAAUGUAGCUCUUCAUUCUUAUAGGAUUUCAUAUUUACAUUUUAGUGAUUAAUUUGUUAUUGGUCAUACAUUCACAUCUUGCACACUCAAGUAGUAUAGUUAGACAUAAAUGAGUGGGAAUGUUUUAUUAUCAUCAAAAGCUAAUGGAGCCAACAGAUCAAAUAUCCAAUUAGUUAGAAAACCAUCUACACUAAAAACUAGUUCUGAUUCAGUAUGACUAGCAAAUUGAGAAGCUUUUGUACAUACCUUUUGUAUGAUAAUUCAUAGAACUAAUGCCAUUUCUUUUAAAUCAACAUAUAGUUCUUUAUCAUAGUAAUUACAUCUAGCUUUGGACUCACCAUUCUCAUCUAUAAACUUGAUGAAAUGUGUCUAUAUUUUUGACCAUUUCUUUAUCGUCUUCCAUUUUUUAGCUCUAUAUGUCGCUUUGGAUUGAAUAGAACAGAGUCUUGUUGUUGUUGAUUAGAUGUAAUUGCAGCAUCUUCUGUUGUCUUUGUUGUCCUACUCUUCCUUGGUGGUGUUGGUGCAGUCUUUGGUAUAAGUGCCUUUGUUUGUGUCUCUUCAGACGACAUCUUCAAAGAAAUCAUUAAAAUAUUAAAUAGUAUCUAACAAUUCAACAUUUUAAAAUAAUAUAAUUUCGAAACAAAUCAAUAUCACUAGAAAAUUAAGCUAGACUUAAUGAUUUUGUAGCAACCGUAAGAUUGAAAGGUAAGGUUAAACAAUCUAAAUUUCAAAGAAGAGACACAUGUAUAUAAAUACUACAAACUUUUGAACUAAUAAGGUGUGAUUUCCAAGAUAAUUAGUCUAACUCUCUUCAAAUAAAAAAUAUGCUUGAGGUAAAAAUAACAUAUUUGUUGUAUUUGGCGGAUUAAGAAUCCAGUUAUUGCUACUACUACUAACAUUGCAACAAAAACACUAGUUUGUUACUCUUGUUUGAUCAAUAAGCAAAAAUUAUAUAACAAAGAAUAAAUUGAAUAAGAAGAUACUCUUACAAUCCUACUGCCCUAUUCAAACAGUUGAAAAAUGCCCUUUGCUUUUGAAGCAAAGCCUUUCACAUUCAUUCAAUAGUUCGAAGUUAAAAGACAAAAAAAGACAUGGGUCUUUGUCUGUCUAUGUAAAUCCAUAGCAUCGAAAAGGAAGGUCAUUAAAAUUAUUCAAGUUCAAACCCAACUAACCCAUUGAAAAAUUUAUGCCUCAUGGAAAGCUUAUGGGCUUUUCUCUUCUUCAUCUUUAGUUCUUGAAUUUUCAUUAGAUUUCACAAGCAAAAAUGCUUUCACAUUCUACAUCAUUUACUUUCUCACCAAACAAACCAACCAUGGUCCUUCAAAACAGAUAAGAAUUUGCUAACUAAAAACACUAUACUUGAAAAUCACAUUAGGCAAGUAAAAAUAAUGAAUUUAUAUAUUUUAAAAUUUAAUAUAUUAAACAUUGACAUAAAAAAUAAAGUUUAGGGUUCUUUCAACGUCUAAACUAAUCUAUAAAGGAAAAACAUUACUUGUAGCAUUAAACUAGUGAUAAAGAUCAUACCUUGUAGUAGCAACAAAGAGCCAAAAAAGAGAAAUUGAGGAGAGGGUUGGGAAAAAGAGAAACCAAGCACCUAGUCUAACUAAGAAAGUGAGAGUGGAGUGAUAAAUGAGAGGAGAGUGCAGACUAGUUGGAAAGGUAAAAGGUGGAAACAAGAGAAGAGAUCCAAAAUGACGAAGAGGCAAAGUCAAAGAGACGACCAAAAAAACUCUAAAAUGGAGAAGAGAGGAAGCUUACAUAGUAAGCUACUAAGCUGUCAAAUGUUAAAUUAAUAACUUACAUUUUAAUUUUUAAAUUAAGUUAGGUUAUAUUGUUAUUUGUUAUUGUUAAUUUGUUAUUUGUUAAUAUGUUAGAUUUUAGUUUAGGUUGUGUUAUUGUUAUUGUGUUAUUGUAAAUAAUAAAUUGACUACACCCUAAUGAAUAAUUUUAUUAAUUAGUAUAUUAAUAAGUUAUUAUGCAUAUACAUAAUAUAUUAAUAAUAUACUUUAUAUUCCUUUUUAUUACUUAUUAAUAUAUUACAUUAAUAUAUUAUAUUAAACAAGUUAAUAUAAACUAAACUAUAAAGUAUAUUAAUAAUAUACUUUAUGUAUAUGCUAUUACAUUAUUACUUAUAAAUUAACUAACAUACUAAUACAAUAUAUUGUUAAUAUAUAGUUUUUGACUAAUUGUUUAAUUAAUAUAUUAAUAACUAUACUAUAUAGCAUACUUAUUAUACUAUAUAUUGACUAACUAGUGUAUUAAUAAGUAUAUUAUGUUCAGUGUAUCAAGAUAUAUAAUUUAUAGUUUAUAGACAAUAAUGACAUUAACUCAUUAAGUCAUUAAUAUAUUAAUAUAUAGUAUAUUAAUAAGUUAUUAUAUUUAUUUAUUAACAUAAUUUAUAUUACUAAAGUAUACUAAUAUUAGUACAAGUUCCUUUAGUAAUAUAAGUUAUACAUAGUAACAUUAAUAUAUUAAUAUUAUAGCAUAUUAAUAAGUUACUAUAUUAAAUUACUAAUAUAAGUUACAUUGUAUUACUAUAUUUUAUAGUCUAUAGAGUAUAGACUAUAUAUUGUAUAUUAAUAAUAUACUUACUAUACUAUAUAUUGACUAAUUAGUGUAUUAAUAAGUAUACUAUGUAUAGUGUAUUAAUAUAUUAUUAUAUAUAGUUAAUAUGUAAAGCUUGACCUUAUAAAAUACUUGUCAUGACAUGCAUGUGAUGGAUAGCAUGUUUGCAUGUUAGGAAAGCCCUAAAAAUCGUUAAAAGUCGGUAGUGUACUUAAUAGUAUAACUAAGUUCAACUAAGCUUCGAACUAGAUCAAAUAGAGAAUUUAAGGUGAAAUUGAGUGUCACGAUCCGAAACUCCCCAUCGGGCCCGUGACAACCGUCGCGAGGCCUCGACAGACAUUCUUCACCCCGAAUGCCGAUCGAAACCCCGCAAGGCUCUCGUAUCAGCUUUCGCACUUCCCCGGUGAGCAAUAGCUAUCAAAUAUCAAAAUUCAAAGGAUUACAAAUCAUUUCCAAAUCAGAACAUAACAUUUUGUUUUCUAGCUCAAAGGGGCAUUUUCGUCAUUUCAUUUUUCUUUUUUUAAAUAUCAAAACUUGCUAAAAAUGUAAUAGGUAAGCAGAAAAUAUAUAUUUAAUGAUUUAAAAACAAAUUAAGUAUCUAAAACGUUCAUUUGAAGUGAAAAUUUGACCAUUUGAAUAUAAUAAAAAUAUUCAAUAAAAUAAACUAUUUUCUUGUAAAAUAAUUUUCAUAAAACUAUCGGUACAUAAUUCUUAUAGCGUAAAAGUUAAUUAUAUUCAUAUAUACUAUAAAGCAAAUAACCAAAGCAUAAAAUUUCUUUUACAGUGACACGUGGACCCACCUCUAACCAAAAUGCAUCGAAAGUUGGAAACCUACAGCUUUUACCGAUUCGAGUCCAAUUGAAAGUCCUUGUCAAAGUCAGUUAACUAUGGAAUUCCCCGAGCCUGAAAUGUGAGGAAAUGAGGGUGGUGAGAUUAUAAAAUCCCAGUGAGUAAACAGAUACCAUCUAAACUAUCUAAAAUCGAGUAAAUGGAGACAAUUAAAAUAAAUCAUCAUACUGUAAUUUCAUUACCUUUCAACUCAUUUCAACCAAAUAAAAUCAAUCCAUAAAAAUCGAGUAAUCAACUUGGCUUAUGAAUUUCUUAAAACUUUGGCUAGUGCUAAAACUCAUACUCGGUGAUACCUUGCGUAGGGCAUCCAACCGAGUCCGCCAAGGCUGUUAAAAUUUUUGUAUACACUUAAAAUAUAUUUUUAGUUUGAGAAAAAUACAGUCGUUCCUUAGCGUUGGCUGAGUUCCCCUUCACAUGGUGGUUUGGCAUGAAGUGAACCCUAAGCUUUACCCUAGGAGAUACCCUACGCGCCUCUCCGUUCGAGGUAAUAAUAUAAUGGAGUUUACCGUGCCCCUCUAAUAGGCUGGUCCACGGAACCCCCUCUGCAGUAAAUAAUUAAUAUAUAAUCCACCGAUCAAUAAAAUUCAUUCUAGCAUGACAUGGCAAUUUAUCGCAACCUAGCCUCUCAAGGCUGAAUACACAGUAUAAAUAAUUCUAACACCAAAAUCAGUUUAGCCAUUCAUGCUCAUUUAUUGUGAUAAGCCAUUCAAUUCAAAACCAUAAAUUUGCAACACAAGCAGGCAAUCUCCAAUUACUCUAUUUUCAAAACCAGUAUUCGAUUUUUCCAGAAAAUUUAUAAAAUCAUUUUAUAAAAUCGUAAUUUCUCUUAAAACAUAGCAAUUUACCAUUUAAACUCAUUUUCCAUAAAAUCACACAAUUGUAUAAAACUACUUUAGAUAAUUAAGACGAUAAUAAGUUCACUCACUGUUCUAGGAGUCGAUGUACUCCUAAUCCCAAUCUCCAAGUACAAUUUCUGUACUUUUACCAGUGUACUUUGCUCACCACCUAUCCACAAUGUACAAUACAUAAUUCAUCACAUCAAUGCUUGACCAUUAUAAAAUCAAUUCAAGUUCGGUAUAUAUGCAUGAUAUGAUAUAUAACUUAUCAGACUACCGUUUAAAUACAGUGCUAACCUAAUUCGGCCUAUUAUCUCCAAUUUAACUCCAAAUCAAUUCUUCUCACUUUCUACACUCCAAUUAUACCUAAAUUACCUUAAUGACUAUAAUGAGAUUCAAUUUAUCAGUCUCGAUAACAAAUUACAAAAAUACCCCUAGUGGGUAAAAAAUCAUAUUUUUGCUCUGAAAAUUCUCAUUAUUUUUCUAGGCUCAUAAUUCAUCAUUUCUUAACCAAUUCUCCUAGAAUGAAAAUCAAAUUCAUCCUCACUCAACACAUGCUAAAUUCAGCCAUUAAGGGUUGUGGGAGAAAAUAAAUUCUUUUCUUAUUGUUUUGUUUCUAAAUAUGCUAAACUAACUUAAAACACUAACAUAACUUAAAAUCAAAUUAAUCUAACAAAUUUCUCUCUCCUAACCCAUUUUUCAGAAUUGAAUUCAUCAUAAUAACUCAAUAUUCAACCAUGGAAAUCAAGAACAAAAGCAUGGGUAAGCUAAGUAUCAAGGAGAACUAAAGAAAAUCUAACUUACCUAGCUUGUUUCCUUGAUUUCUUCACUUUUUCUUUGAAUUUUCACCUAGGUUUUCUUGUUUUUCCCUUUGUUCUUCCUCUCUUUCUCUCUCUUCCUUGCUUGGACGGCCAUAUGAAGAAAAUGGGUUGAUUUUAUGCCUUUUUAUAAAGAAAUAAUAAAAUACUCAAGGUAUGACACAUGGCAUUUUCUUAUUGGUCUAUUUUUAAAAUUUUAAAAUUUUAAUCCUUUUUAUCUCCACCACACAAUUAGUCAAUGGUCAAAAUGAGGAUAAAGAAGACCAUGUGCUGAAAAAAUGUCCUGGUGGCGAAAAAUUACAAUUUUGCCCCUAGGGUGGCAAAAUUACCAUUUUACCUUUUUUCUCCAAAUUAUACCAAAAUUAAAAUUUUUCACUUCUAAACCUAAAAUCUUACUCCAAUAAGUCAAAUGGGGCCAACAAAUCUUUUCUAAAAUUCCCAUUUUGUCUCUAGGUGGCAAAUGACCAUUUUGCCCCUAGAUAGUGAAAAUUUUGGUUUGUCUUCAAAUUGAUCCUCGAACUCCGAAUCACCAUAUUAAACCAUUCUGGGACUUUAAAAUUCUUAAUUUCAUCGUAAAUUCUCUAUUUUAUCUAGUUCGAGGCUUAAAUCAACUUUGUUGUACGUCUAGGUACAAUACCGGCUUUUGUAAAUUUUUCGGGACUCUCUUAGCAUGCAAACAUGCUAUCCAACACAUGUAUGUCAUGACAAAUAUUUUUAUAGAGCCGGGCUUGUCAUGUUCUCCCCCACUUGGAUCAACCAUAUGAUCCUUCUUCUUGACUGAUUUCGACAUCUGGCUAAAUAUUAAUAUUUUAAUAUUAUUUCAUUAAUAAAAUAUUAUUUUAUUCUAAAAAUUUUAUCUUCUCUCCUUGGUACCCGAAAUACCUUAUUAUGCCUCACUUGACUUCUGAAUCGCCUUUUAUCUCACAAAUUCUCCUCCGAUAAAAUUAUUAUUAUUUUAUUAUUAUUUUCUCAUUUACGAAAUAUUUUAUCUUAAACUACUCUUUUCGUCUCUUAUCACUUUUAAACAUUUUAAUUGACCUCAAUUUGCAUUCGAUCAACUUUAUUUAUUACCAUAUCAAAGUAUGGGGUAUUUCAAUCUCCCACACUUAAAUAGAAUUCGUCCCCGAAUUCUCAUCGAUGUUGCGUUAUCAAUCUCCUUCUAUGAUCUUACUCAUUGUUCCUUCUAUGGGGACAUUUAAUUUAUUUACCUCGUUCACCUUCAAUUCAAUUAAAUGCUUUAUUUAUGGCAAUUAUCAUCCUUUGGAACUGGCUCAGUAAUAUUUUUCACAACCAUGAUCUCUUAUAUCGAGACACUAAGCAUGCCUUCAUCACCAUUAUUACAUUUGAACCAUAACUUCAUCUCAAUUAUACCGAUUUCGAUCACAUAUCAUACUUACUUAUGUAUACCUAUUCAUCGUUUUAUUAAUUUGCUCCAUACCAAAUUUCUCAACCUUGAUUCAUCCAUCUUAUACUAGUCCAUACCCUUCCUUUAAUAAAGUUCCAUUAAGAACUUAAACAAUUCAAGGUUUACUUUCAAAGUCAUUCAUAACUUUAAUCGUUCAUUACAUGUCCGUUAACACUUUAGCUCACUGACCUCCUCUAACAUUAUUUCAAAAUCUCCCAAUUACUGAGAACAAUUCUUCACCUUAGUUAGUCAAAUUAUCAAUUUCAUAUAUACAUGUGUACAUGUAUUUUCAAAUGUCAACAUCUCUCGUUAUGUAUAGAGAUCCAUGUGUUCACAUACCUUGGACUACAUUCCCCCGUUAUUCAUCUGUAUCCCAAUCGUAGUUUCCAUAUAUCGAUUCUUAUAGUGCAUGUCAACCUUCUUAUUAUACUUGCAAACCACUUUAUAUCAUUCAUAUCUUUUCCAACCAUAUGUUUGAGUUUCCUUAUACUAUAUAUCAUUGCCUCACAAUGUCAUCUCCAUUGAAUUAUAAUCUAUUAUGCGUGUAUGCUUUAUAAUCCUAUUGAUGCCUCAAAGAUUUAUCUUAACUUGAUCAUUGCAUCUCAUGCAAUACCACAAUUCCUAAGAGUCAUCCUUUUGUCCUUAAUCAUCUUUCAUGCCUCUAUAUUACCUUGUAUCUUUCUUGCAUUACGAUAUUGAUUUGUCACUUAAGACUCAAACCCAUUUGAAUCAUGUAUGCCUUAAGCAUUUUCGAAUUCCAAUUUCCAUAAUAUAUUAGGAAAGUUUCAUUAUCUGACUUCAUUUUCAAGGUCAACUUCUAUCAUCCUUUGUUCCACUCCUUCAUAUGAACAUAACAUCAUUCUUCCUUAACUAAUUUAUAAAUUGUACUUGAAAUUGUAAAACUUAAAACUAGAUUCUCCUCAAGUAUUUUUCAAUACUAAUACUAAUAUCACUCUCAGCUUACAGCUUCCUUUUUAUAAUCACAUAACUUAGUGCUUGCUUUAACGAGAUCCAGAGUAAAACUUCUCUUGAGUAUUUCCUUGGGAAUAUCUAUCUUAAACUUAUGUCUCACAGCAUGUGAUCCCUUAACUUGUGAUUUAGCCGUUAGGCUUCUCAGCAAGUUUUAAAAAUUUUACGUUUCAUACUUGCUGUGUAUGAUUAUAAUCUCUUCUCAAAGAUGUUUAUGUAUUCCUAAAACACUUACUCUUAAAGAUAUAUAAAUACGUACUCAUCCAUUCAAUCCCUAACUCAUCUUCAUAGGUUUCUAGGGUGUCACACAAUUAGCCUCAUGUUGUUACUAACCCUUGUCAUUUUACUGUAUCAAAACAGAUAUUACAAAUUCUCAUAAUGAUAUUCUAUAUAAACUGAUUUUCUAUACCAGUCUCGUAAUUCUUCCUUCACACUUUCAUUACUUGGUAUCUCAUCUCAAUAUAGUCAUCUCAAGAAUCUUUCAAAUUUUUUUUUUUUAAUUAUAUGCCUAUAUACAAGGCAAUAAAGAAGUUUUUCAAUUCAUUUGGGUAAACAUUCUCCAGAAUAUUUAAGACUCCCAGAUAACAAAACACAAUGACCAACAACCAAAAUUCAAUUUGUAAGCUCAUUAUCGUGUCACUCCCAUCUUACUCAUGCAUCAUAGGCGUGAGGUAUUCGGAGCAUUAUAGCGUUGAACAGUCAAUGUUGAAGCACUGUAGCUAUUAGAAAUUUUCUCAUCAAAGCUAUUUGUCUGCAUUCAAAGUCACCACAUCAAUCAUUCUCAACCAGUGGUUUCCCUUUUAGAUAUAUAUCAUGAGUUCCAUAAGUAUAGGUACCUUCUAUUUUCUUGUCAUACACACUAAGCCAGAUUAAUACUUUCAUCUCAUGUCAUCUUUUGACGUUUAUCAACAUUCAUAAAAUUCCACCUCAAAACAUCCUUUCCAUACAGUGUAAUAAAUUCAUGAUAAAUAUACCACUCCACACAUAAGUUGCUUACUAUCUACAACUUUCCUCAAAUUUAUUGUCAUCCCUAUCCAAUUAUCUUCUUUGUCUUAUACUCCAAUAAUCUUAUUGACUUUCGGUAUAAUUAACUACGAAAACAGCCCAGCUUCCUCCUCACUUUAUUCUCGCAAUCCUUACUGAAUCAAAAUUUUAUAUUCCCCAUAUUCCAUAAUUUAACUUCAUUGGGUUAUAUUUGUGCCCAACUAUUACCUCAUAGUGUCAUAACAUCACUGAAUAAUCCCCUUCAUGCUUAAAUUACAAUCAUUAACUUAAUCACAUUAUCCAUUCCGAAUGUCAUUUAUAACCUUAUUGCUUCCUUCUAUAACCUUCCUCAAUAAUUAUAUUACCAAUUUAUCUCUAUCAUACUAAAGAUUCCCAUAUACCUUCAGUUACUUAAACAGCCAUUUUAUAAUACAUUCUAGUCCUAUACUUUAAAAGCCAAACUAUUUUUACUUCUUUGUAUAGAUAAUUAUUAUCUCUUUUACACAACAUCUACUUAGAGUUAAGGUAGUGUAAAAUCCUACGAAAAUAUUACAUGUCCUUGGGAUCAUCAUCUUAAUCUGAUCUUAUCGGAAGAUUCUACUCUGAGUCCUCCUGAAGAUCCUCUUCUGAGUUUUCCUCCUCUUGAGAUUUUUUUCCUUUGCUCCUCAAUCCAAGCUUGUUGUAUUCUCCUAUACUCUUCAUCACUCACGGGUGCAGCAUUUCUUCCACAACCGGGAGGAAAAUGUCGUACACCUGACACUUUUCUAAGGGGUUUACUUGCCACUGUUACUUUCUCCUUAUCCUUUUCUGGUUGUCCCCUUACAUUUCUCCCACAGCCUGGUGGAAAGUGUCGGACUACUGUCACGCUCUUCCUAGAACGAAUACCUCCUUCGGCUAUCCUUAAUUUCCCCCUUUCUUUAACAUGUUCCUUAGAUUUUCUCAAAAGGGAACCUCUUAUGCUUACAUUAAUAUUAUUACUAUCUGCACUUUUUGGACUACUCGGUUCGGGUUGCCAUCGGCUCUUAGCAGUAGAAUCUAGCGAUCCCUCGCUAAUACUAUGAGAGGCGUCGGGACUACCGUCUCUCCUAGACAUGGUGUAUGUGUCACCAGCGCACCUCAAAACCUAUAUGCAAUCAAAUAGUAAUUGUUUAAUUAUUUAUGCAUCUCAAAAAUAGGUAGAUUUCUAUAUGUAGAUGCAUACAUUCUAUUCAAUCUAACCUAACUUAACUUAACUUAACUUAUCUUAACUUAACUGGACUUGGGGCCACGCAGUGUCAGUGUAGAUUUCUUAAAACAACCUUAAAAUCAAAAACUUUAAAAUCCAAAGCUUUAAAAUCAAAAUAUCUGAUCUUUAAACCAUGCUCUGAUACCAAUCUAAAUUGUCACGACCCGAAACUCCCCAUCGAGCCCGUGACAACCGCCGCGAGGCCUCGACAGACAUUCUUCACCCCGAAUGCCUAUCGAAACCCCGUAAGGCUUAGCAUCAACUUUCGCAUCUCCCCGGUGAGCAACAAUUAUAAAAUCUCGCAUUUAAAAAAAUCAUAAGUCAUUUUCAAAUAAGAACAAUAAAAUAUUAUUUUCUGGCUCAUAGGGGCAUUUUCGUAAUUUUUCGUCAAAAAUCUCAAAACUUGCUAAAAAUGUAAUAGGUAAGCAGAAAAUAUAUAUUUAAUGAUUUAAAAACAAAAUAAGUAUCUAAAACGUUCAUUUGAAAGCAAAUUGUUAACAACUAGUACUAUUCAAAAAUAAUUAAUAAAAUAUUCUAUUUUCUCAUAAAAUAAAUUUUUAUAGAAAUAUUCGUAAAUAAUUUUUCGCACAUGAAAGUAAAGUAAAAAUUGUAUGAAUAGAAAUACAGAUAACCAAAAUAUAAGUUUUGAUCUGCAAUGACACGUGGGCUCCAAUUGACCAAGAGGAUGUAAGACUGUGAACUCUUACUUUCUAUAAUGCAGUUCCGAGCUUAGUUCUCGUCCUACUCGACUAUCUACAAACUGUCCUGAGCCUGAAAAAUGUAUAGGAAGAAGGGGUGAGAUUUUAUAAUCCCAGUGAGUAAACAGAUACCAUCUAAAGUAUCUAAAGCCGAGUAAAUGGAGACAAUUAAAAUAAGUCAUCAUACUGUAAUUUCAUUACCUUUCAGUUCAUUUCAACCAAAUAAAAUCAAUCCAUAAAAAUCGAGUAAUCAACUUGGCUUAUGAAUUUCUUAAAACUUUGGCUCGUGCCAAAACUCAUACUCGGUGAUACCUUGCGCAGGGCAUCCAAUCGAGUCCGCCAAGGCUAUUAAAAUUUUUGUAUACACUUAAAAUAUGUUUUUAGUUUGAGAAAAAUACAGUCGUUCCUUGGCGUUGGCUGAGUUCCUCUUCACGUGGUGGUUUGGCGUGAAGUGAACCCUAAGCUUUAGCCCAAGAGAUACCCUACGUGCCUCUUCGUUCGAGGUAAUAAUAUAAUGGAGUUUACCGUGCCCCUCUAAUAGGCUGGUCCACGAAACCCCCUCUGUAGUAAAUAAUUAAUAUAUAAUCCACCGAUCAAUAAAAUUCAUUCUAGCAUGACAUGGCAAUUUAUCGCAACCUAGCCUCUCAAGGCUGAAUACACAGUAUAAAUAAUUCUAACACCAAAAUCAGUUUAGCCAUUCAUGCUCAUUUAUUGUGAUAAGCCAUUCAAUUCAAAACCAUAAAUUUGCAACACAAGCAAGCAGUCUCCAAUUACUGUAUUUUCAAAACCAGUAUUCAAUUUUUCUAGAAAAUUUAUAAAAUCAUUUUAGAAAAUCGUAAUUUCUCUUAAAACAUAGCAAUUUACCAUUUAAACUCAUUUUUCAUAAAAUCACACAAUUGCAUAAAAUUACUCUAGAUAAUUAAGACGAUAAUAAGUUCACUCACUGUUCUAGGAGUCGAUGUACUCCUAAUCCCAAUCUCCAAGCACAGUUUCUGUACUUUUACGAGUGUACUUUGCACACCACCUAUCCACAAUGUACAAUACAUAAUUCAUCACAUCAAUGCUUGACCAUUAUAAAAUCAAUUCAGGUUCGGUAUAUAUGCAUGAUAUGAUAUACAACUUAUCAGACUACCGUUUAAAUGCGGUGUUGACCUAAUUCGGCCUAUUAUUUCCAAUUUAACUCUAAAUCAAUUCUUCUCACUUUCUACACUUCAAUUAUACCUAAAUUACCUUAAUGACUGUAAAUGAGAUUCAAUUUAUCAGUCUCGAUAGCAAAUUGCAAAAAUAACCCUAAUGGGUAAAAAUUCGUAUUUUUGCUCUGAAAAUUCUCAUUAUUUUUCUAGGCUCAUAAUUCAUCAUUUCUUAACCAAUUCUCGUAGAAUGAAAAUCAAAUUCAUCCUCACUCAACACAUGCUAAAUUCAGCCAUUAAGGGUUGUGGGAGAAAAUAAAUUCUUUUCUUAUUGUUUUGUUUCUAAAUAUGCUAAACUAACUUAAAACACUAACAUAACUUAAAAUCAAAUUAAUCUAACAAUUUUCUCUCUCCUAACCCAUUUUUCAGAAUUGAAUUCAUCAUAAUAACUCAAUUUCAACCAUGAAAAUUAAGAACAAAAGCAUGGGUAAGCUAGGUAUCAAGGAGAACUAAAGAAAUUCUAACUUACCUAACUUGUUUCCUUGAUUUCUUCACUUUUUCUUUGAAUUUUCACCUAGGUUUUCUUGUUUUUCCCUUUGUUCUUCCUCUCUUUCUCUCUCUUCCUUGCUUGGCUGGCCAUAUGAAGAAAAUGGGCUGAUUUUAUGCCUUUUUAUAAAGAAACAAUAAAAUAAUAAAGGUAUGACACAUGAAAUUUUCUUAUUGGUCCAUUUUGAAAAUUUUAAAAUUUUAAUCCUUUUUAUCUCCACCACACAAUUAGUUAAUGGUCAAAAUGAGGAUAAAGGAAGACCAUGUGCUGGAAAAAUGUCCUGGUGGUGGAAAAUUACAAUUUUGCCCCUAGGGUGGCAAAAUUACCAUUUUACCCUUUUUCUCCAAAUUAUACCGAAAUUAAAAUUUUUCACUUCUAAACCUCAAAUCUUACUCCAAUAAGUCAAAUGGGGCCAAAAAAUCUUUUCUAAAAUUUCCAUUUUGUCCCUAGGUAGCAAAUGACCAUUUUGCCCCUAGAUAGUGAAAAUUCUGGUUUGUUUUCAAAUUGAUCCUCGAACUCCAAAUCACCAUAUUAAACCAUUCUGAGACUUUAAAAUUCUUAAUUUCAUCGUAAAUUCUCUAUUUGAUCUACUUCGAGGCUUAAAUCAACUUUGUUGUACGUCUAGGUACAAUACCGACUUUUGUAAAUUUUUCGGGACUCUCUUAGCAUGCAAACAUGCUAUCCAUCACAUGUAUGUCAUGACAAAUAUUUUUAUAGAGUCGGGCUUGUCAUGUUCUCCCCCACUUGGAUCAACCAUAUGAUCCUUCUUCUUGACUGUUUUCGACAUCUAGCUAAAUAUUAAUAUUUUAAUAUUAUUUCAUUAAUAAAAUAUUAUUUUAUUCUAAAAAUUUUAUCUUCUCUCCUUGGUACCCGAAAUACCUUAUUAUGCCUCACUUGACUUUUGAAUCUCCUUUUAUCUCACAAAUUCUCCUCCGAUAAAAUUAUUAUUAUUUUAUUAUUAUUUUCUCACAAAUUCUAAACUACUCCUUUCGUCUCUUAUCACUUUUAAACAUUUUAAUUGACCUCAAUUUGCAUUCGAUCAACUUUAUUUAUCACCAUAUCAAAGUAUGGGGUAUUUCAUUGAGAAUUUUAAAGUCCUAGAAUGACUUAAAAUGGUGAUUCGGAGUUCGUGGAUCGAAUUGGAGUCAAAUUGGAAAUUUCGCUAUAUAGGGGCAAAUUGGUCAUUUUGCCACUCAAGGACAAAAUGGAAAUUUUUUUGAAAGAUUUUGAUCUUAUUUGACUUAUUGGAGUAUAAUUUGAGGUUGAGAAGUGAAAAAUUAUAAUCUUGGUAUUUUUUAGAGCAUAGGGGUAAAAUGGUAAUUUUGCCAUCUUAGGUGCAAAAUAGUAAUUUUCCACCACCAGGACACUUGUCCAGCACAUGGUCUUCCCUUAUCCUCAUUUUGACCUUUGACUAAUCAUGUGCUGGAGAAUGGAAGCAUAAUUAUUAAAGUAUAAAAAAUAAAAAGAAAAAUGGACUAAUAAGCAUGUGACGUGUCAAGUAAGGAUAUUUUAUUGUUUUCCAUAAAAAUCAGCCCAUAUUUAUCCCAUUUUCUCUUCAUGUGGCCGGCCAUAGUAAGAACAAAGAGAAGAAAGGAAAAACACAAAACCUAGGUGGGAAAAUUGAAGAAAAAGUGUGGGAUUUCAGGGAAUCAAGCAAUCAAAGGUAAAAUUUCUUGAUUUUGACUUGUGAUCUACCUUUCCCAUGCAUUUCUCCUUAUUUUCCAUGAUUAAAUUUCAUGUUUUCAUGGUGAAUUCAUGGCUGACCAAAUGGGUAUGGAGAGAGAAUGAAGUUGGAUUGAUUUGAUUCUAAGUUAUGUUAGUGUUUUUAGUUAGUUUAACAUAUUUAGAAACAAAACAACAAGAAAACAAAUUCAUUUUCUCGCAUUACCCAUAGGAGGCUGAAUUUUCUAGGGAGAAUAUUGAGGUUGAAAUUGAUGAUAUUUCAUGACAUUUUGGUGAUAUUUGAUGUUUGGUUAGGCUAGAAAUUAAAUGAGAAAUUUUGAUGUGAAAAUCUGAAUUUUUGCUCAAUGUAUAGACAUGUGUGAUUAUUGAUCCGAGACUGAUAAAUUAAAUCUCAUUCAUAGUCACUGAGGUAAUUUAGGUAUAAUUGGAGUGUAGAAAGUGAAAAGAAUUGAUUUGGAGUUAAAUUGGAGAUUUUAGCCUAUUAGACCGAGUAUAGUAUGACUUAGGUCGAAUAUUACAUUUAAGCGAUUAAUCAGACAUUUUGCAUUCCAUAUCAUGCAUUAGUAGUCUAAAUUAGUUUAAUUUCAAUUUAGUACCAAUGUGGUGAAUUUCUCGAUUUUGUACUGUGUCAAGGUGGUAAGUCCUCCUAUAAAGGUAAGGGAAUUGUACCCGAGGACCAAUAGUCUGAGUAUUUCAAAAAUCCCCACUCUAGACAUUGUGAGUAACCUUACCAUCAUUUUAAUUAUCUAAAGUAUGUUUUUAUUCAAUUUUGGUGAAUUUUAUGAAAAUGAGUUCAAAUGGUAAAUUUUUAUGUUUUGUAAACAAAAUGUGUUUAAAUGAAAAGACUUUAUAAAUUGUCUUGAAACGAAAUAACGAUUUUGAAAAUAGAGUAAUUGGAGACCACUGGUAUGUUGUAAAUUUAUGAUUGGAAAUUGAUGGCUUAUGUUAUAUUGUUAUUGUGUUGGCAUGACUGGUUAGGUUGUGUUUUAUGAAUUGUAUGAAUUGUUUUAUUUUACCCUUGCAGGCUGUGUAGUAUUAUAUUAGCCCUAUCAUUCUGUUAAAAUUUUAUUAUAUAGUGGGUUUAGCAUGCUGCAGUGGGCGGAUUUUGUGGACCAGCCUAUUAGAGGGGCACGAAAUUUGGAUAUAAAUAUGAACUUGGGUCGGAGAGGCGCGUAGGGUAUCUCCUGAGGUAUGGUUAGAGUCCACGUCACGCCGAACCACCUCGUGAUGAUGAACUCCACUAACGCCAAGGAACAGUUGUGUUUUUCAAACUAAAAAUAUGUUUUCAUGUAUACGAAAUUUUUACAGCCUUGGUGGACUCAGUCAGAUGCCUCGGCUAAGGUAUCCUCAAGAAUGAUUUUGGCAGGAGCUAAGUUUUUUUUAAAUACUCAUAAGCCAUGUUGACUAUUUAAAUGAAAUGAAUACUUAUGUUAUGAAAAACUUAUUUCGAUGAAAUGUUUUAAUAGUCUCCUUUUACUCGCACUUUAGAUCUUUUGAAUGAUGUUUGUUUACUCACUAGGAUUUUAUAAUCUCACCACCCUCUUUUCCCUCCAUUUCAUGCUCAGAUUAGACUGUAGAUAGCUGAUCUCAUCGAGGACUACCGUUGGGUUUGCAUUCUUCAAACUGUAGGUUUAUAGUCCUAUUUACUUUUUUUUUAUUCGGGGGCUCACUUAUUAUUGUAAAUUAAAUUAAAUACUUUGGCUUACUGUAUUACAGUAUGUAUGAAUUUAUUUAACUUUUACGCUACAAAAAUUAUUUACGUAUAACUCUAAAAUAUUGUUUUAUAAGAAAAUAGAAUAUUUUGCUUAACAUUUCUUUUAUUUUCUUAUUAUAUCCAAAUAAUCGAAAUUUCAUUUUAAAUGAAAAUUUUAGACUUUAAAACUCACUUUUGAUUAUGAAUUAUAUGUUUUGUACUCAUAUAUUACAUUUUAGCUGAUUUCGAAAUUUGUAGGAAAAAAUUACUAAAAUACCCUUGUGAGACGAAAAUUAUUAUUUUAUUUGUUUUGAGUUGGAAACAGCUUAAAAUCUUUUAGAACAUGAUUUUUGGCAAUGGUUACUCACGGGGGAAAUGAGAUACUGAUAUUAAGCCUUGCGAGGUCCCGGUUGGCAUUACGGGAAAUGAGUGUCUAUCGAGGUACCACGGUAGUUGUCACUGGCUCGAGAGGAGUACCGGGUCAUGACAUAAUAUAUACUUAUAUAGUAUAUAAGUAUACUAAGAAGUCAUAAAGUAUAUAUACUGUGAAAUCUCACCCUAAAUAAAGUAUAAUUUAAGAAAAACCUUAAGUGACAUAUGAAAUUUUUGUUCCGAAACAUUAAAUUUCGAAACCGUAGAAAAAUUCAUUUUUUGAUGUUGUAUUAUGUUUACCAAAGUUAGAUGUUUAAAAAAGUCCAAUUGGACAAGUUUUAAACUAUUUUUGCAUACUAGAGCAAAUGUAUCGAUACAUGACCCUUAUAUAUCAAUAGAUUUAGUCUAAAAGGCUUUUAAAAUGGGGAUUUGAAAAACAUGUAUUGAUACAUGUAAAAAUAUAUCAAUAGAUUUAGAUUUUUAUAAACAUCUAUCAAUACAUAGUCAAAUGUAUCGAUAAAUUUUUUUCAAAAACUAAUGUAUUGAUACAUGGACCUAAUGUAUCGACAAAUUUCGUCAUUUUCAGAAAAAUAAAAAGGGUAAAAAUGUAUUUUCACACCCUAACCUAUAAAUAUGCCAUAUUUUUUGAGGAUUGGCAACCGUCAACCAUUUUUGCAAAGUAAACUCUCAAUUCUAAAGCUUUAACAACCCAUUUUUAGUCCAAACACCAUUUUUACGAAUUAAAGGCUUGGUUUUGAGUUUUUAUGAAAAAGAUAACAUUUUUCAACCUUGAAAUCUUUAAAUCUUGAUUUUCCAACAUUGAAAAUACUAUUUGUGUGCCCAGAUUCUUCUCUUGAUUGUUAAAGCUCAAGGUUUUGUGAUUUUCCUAAGCAUCUAAGCUCACCUAAGGUAAGGAUGAAGAAUUUAUGGGUUCUUAAGCAUUAUAUAAUUAAUGUAAUAGUGAGUUUAAGCUAGAAAUAUAGUUUUAGUUGAAUCCAAGUAGUUCCAAAAGUGUUGGAAAUAACUAAUACGAAAUUAUUAGACUUGAUAAUGAUCGUGAUGUUUCUUGAAUGAUUAGGAACAGUCGAAAACUUUAAGGAAUCCACCAGUGUGAAGUCGUAAAUCAGGGAGCCAAGCAUUGAAUCUCCAAUUAAGUGAGUGAUACAACUCUUCAAAUAUUUCAAUAUAUUAAGUGAGCAUGAUUUUUAUGGGAAUGAUUUGCUGUACAUGGCAAAAUGUUGUUUUAAGGAAUGGCUUAUCAAAGAAUUCAAGUUCAAGGUUUUCAACUAGUAUUUCAAAGAAUGACUAAAAAAAUUGAUUUAAUGAUGAUUGAUUGUGUAUUGACACUAAUGGUUUUCCAAUAAUUUUUGAAUCUAUUAUAUAUGUAAAUAUGCUACUAUGUAUUAGUUUUCAACAAGAGGGGCUAGCCCUUUCAAAUGUUUACCUUCUAAAUGAGAUGAAUGGUAUGAUAUACAUGCUUGACAUAAUGCAACAUGUAAGGUAUGAUGGGUGCAUGAGGUUCAUCUAUAAGGUUAUGACAUGUAUGCCAUGAAAUAUAUGUGUUAGGAAUGUCAUGUACAUGAUGGGCUAAACAUGAGAUGAAUUAUGAGAUUAUAACAUGAAUGCCAUGAGAUGUAGGUGUUGGUUAUGUCAUGUACACUACAAGCUAAGCAUGGGAAUUAAUUACGAGAUUAUGAAAUGUAUGCCAUGAGAUGUGUGUGUUGAGAAUUUCAUAUAUACUAUGGACUAACCACGAAGAUGGUUUAUAAAAAUGUUUAUAUGUUUAUGAUGCAAGUUAUGGAUGAGAACGAUUUUAAACUUAAGGAAUCUUAUGACGAUAGUGAAGAUUAAUCACUAUCAGCUUGAGUGUGGUGGGACCACUUAAAGAUUUUGGGUGAGGCUGAUGUGUCACUCACACAGCCAUGAUGACUGUUCAUGCAAGCUAAACCAAACUUAAAUGACAAAUUACCGGUGAGUGAACUGCAUUUCAAAAUUGUUUUGGGAAUAUGACUGUUUUGUACAAAGCAUUUGAAUGAUUUUAUACAACUUUUCUUAAAAACGAGUGCCUUGGGAACAAGCCUUUGUUAAUUGACUUUAUGUUGUGACAUGUGGUUGUUAUGAAUUCGUGCAUUACUACAUUAUGUUGGUGUAUAUAUAUAUAUAGAUAUAUAUAUGUUGUGCACGAUGGUUGAUAUUGUGUGAUAAUUAUAACCGCGUGUGUGCACGAUGUGGGGGGAUGCACAUGCCGGUGAUGGCAUGGUGAGGGAGGUGGAUGAUGAUAAUGCUCGUGUGCACGAUGUGGGGGGAUGUACACGAUGGCACUGACUGUGCAUGAUGUGGGGGGAUGCGCACGAUGACUCCGGCUAUGUGCAUGAUGUGGGGGGAUGCACAUGAGCUGCGUGUGAUGAUGGUGAUAUUGGUGGUUAUCUAUGUAUUCAUGUAUAUCUACGUUUAUGAAAUAAAAGCUUAUGAAUAUGGCAUAUGAUUGAAAUGCAUGUGAAACUUGACAUGUUGAACUUUGAGAAAUUAUAUGUGUUUUAUGUUGUUUUUGUCAUUUCAGCAAGAUGGCCUUUUCUAGAGGAAAUGGGGAAUUUUUGUUGGUGCCCUGUUUAUCGAUGCAAUGAGAAUGAAUCUCGUUGCAGCGAGAAACUCUCGGGUUUCGAGGGUUUCACCAGACAUGGUUCUCACUGCAGCGAGAAAGUUUGUGUUUUAUGGCUUGAAUCUCGCUGCAGCCAAAAACUUUCUGUUUUGCUUAGUAUCUUGAUCGAUUGCUGCGCUAUUUUCCACUUCUUAGGUACCAUAGUUGAGCAUGGACCCUUUACAUCAAGUGAUUUAAUCAAUUGGGGUUUUCUUGAGGGGUUAUGAUAAACACUAAGUUAAAUUGCAUUGUUUUAAAAUAAGUGCAUCAUGAUUUUCAAAUUUUUCCUAUUGAUUGCUUGUUCCCUUCCUUGUUCAUUCACUGAGUUUUGUACUCACAUUUUUAAAAUUCAUGUUUUCAGAUUUGGAGGCAGUUGAGACCUAGAUUGAGUCACAUACCUAUGCUCGUCUUCUUGGUAGGUACUAUGGCAUCUCGAUAGCUGUAUCUUCACCUAGAGUCACUCCGCUGACGGUCUCGAGUCUAUUACUUGUGAACAUGUAUAUGUUGGAUUGAUGAUGAUAGUACUUUAAUAUAAUAGAAAUAUGAAUAUUUAAUUAUUAUAAAAUAUUACUGGAACAUUUACUUUUGAGAGUUACAGCACUACAUUUUAAAGAUGAUGGAUGGAAUGAUAAUCGGAAUUGCAUAAAGAGGCUUGCUUGGGCUUAGUGGGCAAUGCCCACUGGACCCAUGCGUCGGUCAUGGCCUGAGAAUUUUGAUUGUGACAGAGGUGGUAUUAAAGCUUUAGGUUUAGUCGAGUCCUAGGGAUCCUUGUGUCUGUCAGCCGAGUUGUCGGAGUUAAUGCAGAGUCUUGUUUAUGAUUUAUGACUACAGCACUAGUCAUAGACAGGAACCUAUAUGAACUCCUAUUCCUAGUAACCUACCUUUUUGCUAUCGUCAUGUAAAAGGUAUAAAUUGUAUUGUUGCUCGGGUUUGAGAUGCCACCCGAAACACAAACCAUUAUUGAAAAGAUUUUUAAGCAAAUGCUCCUAAUGAAAGGUCAAUAUAAUGAUAUAUUCCUCCGACUAAGAAUGGAGGAAGGUGGAGUUGGACUGUUAGGUCCACAAUAAUUUAUUCUUUUAGUGGAAUUAUGAUUUGAACCCAUGGUUAUCAAGGAAAAAAAAUUUAAAAAAUUGGAGACUAUGGAUUGUAUUUGAGGUCAAUAUAGGGAGGACGUACGAUAUGGUAAUAAGAGCUGUAUUUUGACUGGAAUGAAUAGUGAUUGUUAUGACUCGCUUGAGGUUUAUAAAUUUAAGUAUCGAGGAAAGACUAAGCCAAUACUUAUGUGCGCGGGGUUAAGUGCACUAGGUUAAUUAAGCUUGUUAUGCCAUAUAUAAAUGGCGCUGGGCUUCCGAAAUAUUUAUAUGAGAAUAUGUGUUGAAUAUGUGUACAGCAGGUUAGAGGGAGCUGGUUUUGAUUCCAAUUAAGUGACUGUGAGAUCCCAAGGGUUAAUUUGAACUAUUAUGGUUUAAAAUUUAAGGUAUAUGAAUUAGCUCAAGAGUGAAAAUCAGUGAUUAUUAUAAUUGAUGGUAGUCAUGAAGAAAAAGGCUAGUAAACAAACCUGCUCUAAGGAUGAGCUUAAAUUUUGCUAUGCUUAGCAUGGAGCCAAAAGAUUAAAGGACUAGGUGUGGAUUUAGCAGUUUGAAAUUAAAUGACAUGGAAAUGAAAAAUUUAGUUUAAGUGCCAUAUGGAGUUCUAUAUGAAGAUCGAUAUAUAAAUUGCUUUAAAAGUCAAUUUAAAAAUAUGUUUGGUUCAAUAUGCAACCUAUGAUGUAAAUGAUUAGUCUUGAAUGUGACUUCCCUAGGUAAGGGACUUACAACAUGUGGAUUUCCGGAUAUACUCUAAGAGGAAGCUUCUGCAUCCUAAGCUUAAGAAAUUUUGAUCUUAUGACUGCAAAGGCAAGAUACAAAAAAAAAAUUAUGUGAAUUGUUUAUCUUAUGGAUGUAAUUGGUUUAGAAUUGAUGAGUAAAGUCGAGAUCUCAACACUAAGUGGUGUACAAUUUAAUAUAUGUGUAUCUAAGAGUAAAUUUGGAGAUUAUUGUGAGACCUUGACCUUUAUAGACUCGUAAAUAGAAAUAUACGCGAUAUCCCUAAUCAAGAAUAAUUUUGUCAUUUUCUCAAUAAGCCAAUAAAAGUAAGUUUUAAACAAUAUUAUGGCUUAAGUGGGCCUAAAGCAUAAAUGAAUGAUGAAAAUAUGGGUGAAAUGACAAGGAAAUAAAAAUUUUGAUGAUUUUCAUGUUCUAGGGGCAAAAUGGUAAAUUUGUCAUUCGAUGACAAAAUGGGAAUUUUAGAAUUUUACACCACCUAACACUUGUCUUGCCCAUGGAUUUCAGCCAUUAACAUUUUACAUUGUGGAUAAUUGAAACAUUUUAUGUGGUGGAGAGAGAUUACUUAAUGGAUAAGUAUUACACAUGGACCAAUGGAAACAUGCCACGUGUCAAGCUUGGAUUAUUCUAGAAUUUCCUUGUAAAAUCUAUUUAAAACUCUCUUAGUCCCACCCAUAUGGCUGGCCAAAGCAUUAAGUGAAGAGGAAAGAAAAGAACACAAACCCUAGGUGGGAAAAUUGAAGAAAAAGUGUGGGAUUGCAAGGGAUUAAGCUAAUUUGUGGAGGGGCAUUUUAGUAAUUUCCAAAGGAGUGGAUAAGCUUAGGCCAUAAAUAUCCUCUCCUUCUAGCAACUUCUUGGGAUUUCCAGCAGCUUCCUCUUCUUGUUCUCUUCCCUCUCACGUUUCUUCAAUUUUUCCAUGGAAGCUUAAUGUGAAGCUUUCAUAACUUUCUCUCUCUAGCUCUAAUUUUCAUACCCUGGUGCCCUUUGGACUCGAACCCUUGUAUUCUUCCACUCUCUCACUUUAAAACCCUUGAAAAUGAUGAAAAUCUUGUUUCCAUACUCUCUCACUAGUUAGGUGUUUUAGAGAGAGAAAGAGGAAGCUUUAUUAAUAGCUUGAAAGCUUUUGGAAAAAGUUCAAAGUUACAAAGCUAUCAAGGUGAGUAGUAAACUAGUAUUGGGUUUUAAGUGUUGAGAAUGACUAGAGAUUUGAUUUGUGAAUAUUUUGUAGUUGAGAUUGUUAAUUCACUUUGGAGUGAUAGGAAAGUGAAAAUGGAUGGCCAUUUAAAUGGCAAUUGAAAGCUAGCUAAAAGAUAGCUUUUAGGGUUUAUAGUAUGUAAAUUGACAUUAUGGAAAUGUUAAUUUGAUGGUAGGUUCUAACGAAGCCCCAUCACCCCAAUUGGAUCAUUAGGGGGAUUAAGAGUCGGCUAAAGGCUCAACGAAUACCGGUGAGUGGACUUGCAUUUCAAACUUGUUUUGGGGAAUAUGAAAGAUUCUAUCCAACUUGUCUUAGAAAAUGUACCUUGGGAACAAGCUUUUAGUAAAAUGAUUUUAUAUUGUGAAAAUGUGCUAUACAAUGGUUUAUGUGUUAUCACAAUAUGAUAAAAUGCAUGAUAUGCAUUGGAUGCUUCUUUGCAUUUGAUGUGGACCCGGCUAUGUGCGAGUAUGAGUGCACAUAAGCCGUUGCUGACCCGACUAUGUACGAGUAGAAGUGCACAUAAGCUGUUGCUGACCCGGCUAUGUGUGAGUGGGAGUGCACAUAAGCCGUUGCUGACCCAGCUAUAUGCGAGUGAGAGUAUGCAUAAGCUGUUGCAUAUGAGAUGAUGAUGAUGGGAGGGUGUACAUGAUGAUUGAUAUAUAUAUAUACAUAUAUGGUAUAUGGUUGUAAAUGCAAAUAUGUGAGCAUUUGGUUUGUUGAAAUUUGGGAGUUUACAUGUGUUACAUGUUGCUAUUGUUUUUUUUAGCAAGAUAGCUUGUUUUAAAGGAAAAUGAGACUUUUUCCUUGAUGUUCUGACUCUCGCUGCAACGAGAAACUCUCAAGUUUGAGGGUCUUCACCAGACCUAGUUCUUGCUGCAGCGAGAAUGAAGUUCACUGUAGCGAGAAACUUUCUGUCCAUUUUGGCUAACUUGUGGGUUUUUCUAUAUUUUUUGAUUCUUUGGUACCAUAGUUGAGUAUGGAUCUUUUGAGUGAUUUACUCAUGAGGGGUUUACAUGAGGGGUUCUACUAAGAACUAGAACAAAUUGCAUUGUUUUGAGAAACUGAGUGUAUCAUGAUUUCGAUAAACAUUCCUUAUGGUAUGCUUGUUCCCUUCUUGUUCACUCACUGAGUUUAUGUUCACCGCUUUCAACUUCAUGUUUUCAGAUUAAAAGACAGCCGGUAACUAAGACGAGGUGUCCUCGCGGACUUGUAUCCAUCUUUUGGUAAGUGUCUCGGCAUUCAGUAGGUGUACUUUCGUCCAAGUCUCUCCGCUAAACAUCGAGUCUCCUUUUGUUGUGUAUAGACGAACCUAAUGGGAAUUAUUAAGUUACAUGUGUAGAUAGUGUAUAUACACCUAUUUGGUAUGCCAAUACGAAGUGGCAAUGCUUAACAUUAUUUUGAUUCUAAGUUAUGAUAUAUGACAUAGCAGUUUAUGAUGAAAUGAUAAACAUGUCAGAUUAAUAGGCUUGCUUGGGCUUAGUGGACUACGUCCAUUGGGCCCAUGCGCCGGUCAUGGCCUAGAAUUUGGGUCGUGACAAUUAUUGCUUAAUCAAUUGGCACUGAAUGUUAUGGUAAAGGUAUGUGAAUGCUAGUAGUGAAGUAUGCCCAAAGUGAGAUACGUUGAGACUAAUGUUCCGAUUGUAAACUUUUGAUAGAAAGCUAGUUUUGCAAAUUGUGAUUUUUAUGACCAUGAAGUAUAUGGAGGUUACCAAUAUGUAAGCAUACACUUGAAGUUGUAUAUUUUGUGAUUUGCAUUCAUUGUAUGGAAGGAGAUAUUCCAUAGAAAGAUUUGGCCUAAUUGGUGAUUACAUGACUAUUGGCUUGGUAUGAGAUUGAGAAUGCCUUAACAUGUAUGAGAAGUGUGUUGUGAAAGGCUGAAAGUCAUUAAGACGAAUGAUGGGUGAAACAUAGGUGUUGUUAUGACGAGCAUAAAAAGCUCAAGGAUAAUCAAUGCAAUUAUAUUAAGUUAGUUUGGUUCGAUUCGAAAUAAGAGUAAGGACAUCUUGAAAGAUCUUAAAGUAAUGCUCAAUGGGAUUAAUGAGCUAAAUGUUAUCGAAUAUAUAUUAAAUUAUUAAAGUUAUGCGUGGCUUUGAAGAUAAGCCUUUGAUUGUCCGAGUCCUUAAUAGAAUUCUAUUAAAGGAUGUGUUUAAGCAUUUUGGAAGUGUAUUGGAAAACACAAGAAUAAUAUACUAGUUUGACUAGCUAUAAGAGGUCGAAUUUGGAUGGCCAUGAGUGGCUUCUGAACAAUCAAGCAAUGUAAAGUAUGUGCUCAUAAAAGGAGCUAUGAUUGGUAGAUAAGAGUAUAACUUUAACGAUGAGAUUGUGUUCACUGCUUUAGGCAUUGAACUAUAAGUUAUGGACUGGUAACCACUUUGUGGACAUCCUGGUGAGAUAGAUUCAAGAGAUUGUUCGCAAUGAGAGAACAUUAAAACUCCAAGAGCAAACGACUAUAUAGUCAAGUUAGAGCUCGUGGCUAAUGUGUCACAUAAGUAUAAAGAUAUGUUACAAAUAUAAGGAUGCUUGGAGAUAUUGGUUUAAGGCAGUGAGUGUCAUGCCAUUAGGUAGACUCGAUAAGGUUGUGGCUUCGAUAUACUCGUAGACACAACGCAUAAAUUAUGAAAGGUGUUUCCCUCACAUGCUUCACUUUGUUUUAAGGAAUUUUCAAAAUAGAAUGCCUAAUACUAGUGUGAGACCUUGACCUUUAUCGACUCGUAGUUAGUAAUAUACGCGAUAUCCCUAAUCAGGGGUAGUUUCGUCAUUUCCUUCGUAAGCCCAUAAAAGUAAGUUUUAAACAAUAUUAUGGCCUAAGUAGGCCUAAGGUAUAAAUGGAUGGUGAAAUUAUGGGUAAAAUGGAAAGGAAACCAAAAUUUUGAUGAUUUUCACGGUAGAGGCAAAGUGGUCAUUUUUCACCUCGAGUUAAAAUUUUAAGUUUUCAUGAACCCGAGCAUGUCUAGACCAUUAUGGACCUUGUCCCAGUGUCAAAAGUGAUUGCAUAAAAGAUUAGAGGAGAAUAAGCUAAAUUGUGGGGGGGUAAUUUGGUAAUUUAAGUGGAGUGGAUAAGUUUGGCUAUAAAAUAUCUUGAAUUUCCAAUAGCUUGUCUUCUUCUCCUUAUUCCCUCUCACGUUUCUUUAAAACCUCCAUGGAAGCUUGAUAUGGAGCUUGCUUAAUUUUCUCUCUCUAGCUCUAGUUUUCAUACUUUUGAGCCCUUUUGACUAGAACCCUUGUAUUCUUCCACUCUCUCUCUUUAAAACCCUUGAAAAAUCUUAGUUCCAUACUUUCUCUCACUAGUUGGGCAUUUUAGAGAGAGAAAAAGAGAAUUACCCCAUUGAUUUGGAAGCUAUUGGAAAAGAAUUCAACUACAAAGGAACCCUACGGUGAGUGAUGCACUAAGCUUGGCUUUUAGUUGUGGAUAAUGGCUAGUAAUUUAGAUUAUGAGUUGUUUUAUUGUUGAGGAUGUUCAUUCAUUUUAUAGUGAUUUAGAUAGUGAACAUAGAUAGCCAUUUAAAGUGACAAUUGAAGGCUAGCAAAGAGAUAGCUUUUAGGUUUUACAAUAUGUGAAUUAACAUAAUGGUGAUGUUAAUGUGAUGGUAGGUUUCAAGGAAGCCCCGUCAUCCCAUUUGGACAAUUAGGGGAAUUGGAGUCAUCUAAAGGCUCAACAAUAUACCAGUGAGUGGACUUGCAUUUCAAACUUGUUUUGGGGAAUGUGAAUGAUUUUAUCUAACUUGAAUUUGAAAAUGUGCCUUGGGAACAAGCCUUUGGUGAAGUGAUUUUAUAUUGUGGAAAUGUGCUAUGUGUUAUCAAAAUAUGAUAGUAUGCAUGAUAUGCAUUAGGCGCUUCUUUGUAUGUUGAUCUAGACCCGACUAUGUGCGUGUAGAGGUGCACAUAAGCCGUUGUUGACCCGGCUAUGUGAGAGUGGGAGUACACAUAAACCGUUGCUAACCCGACUAUGUGCGAGUGGGAGUGCGCAUAAGCCGUUGCAUAUGAGAUGAUGAUGAUGGGAGGGUGUAUAUGAUGAUAUAUAUAUAUAUAUAUAUAUAUAUACAUAUAUGGUAUAUGGUUGUAAAUGCAAAAAUGUGAGCAUUUGAUUUGUUGAAAUUUGGCAGUUUGCAUGUGUUACAUGUUGUCUUUGUUAUUUAGCAGGAUGGCUUUGUUUUAAGGGAAAAGGGAACCUUUUUCUUGAUGUUCUUAUUCUCGCUGCAAUGAGAAACUUUCGAGUUUUGAAAGGGUAGGCUGGCCCGAAACUCGCUGCAACGAGAAUCCAUUUUUGCUGUAGCGAAAAACUUUCUGUUUUAUGACCAAAAUCUCGCUGCAGUGAAAAACCUUUUAUUUUUCACCUCAUUUUGAUCAAUUGUUGCCCUAUUUUCCACUUCUUUGCUAUCAUUUUUAAGCAUGGAUUUCCAACAUUAAGGAAUAAGUGAAUUAAGCUUAAUAUAAGGAGGUUUGGUGAGAAACCCUCGGCUAGUAAAGAAACCCUCGGUUAGUUGAUAAUUUAAAUCAAGUGUCGCUUCAGUGAGGACCCGUCAUUUAUUGACUUGAUUCGUACGAAUGCUAUUAAAGUUUUCACUCUCCAAAUCCUUUGUUGAGCAUGGACUUCUUCCAAUAAGUAUUUUUCUCAUGUGGGGUUUACAUGAGGGGUUUAAUAAGUUCAAAAACAAAUUGCAUUGUUUUGAAAAAGAAUGCAUCAUGAUUUCGUUAAACAUUCCUUAUGGUAUGCUUGUUCCCUUUCUUGUUCACUCACUGCAUUUAUACUCACCGUUUUCAACUUCAUGUUUUCAGAUCACGAGCCAGCCGGUAAUUAGGACGAGGCAUCCUUGUAGACUUGUAUCCAUCUUUUGGUAUAUGUCUCGGCAUUCAGUAGCUGUACAUUCGUCCGAGUCCCUCCGUUGGAAGUCGAGUAUUAUUUUGUUGUGUAUAGACGUACCUAAUGUAAAUUGUUAAGAUUCAUGUUGUAGACAAAUGUAUAUACACUUGUUUAGUAUGCCAGUAUGAGAUGGCAAUGUUUAAUAAUAUUUUGAUUCUAAGUUUUGCAAAAUGACUUAGCAGUUUAUGAUGGAAUGAUGAACACGUCAGAUUAAUAGGCUUGCUUGGGCUUAGUGGACUACGUCCAUUGGGCCCAUGCGUUGGUCAUGGCUCGAAAUUUGGGUCGUGACAACUAGCACGCAAAGGCUGAAUCGAGCUUUAGGUGCCUAAAGAGCAAUGAUGAUAUGGUCAAGUUAGUUGAUAUUACCCUUAGUGAAGGAAUAGAAAUAUACUAUGGAAAUUGUAGAGGUCUACUUUAGAAAGAAAUGAUUCUAAACUUGAUUGUUCAUUAUUUUGGUUUUACAGAUGGCUUAUUGAGCUUGAUAUGGCUAAGGCUAUUCGAAGUUAAAAAUUUUUGAAAAUAUAUAUGUAUGGAUAUAUAUGUUGCAUAUUGCAUAAAAGCUCAUACAGAGUUGGAUAUAAUUUGAUUUGAUGAUGAUAUUCUAUCAAUGGUUAUAGUGCUAGACAAUGAUUAAGAUAAUUUAUCGCUGAUUUUGGCAGUGAACAAGGGGAUUAUAAUGUUGUUAGCUUAAAAGUAAGUGUUUAUACUUUUGGUAUGAGUUCAUCAAAUUCUAUUAUAUGAUGAUAAAAUUUGGUGUUUUAAUAUAGCUUGAGAGGCUUGGCAUAUACACUAGCUUAACUGUGAGCUAGAAAUUUUUAGGUUAUUAUGAAGUACACAAAUAGAGAAGUAUGACAUGAAUUUAAUACCCUAAGGGGCAAUGGAAAAUGAUGUAUCAGUUUUGGUAUAGCUUCAAUAUAUAUAGUUUUGAUAUACAAUGAUGUGGGGAAAAGUUUAUAACUUAUGCGUAAAGGUGUGCAUCUGAAUUCGUAUAAUUAAAAGUGUAAAAUCUGUCUUGAUUGAUAUAAAGCUCAUGAUUCAAAAUGAAUGAUUAUGAAUUUAAUUUUUUAAGGUAAAAAGGACUAAAAGAAGUUAAUAUCAUAAAGGCCUUAAUAGAUUAUUCUUGAAUUUUAAAGUGCACUUAAGGAGAGAUAAAUGUUUAAUUUGAUCUUCAAAUUGAUAAACUAAUGAGGCCAUGAGAUCUGAUGUUUAGAGUAAAUUUGAGAAAUAUCAAGUUAGAUAUGUUGUAGGUGAUUGAUGACGAGCAAAUUAGCUAUGACAUUGGAAAUAUAGAAAUGAUUAGUAAUCAAAAUGAGACUUGGAAAGGAACUUUAAAGGGAAAAUUUUGAGCAACUUUAAUCUUGAGAGGUUGACUUAUUGAUUAAAAAGAUUGGUUAAGAUUAUAAGGGGGUAUGUGGAAUGUCAUGAUUUAUUGACAUGCCUUGUGGUAUAAGUUGAGAUUUAUCUAGUGAGCACUCGAUCAUGAAAGUAUUGGAGUUUGUUCUUAGGAAUAUGAUGACUAAUGGUUACUAAAUUUAAAUCAUCUUUGAUAUUAAAAAAAUAGAUGAAAUGUAUAAAGAGUGUUUGAUCCUUAUGUAUUAUGAAAUGCUUGAAUGGAAUUUAUAUGGAGGUAUGUAAAAUGGAAUAGAGGUUGGUUGACCAUUUAGACCCAUAAUCAAUGGUGGAAUAGAUGCUUGAUUAUUGGAAGGCUUGAUAAAAGAUCAAGGCAAAGGAAUUAUGGAUGGUCAAGUAAACAUGCAUGAUUGAUGAUUUAAGAAUGAUUUGAUUGAGGUGUGACCAGAACUAAUAGCAUAUUUGAAUUCUCUUCAUAAGAUAAAGAGUGAUAUUGUUUUGUCCAACAAGAGUAGUACACAUAACUAUAUAUUAUGAUAUUGUCGAGUUUUCUAUAAGAUUGGAAAUCGAUAUGAUGCAUAAACCAAGGUUCUAUGUUAAGAAUGCCCGACGAAAGUGAUGUGGUAGUACUUUAGAACUUUGAUUAUUCACUCUACGUCGAUUUGAAUUCGAGGACGAAUUCAUGUUAAGUGGGGGAGACUGUAGUACCACAUAUUUUGAUACGGUAGCUAAUAAAGUUUACGGAUGCCAAUUGAGGUUGAUUAUUGAGUUAAAAAGGGUAAUUCAGAAGAGAACCUGUGAAAUCUCGAUCUCCAUAGGCACAUAACUAGAAGUAGACGCGAUAAUGCAGAUUAGGGAUAAUUUCGUCAUUUCUCUUGGUGAGCCCCUGAAAGUAGUUUUCUAAUGUUAUUAAGGUCCAAGUAGGCCUAAGGAAUAGUUUGGGAUAAAAUAUUCCACAUGCGAGAAAAUAAUAAUAAAAUAAUAUUAUUUUUAUUGGAGAAGAAUUUGUUGGAUAAAAAGUGAUUCAGAAGUCAAUUGAGGCAUAAUAAGGUAUUCUGGGUGCCAAGGAGACAAGAGGAGACGAGAAAAUUUUUGGAAUAAAAUAAUAUUAAAAUAUUAAUAUUUUAUUUAGUGUCAAAUUUUUCAUGAAGAAGGAGUAUAUGGUCAAUCUAAGUAGGGGCGAAGAAGAAUGAGAGAAUUUUGGAGAAAAAUGACUUUAAUGGGGCUGCGUGUCUUUAUUAAGUAAAGAUAACGCGGGCAAAUAAAUAUUUUAAAUAUUAUGGGGACACCGCGUUAGAGUACAAACUUCAUACUUUGUUUGUACAUGUGUAGAAGAAGGUAAUAAAAGGAAAUUAGAGUUAAAUGAGUGUUGGGAGGACUAAAUUAAAACGAAAGGAAACAAAAAGGGUAAAAUGGUCAUUUUGCACCUUGAGUCAAAAUUUUAAAUUUUUGUAAACUCGAGUAGUUUAGAUCAUUGUGGACCUUGUCCUAGUGUCAAAAGAAUAAAAAGAUUGCACAAAGGAUUGGAGAAGAACAAGUUAACUUGCUAAAGGGCAUUUUCGUAAUUUUUAAGGGAAUUAGAUAAGUUUGAGCUAUAAAUAUCUUUUCCUUCCAGCAGCUUCUUCUUCUUCUUUUUCCUUCCAUCUCAUGUUUGUUUCCCCCUCCAUGGAAGCAUGGGAUGAAACCUUCAUAACUUUCUCUCUCUAGCUCCAAUUUUCAUGCCUUUGUGCACUUUUUCAUGGAACCCUUGUGCUCUUUCACUCUUUUAUUUCAAAACCCUUGAAAAAUCCCACUUUCACACUUUCUCUCACAGACUAGGUGUUUAGAGAGAGAAAGAGAGAGAAAGCUCCCAUAAUAGCUUGGAAAAUUCAUUGGAAAGAAUUUCAAAGUUACAAGCUACCAAGGUGAGUAAUGAAUUAGAAUUUAUUUUUAUGUAUGGAAUGAUUAGUAAGUUGACUUGUGAAUGUUGUAGUUAAGGUUAUCCACUCAUUUUAGAGUGAUUAGGGUAGUGAAAUAGAUAGCCAUUUAAAUGGCAAUUGGAAGCUAGCUAAGAAAAAACUGUAGACUUUAUAAGUAUGUGAAUUGACAAAUUGGUGAUGCUAAUGUAAUGAUAGGUUCCAACGAAGCCCCAUCAUCCGAUUUGGACAAUUAGGGAAGUUAAAGUCGACCAAAGGUUCAACAAAUUACCGGUGAGUGAACUGCAUUUCAAAAUCGUUUUGGGAAUGUGACUGUUUUAUACAAAGCAUUUAAAUGACUUUAUACAACUUUUCUUAAAAACGAGUGCCUUGGGAACAAGCCUUUGAUAAUAGACUUUAUGUUGUGACAUGUGGUUGUUAUGGAUUCGUGCACUACUACAUUUUGUUGGUAUCUAUAUAUAGAUAUAUAUGUUGUGCAUGAUGGUUGAUAUUGUGUGAUGAUUAUAACCGUGUGUGUGCACGAUGUGGGGGGAUGCACAUGCCGGUGAUGGCUUGGUGAGGGAGGUGGAUGAUGAUAGUGCCCGUGUUCAUGAUGUGGGGGGAUGUACACAAUGGCACUGACUGUGCACGAUGUGGGGGGAUGCACAUGAGUUGGGUGUGAUGAUGGUGAUAUUGGUGGUUAUCUAUGUAUUUAUGUAUAUCUAUGUUUAUGAAAUAAAAGCUUAUGAAUAUGGAAAAUGAUUGAAAUGCAUGUGAAACUUGACAUGUUGAACUUUGGAAAAUUGUAUGUAUUUUAUGUUGUUUUUGUCAUUUCAGUAGGAUGGCCUUUUCUUGAGGAAAUGGAGAAUUUUUGCUAGUGCCCUGUUUAUUGCUGCAGUGAGAAUAAAUCUUGCUGCAGCGAGAAACUUUUGGGUUUCGAGGGUUUCACCAAACAUGGUUCUCGUUGCAGCGAGAAAGUUUGUGUUUUAUAGCUUGAAUCUCGUUGUAGCGAAAAACUUUCUAUUUCGCUGAGUAUCUUAAUCAAUUAUUGCGCUAUUUUCCACUUCUUUGGUACCAUAGUUGAGCAUGGACCCUUUCCAUUAAGUGAUUUAAUCGAUUAGGAUGUCACGACCCGGUACUUCCCUUGAGCCCGUGACAACCGUCGUGACGUCCCGAUAGACAUUCAUUACCCGGAAUACCAACCAGAACCUCGCAAGGCUUUAAUAUCAGUUUUUGCACCUCCCCUGUGAGCAACAGUUGUUAAGUAUCAUGUUUUGAGAGAUUAUAAACUAUUUCCAAAUCAAAACAAUAGAAAAAUAUUUUUUUCUCACAGGGGCAUUUUGGUCAUUUUUCCUCAAAAAUCUCGAAACUAGUUAAAAAUGUAGUAUGCGAGUGGAAAAUACAUAUUUCCUAAUCAAAAAUAAGUUUAGAUGUCUCAAACAUUCAUUUAAAGCGAAACUAUACCUAUUUGAAUAUAAUAAAAAUAUUCAAUAAAAUAUUUUAUUUUCUUACAAAACAAUAUUUAUAGAGUUACCGUAAAUAAUUUUUAUAGCACAAAAGCUAAAUAAAUUCAUACAUACUGUAAUACAGAUAACCAAAGCAUAAGAUUUAAUUUACAAUGACACGUGGGCCCACGAACGACCAAAAGUAUUAAAAACGGUAAACCUACAGUUUUUGAGGAUGCAAGUCCAACUGUAGCCCUCAAUGAAAUCAGCUAUUUACCGACUAUCCUGAGCCUGAAAGGAGUGGAAAGGAGGGUGGUGAGAUUAUAUAAUCCUAGUGAGUAAGCAAAUAUCAUCUAAAAUAUCUAAAGCCGAGUAAAUGGAGGCAAAUAAAAUAGAUUAGCAUAAAAAUGAUUCACAGCAUUUCAAACUCAUUUUAAUAAGAUAAAAUAAAUUCAUUUCACCCAAACAAACAACGAGGCUUAUGAUUUCCUAAAAAGCUUGGCUCGUGCUAAAAUCAUUCUCAUACUCAGUUAUCAGGGAUACCUUGUCCUAGGGCUAUCCCAACCAAGUCCGUCAAGGCUGUUAAAAAGUCAUGUAUGCAUAAAUCAAGUUUUUAUUUUGAAAACAUAGCCAUUCCUUGGCGUUGGCUGAGUUCACCCUCACGUGGUGGUUUGGCGUGAAGUGAACUCUAAAGUUGUACCUCAGGAAUUACCUUAUGCUCUCCGAACGAGGUAAGAUAUAACAGGAUUCUGUGCCCCUCAAAAAGGCUAGUCCACAGAACCUGCCUACUACAGCAAGCUAAACCCACCAUACAAUAAAAUUUGCAAUAGCAUGACAUGGCAAUUAUUUUAUUUUACAGCCUCUCAAGGCAAAUCAACAAUUCAUACAUUUUCAGCACAUUUACCAAUUCAACCAUUCAUGCCAAUAUUAUCAUAAGCCAUUCAAUUAGAACCAUAAAUUUGCAACACAUCAAGUAGUCUCCAAUUACUCAAUUUUCAAAGCCAUCAUUCAAUUUCAAGACAAUUUAUAAACUCAUUUCAUUUAAACACAUUUUGUUUAUAAAACCUAAAGAUUUACCAUUUAAACUCAUUUUCCAUAAAAUCACAAAAACGAUUUAAAAAUCACAAAAUGAAGAUGAUGAUAAGGUUACUCACUAUUUCGGGAGUCGAAUUUUUAAAGUACUCUGACUAUAGAUCUUCGGGUACAAUUUCUUUGCCCUUAUCGGAGGAUUCACCACCUAGACAUAAUGCACAAUCAAGCAAUUUACCACAUUGGUGCUAAACUGUUAUAAAACUAUAUGGAUGCAUGAAAUGGAAUGUAAAUUGUUCGGAUUAUUGUCUAAACACGGUGUUCUACACAAAUUCAAUUGUGUACCAAAAUAAAACGGUAUUGACCUAAUUUGAUCUAUCACUCGGUUAAUUGGCUAAUAUGUCCAAUUCAACUCCAAUUAACUCUAUUUUUCUCCCAAUACUCCAAAUCAUCAAACACAAAUUAAAUAACUUGAAAUUUUACCUUUGAUUGCUUGAUUACUUGAAAUCCACCAAUUUUCUCUUGAAUUUUCACUCUAGGGUUUUUGUUGUUUCUU